rnacentral:lncRNA from 1 species
ACUUUCAACUUUCCCUGCUUUGGACUCUUGUUUUUCAAUAUCAGCAAGUGUAGAGCCGGUUCUCUUUGCCUUCUCAGAAAAGAGCUCAUCCAAAGAUCCGAGAGCCCUCAUCUACACAUCUGCAUUUUAUUUUCUUAUAUAACCCCAUCCUCAGCUUGCCAAACCGACCUUAAACAAAAACAAAGAGGCUAUUCUUUCUUUUUCUUGAGCGAAGAGGUUAUUUUGUCUACCAUGUCCGAAAUCGUACCUCUCCAAAAUUGACAAUUUUCAACAACAAAGGAGAGGAAAAAGCAAGAACAGAGGAUGCAAGUGAGAAAUGAAAGGUCCGAUGAAUGCGGUAAAACAACGUACAAGCCGGUUGCGAAAGCGAUCGCCAUUGCUCCCAUCCCAACCAUGGUGAAAAUAAAGGCCCAAAGCAAGUGCUUCUCAAGGAACUUCUCCCGUUUGCGCAUGGUCAUAAAAAAGUGAAGAAAUACGGCGCAUAGUGAAGACACCAUGGCUAUGGUAUCGGUCACAACAAAUGCUCUGAAAGCUGCUUUCUUUGAUAAAAUUGCCUUGCCAUCAUCCUCUUUGUAACCACCGGGCAAGGUGAAACCUGCAGCAAAAGUUACUGUUGUUAAAAGCGCGGACACUAUCAAAUGGGUUUCACCUUGUUUUCGUAAUUCAGAGGUGUAUUUCUCCUUGUACUCUUUGCUUUCUUUUUCUGUCUUCAAUUUCUUCAUUGACUUCUCCCGAGCCAUAGAUGAAUUACCGGGCAUAGCCCACUCGAACUGCUCUUGGAUCUGAUUCAGAAAUUGGAUGAGAGGAACAUUUAAAUUUAAUUCAAUUGAACAAUCCAUUUUUUUCACAUGCACUCAUUGCUGAUGAAAAUCUGAUAUAAGUGAAAAAUGCGCGUUACUUAAAUGCAUCAAAUCAAGCUUAUUUAUUCCAAAAGAUAUGACGUUAAUCGAGUUAUUUGUUUGUUCUAAACCCUUUUAAUAAAAAUGAUAUGUUGAGUGCAAAUUUAUUUAAAUUUCAACAUCAAUAUAAAUUAUUAAAUAAAUCCAAUAAAUUCAUUUUUUUAACUCAUAUAUAAGUUUUGGAAUAGAUGUUUUGCAAUUAUCUCUUUACAAUAAGAUAAACAAGAGUCUUACUAAUAAUGGUGAAUUCUGGUGCUGGGGUCUUAUGCCCAUCGUGAGUCGAUAGGCUACGGAUGAAAGGAUGGUAUGUUUAGGUUCAAGGAAACCAAUCAUAUGGUUAAAAGUAACAAAACAUUGCGUAUUUCAAAGAAAAUAUUUUCGUUCAAAUGAGCACAUGCAGUUUGAGAAACACGAUAUAACGAGCAUUUUUCAAUACAUGGUAACAAAGUGAUGAGGGAGCCUUUCCCUUUUCGUUGAAACAUUCUCCUUGGCCUUCAAAGUCAUGUCGUAAGCUGUCAAUUUUUCAUUGUUGUACUUAUUUAUUUAUUUUGUAUUUAAUUAACUGCGUUAUGGCCCUCAUGUGAGCUGCAAUAGUGACAUUUUUGUGUUUCAAAUGUUGAAUAUUCUCUAAAAAUUAUUCACUUUGUAGUAUUAUUAUAUAUCAUCUAUAUCCUAUUAUCUAUUUAAUUUAUUAAAAAAAUUAUAAGAUAUUAAUUCAAUAUCUAUUAAACUGUAAUCUUAAUUAUUAAAAAUAUAUGAUAAAAUCUAAAUUAUUAGAUAAGAGUAUAAAUAAAUAAAAUUAAAAUAUAAAAAAAUGUAAUCAAAUUAUUAAAAAAUUGACACAAUUAGAUACAAAACAAUAAAAGUAAAUUAUAUACAUGAUAUAUUAUAAUUAAUUCCACAAUUUUGUACGUACGAAUUUGAUAUUAUAGCGAAACUAAUCUUUCCAUCAUAUUUGUUAGUAUAAAACUAACAAUGUCUUGCCUAGUUAGUUUCCUUUGAGUCUCAAUGUUUUCUCGAAUAAACGUCUCAAGUUUGAGAGACUAGAUAGAAAAGAACUUUUUUUUGGAACUUGCAUUAUACUUGAGUUCUAAUGCCUAAUGGUUAUUUAUCUUCACCAAAUUGAAACGUUUUCUACGUGUCUUAAUUGCUUUUAAAUGUCAAUAAUUGGUUGGCUCUACAGUUUUUGGGCUUAAAGCAAGAUGUUUUAUGGUAAUGAGUGACCUUGAUGUAACGGGAUAAUAUUUAAUGCUUUGAUAAUUAAUGACUGUCGAAUGAUAAUUAAUGAUGCCCAGAUAGUCUAAUACCAAAACGGAAAAGGGAAUGCCUGGACGGAUGUUGUUGCCUCCGAUAAAAGGUUGUGUGGUUUGAAAUGUCAUUUUUUCUUAUUCAGUGAAUGACUUUUUCUAUAAUAUAAUUUAUUGGAUUGAUUUUUAAAGCAUUUUAAAUCAGUUGAAUUACCAGCUGACAUGGUAUUUAUUGUGGGUUUUAGGUAUUUGUUGCGUAUGGUAGGUGUGUGGAGGAUAAAGUUUUGAUAUUUAAUGCGUAUGAAUUAUUGGAUGAAAGGAUAGGCUUUUAAAUCAGUUGAAUUACUAGCUGACACGAUAUUUAUUGUGGGUUUUAACCUUUUAGGUAUUUAUUGCGUGUGGUAGGUGCGUGGUGGAUAGAGAUUUGAUAUUUAAUGCUUAUGAAUUAUUGGAUGAAAGGAUAGGUUUUUAAAUCGGUUGAAUUACUAGCUGACAGGGUACAUUUAUUGUGGGCUUUAGGUAUUUAUUGCGUGAGGUAGGUGAAGGGUCUCCAAAAAGCCCGCGGCCCACGGCCCGGCCUAGUGGGCUAAAGCCCGGCAGGCCCGAGCCCAUUUCUAGAUGGGUCGGGUCAUGGGCCCCAAUUUAGGCUCGAUCCGGCCCGACGGGCUGGCCCGCCCGUAGGCCCAUAGGCCCGCCACUUAAAAUAUAUAUAUAUAUAUAUAUAUAUAUAUAUAAAAUAUUCAAGAAAUAGAAAAUACUACAUUAAUAAAAAUAUUCAUUGCUAACUAUUUUAUUCAUUGAAUGUAUACAUUACAUUUGAAAAUGUGGGAAAAGUUUACAUCACUACAAAAUAAGUACAUCCCAACUAGGUUGGCACCUACUUAUUUCUCAAUCAUUGUACUUUUCAACCACAAAAAUAAAAAUAAAAAUAUGAUAUACAUUUAGUAAAAUAUUUUAAUCAUUAUCUUUUGGCGGUGAUGGCGAAAUAUCGCAAAUCCAUGAAGAUCUUGAUGAUUUUAGUUUUUCCAUAUCGACAAGCAUAUUUUCUUUUUGAAUAGAAUCAAAUAUCCUUUUAUCUGCUAUUGCCCAGUCUUUCACACAUAUAUUUGCUUCAAUAGAAUCCGGCGCUAAGCUGCAUCGUUUAUCACUAACUACUCUUCCAUCUGCACUAAAAGCAGCUUCUGAUGCAACUGUACUCACAGGAACUGUUAGUACAUCACGAGCAAUGAUAGAAAGCACAGGAUAUUUGUGUUGUUGUGAUUUCCACCAUAUUAAAAUAUCAAAAUCUUCAUCAUCUUCAAAUGAAAUUAAAUCAAUAUUAAGAUAUCUAUCUAAAUCAGUUGUGUUGUUUGGAGAACUAUUUGUUGUCUUCUUUCAACUUUUUAACAUUUCUAGAGCUCCUUUAUAAAAAGAUGAAGAGCUUGUAGAUGUAGGUAGUAAUUUAAUAGAACUAAUAUCAUCACCAUAUUUUUCUUUAUAAUAGUUAUAUAAAUUAUAUAAUAAUGAAUUUAGUUCAUUUUUAAUUUCUUCAAUUUUUAUUUGGUCAUUAAAAUAAAUAAUUGUUAACCAUUCAUCCAAAGCUUCAAAUUUCAAUCUAGGGUCUACAAUUAAAUCAAAAUAAAAAAUUAAAGGUAUUUCUCCCCAAUAUUUUCUAAAUUUUUCUAUCAUUGCAAAUAUUGCAUCAUUAAAUAUAUCCAAAUUUAAAUAUUUUUGAAGUACAAUAAAAAUAUUAGUUAUUUGCAUGACAACUCGGUUUGAAGAUGGAUAACAUACACCACAAAAUUUUUUUGUUGAAGUAUCAAAUACUUCAAAAAGAUCUCUUAAAAGAUCUGCAAUAUGUCAAUCAUAAUCAUUUAAUACAUCAAUAUCUGUUUCACAAUCAUUGCUAAUUAAUUAUAUUUCAUAUAGUUCUACUACUUUUCUAUAUUUUAUAAUAGUUUGUAAAAGUUUAUAAGUGGAAUUCCAUCUAGUGGGCAUAUCCAAAUUUAUAUAUUUUUUUUCAUAUUUAACAUUUUGCAACAAUAAAAAAAUAAUUCAUGUUUUGCUUGAGAACUAUAAAGACCCGUAGCAAUGCCUCUAAUUUUUUAUAAUGUAUCAUCAACGUGCUUUAAUCCAUCUUUUAUAAUUAAAUUUAAAAUAUGUGCACAACAACACACAUGAAAUAUUUUACAUUGAUCUUCUUUUAUUUGCCAAUAUCGUUUUAAUCUAGAUAUUGUUGCAUCAUUAUUAGAAGCAUUAUCUAAUGUUAUUGUAAAUAUUUUAUCACGAAUGCCAAAAUCUAUAAUUUCAUCAUUUAUUAAAGAUGCUAUAUUUUUACCAUUAUGUGGAGCAUUUAUUAUUUUAAAUGAAAUAAUUCUUUUAUUUAAUUUCCAUUCAUUAUCAAUAUAAUAAGCAGUUAUACAUAAAAAAACUACUGUGAGUUAAAGAUGUCCAAAUAUCAGAUGUUAAACAAAUUCUUCCUUCAAAAUUUGCAAAAAAAAAUUUUAAAUUUUCUUUUUGUGUUUCAAAAUUUUUUAUAAGAAUUCUUUUAACUGUAUUUCCAAAGCAACCUUGAAACUGAGGAUUAACAGCUCGUUGCAUUGUUCCCGUAAAAUCAUGAGUUUCCAUGAAAUUGAAAGGUUGUUCUGCUUUUAUUAUAUAACCAAUCAUUUCUUCACGACAAUAAGAUUCAUCAUAAGAAAAUGUUUUUAAAUUUUCACUUUCAUCUUUACCUAAUUGCAUAUAAUUUCUAAUAUCUACAUUAUUUUUAGUUUUACAAUUUUCAUGAUGCCUUUUUAAAUGACUUGUACCUGCAUUUGAGUCACUACUAAGAAGUUUGUUACAAAUUUUACAUUUUGCUUUUAUUUCUUUUUUAUUAUUUUCUAAAUUUAUUUCUAUUCUAUCAAAAAAAUUCCAUAUAUUUGAAAUAAAUUUUUUGCUAUCACAUGCAUUAGAUGAAGAACAAGAACCACUUGCCAUAAUUAUAAUUAUUGAUAAAAUAUUAUGCUAAAAAUAAUAAAUGUAAAAUUAAAAUGUAACAAAUAAAUAAAAGAAAAUGUGAAGUAUGUUACUAAAUUGGAGAACCGAAGUAGAAAUUCCUUCAAAUUUGAACUCUUUGAACCACAAAUGCUUGUUUUUCAUCACCAAUAAUAUUGAAUAAUUUGAGACAAAAUGCAAUAAUUGGAAAUAUUGUGGAAUGGGAGAGAGCUUAAGAGUUGAGAGAAUAGAAAAAAUUGAGGGUAUUUAAUAUUUAUAGGGAUUUAAAUAUUAGGAUUUAUUUAUUUAUUUAUUUUUUAAAUGUCAAGACCGUUCAACGGUCAUAUAUUUGAUAUUUAUGAGUGGCAUGUUCAAUGGUCAUGCGACCGUUGAACAGCCACCUCACUUUUAUUUUUUUUCAAAAAUCAUACAACAUUUCUAAUAUAUAUAUAUAACUAAUGCAAAAUAGUUAUAUAAAAGAGGGUCAGCUCAGUUGGUGGCUAGCUCUCCUUGAAUACUCAUAUAUCCAUAAGGGAAGGGGUUUGAAUCCCCCUCCUUUCAAAACUCAAAAGUAUUUUAAUUUUUACCCAAAACCCACCCAAGCCCGUAGGCUUGCCCGCCAAGCCCGCCCAGCUUGAGGGCUCAUAGGUUGGGCCACGGGCCUUAGAUUUACCAAGGGCCUGGCCCGGCCAACGUCAACGGGCUCAGUGGCCCGCCCCGAGCUGGGCCAUGGGCCUUACUCCUCCGGGCCGGCCGGCCCGACCCGGCCCGUUGGAGACCCUUAGGUAGGUGUGCGGUGGACAAAGUUUUGACAUUUAAUCCUUACGAAUUAUUUGAUGAAAGGAUGAUGGAAUCUUGGAAUUACUUGGCCUCCUUUAAAGAUGACAUCUAAACAUUUAGUAAAUUAAUUUAAUAAAUAUCAAUUCUAUUCUACAUUAUUUCACGUUACAUCAAAAAAAUGGUAAUCAUCACACUGUUAAAUAAUAAUAAUAAUAAUAAUAAUAAUGACUAAAUCUAUGUUUGUUCUAGAAAAUGCUAAGGAAAUGACAAAAAAAUCAUGUAGAAAAUUAUUUUCUUUAGUUUGGAUGAUAUGAUUGGAAAAAAAAUGUUAAAGAAAAUAUCAUAAUAUUCUUCCUAUUAUUUUCUUUAAAAAAAUAAGAAGGAAAAUAAGAAGAAAAGAGAAGAGAAAAGUUGAAGGAAAUUUUAUCGGACUCGUUUUCACCGAGUCUCUUAUUCACCUUUGGACGACGUCGUUGGGGUCCAUAUUACAUUCCUUGAGCAUGGCGUGGAUCUCCUGCUCUGAACAGUUAACAACCUCCCUCAAGCUUUAAACCAUCUUUCUAAGCGCCGUCGGAAUUACAGAAAUCCCACCACUGCCUUUUCUAUUCACGCUGCUCACACCACCACCGCCACCACCACCACCACCUCCUCCGCUCAUGAUUUCUCUCUCUUCUUUCUCUCUACACCAAACUCUCAUAUCUUUCCUCUCUUUCUCUCCUUGGUUGCCCUAUUGAUUCUGCUGCGAUAAAACAAGAAGAUUUCUAUGCCCCCACCCUCUCUCUCUUCCUUCCUACCGAAAACCCUCUUUCUUUCUCUCUCUAAAAACUAUUUUUAUUAUUAUUUUUUGAGGAAUGAUUAUAACAUUUUGUUUUCUUUCCAUUUUUCCUUGACUUUUUUUCGUGGUUAGUUGAAUAAAAGAAAAUGAAUUCUUUUUUUGUCCCUUGAAUUUUCCAUGGAUAACAAAAAAAAAAAAAUUAUAUUUCUUUCCUUAGCUUUUUCUUUCCUUCCAUUUUUUCUCCUAAUUUUCUUUCUCUUACAUUUUCUGGAACCAAACAUAGCCUAAAUUGUUUUAUAGUUUCAUUUCAUUUUUUUAUAUUAUAUAUGCUUUUUUUUUUUGUUGGCAAUUUUAUUCAAAAGUUCAAACUUAAUCAUUUAUUGUAAGAAUUCAAAUUUUUAGCUUGAUAUAAUACUUAUCCGAUAUCAUACUAUUUUUCUUUAUAAAUUUAAGAAUUUAGACUCAAUUGAAUUCAUUUUUCAAAUAAUAAGAAUAUAUUUUAUUUCUAAAAAAAUUUAAAGAAAUAAUAAAAUAAUAUUAAAGAAUGUACGUGAUUUCCUUAUUUAAAUACCAAAUAAAAAGUUGAGGAAAUAAAAUUUUUAUUUAGUUAAAAUUUUUAUUUUUCUUUUACCUUUUAAGGUUUGGAAAAGUGUAAGGUGCCAAAUUCAUACAUAUUGAAGUUCAAAUAUGAGUUGUUAAAAGUUUAUGAUAAAAUUUUAAAAUUAAGGUAUUAAAAUAUUUUUUUAAUACCUUAAUUUUUUAAAAACCAUUAGUUUUUUAAUGCAAGAUUUUAAAAGUUCUUAUAUAAAAAGCUACUACCAUUUUCUAUUUUCAAAAAUAGAAAAUAUGAAAUAUAUAGACUGAAAACUUAGUACAUAAAUUUUUAUUUAUUGGUUAAUAAAAUUUAUAGUUAAAAUAUUUAAAAUUUAUAAAUAAAAAACAUUGCAUUUUGUUGUUAAAUAUAUAAAAACAUUUUAUUUAUAAUAAAUAAUGUUCGAUGCUAAUGUCAUUUUUAUGUUAUGCUAUAAUCAAUUUUUAAUUCUUUUUUUAAAACUAAAAUUUUAAUUUCUUUAAUUAAAAUUUUUCUUUUAAAAAUGAGUACUACAAAAAGGAAUUGAAAUAAGACUAAAUUUCCAUGAUGCUUGCAUGUGAUGACAGUUUGGCUGCCAUCUCCAUUUGUAGUCGAUUCUACAAUUUGAUCCAUGAGUAAUAUAUAUAUAUAUAUAUAUAUAAAAUGAAAUAAGAGUAAAUUUCCAUGAUGCUUGCAUGUGAUGAUAGUUUGGCUGCCAUCUCCAUUUGCAGGUUGGAAUUAGAAUCCAAGUUAAGAUUCUACAAUUUGAUCCAUGAAGUGAAGUUGGGUGAUCUACUAACUUCUAUAACUAAAUUUAUGGCUUGGAAGACCACCCCCUACUGCGAAGCUGUGUGGUGAAGGGAAGGUGCAUAUGUCCUUUCUUUGUCUCAUCUUUAAUUUUUAUUUUAUUUGAUUUGAUUUUUCCUUUAUAUUAAUUGAAAGGUUAAGGAAAAUUCCUAGCCGGUAUAAGAACUGUGUCGAGGCUGAGCUCAAGUCUUCUCUCGUCUCGUCUUUAAUUUUUUCUUUUUCCUUUUUUAUGUGUCUUUUCGUUUAUAUUAAUUGAGUGGCUAUUGGAAAUGUUUUGUCCAAAGCCAAAUAUUUAAUUCAUUGUGAGGUAAAUAAAGACAUAAACAAAGUUUAAAUAAUAAAGAAAAUAAAAGCAAAAACUUUAUAAUUCUUAAUGAAUUUAUGUUUACCCAUGGAUAAGAUUUUAUAUUUAAGUAAUUUUAUCAUCCAUGUAAUUAAACUUUAUUAAUAUUCAGAAAUCAAAUUAUGAAAAGGCCAAAACAAUUGCAAUAAUAAAAUUAUGAACACUCCCGCACAAGUAAGGCCUAUAUAAAAAGUUCUUAUUUUAUGUUAGUUUUAAGGUAAUUUAUAUAAAAAUUUACAAAGAAUAGGUAAUUAAUAAAUGACUUCACCAUUGUACCCAUGUAAACAAUAUUAAUAAAAUAAAGGGGAAUUUAUGUAACCAUACACCAAGGGGCAAAAUUUUGCCUUUUGGAAACUUAACUUUUUACUUUUCAAAUUCAAUGGAUUUUGUGAAAAAUAAACAAUCUUUCAUACACUGUAAUAGUGAUGUUGAGACCCUUCCAAAAAUACCCUCCUAUAAUUUGACAUCUCUCCUAGUUGGAUAAGUUGCUUGUUGUCCACUUAAGCCAAUGACAUGACUCAGUUACAUGUCAUCAGCCAGCUAGACAUUCCACAUGGAUUGAUGUUUUAAACAAUAUUUACCCCCAAAUAUCUUCUUCUUUCUUCAACCAAACCCUAACACCAAAAUCCAUGUUCUUUCUUAUUCGUUCACAGGCACAACCCAUCACAAGGCGAAAGGAUCCAUAAAAAAUCUGGUAGGUUCUCAAAUCGCGAUAACCCAUCAACCCCAAACGAACCUCCAAACUUGAUCUCUUAUUUUGUUUCUCCUCCAUCACCAUAAGGAAGACAACAUCUUCAUUUUCCCACCAAACAUCAAUCUGAAAACAAAAGUCCAAGUGCGAACCCCUUAACAAAGGCCAGGUAGACAAAAAAAAAACCCAUUUCCUUCUUCUUAUUUCAGGAGUGACAGUCAUUUUUCUCCUGGUUGUACUUCCUAUUUUGCUUUUACAUCGAAAAAGGAGAAAGAAAGCAAUUGAAAGAACGAGAUAACGAAGAAUAAAAAUAUUGUAGUUGCAUUUAACUUUUAAAGCAAGGGUUUUUCCAAGUGAUAUAUAUAUAUGUUAUUAAAUUUUGUAAUAACUUUAUAUUUUGAUUUGUCAUUUUGAUUCUUUGAGAUUUGAAUAAUGUCAUAGUUAUGUGAUUUGUGCAAUUUUGUGAUUUAAACUUGAUUACAUUGCAUAUUUCUACAUGUUCAAUGUCCAUUAAUAUUGUAUCUAAAUUUAUAUUUUAAUUUAUUUAGGGUUUAUUUGAAAUGAAAUAUGGCUUAAAUUUUGAUAAAUGAUGGGAAAAUGAGAUGGUGGUAAGCUAUAUUGAUUUUGUUUUAUUUCUGAAUUGUUGUGUUUGUGUUGUAUGUGGUUGUUGGGAAGAAUACAGAAAAGAGAAGAAAAAUAUGAGUAUUGCAUGUGAAGGGAAUACAAUUUUUAGGAAUGUUCAAACAAUUUGUUGUUUAAUGUUGUUUAUAUGGGAUUCGAGAUGUUUUGUUGUUUAAUGUUGUUUAUCUAGGAUUCCAAAAUGAGUAAUUUGAGUGAUCUUUUAUAGUUGUUAAUUGGUGAAUCUAAUGCAUGGGAAAAGAAUUCAUGUUUAGUCAUGAGUAGAUGAGUAUAAAUUUUAAAAAUGAUUGGGAUUAAAGUUUGAAUAAAUUUCUUAAUAAAAGUUUUGAAUUUGUAAUGAAUAAGGAUUGAAUUGAAGAAGAAAAUAAAACAAAUUUAGUAAAGCGGGCAUGAAUUUAUGUGGGAAUUAGGGAAAAUAGUAUUGGAGCCUUAGGUUCAAAAUUGAUGGUCACAACCACAAAUAUGAAAUUUGUUUUGUUUAUGUGUGUAGUGGUCAUAGUAAGGGUCUACCCUUAGAUGAAGGGGUUGGCCGUAAUUCAGUUAAUGACAUUUGGAUGAAAUUAUUGUUUUCGUAAGAGGUUGCAGUAAGUGAAUUAAAGGCUGACCCAUUUGUUUGGAGGUAGGCCCUUAGUUGUAAAUAUUGUUGUGGUUUAAUCUGGAUAGUAGGCAAAAUAAAGGCUGACCCAUUUGUUUGGAGGUCGGCCCUUGGUUGUAAACAUUGUUGUGGUUUAAUUUGGGCAGUGGGCAAAAUAAAGGUUGACCCAUUUUUUUGGAGGUCAGCCCUUGGUUGUAAACAUUAUUGUGGUUUAAGUUGGGCAGUAGGCAAAAUAAGGGUUGGCCCAAUUGUUUGGAGGUCGGCCCUUGGUUGUAACAUUGUUAUGGUUAAAUUUGGGCAGUGGGCAAAAUAAAGGUCGACCCAUUGUUUGAGGGGGUGGCUCGAAGAGAGUAAAAUUAGCACAAUUUGGCUUGAAGAGUUACCAAAACAAUGGUUAGCCCAUGAAUUGAGAGGUUCACUCCCUAACUUAUAUAACAUAACAAAUUACUACGAAGUAAAAUAGAAUAAUUGCAUUGCUUAAUGUUAAGUAUACACUAUGCAUGUCUAUAUUUACACCAUUAAUUGUAAACUAUGAAAUGUAAAUGAAGCUCGUUUGUAAAGUUUCAAAGAUAAAUGAUGUAUUAAUAUAUGAUGGUCAUAGGCAUGAUAAUCAGUUUUGUUAUAAGUAAGUUGGUUUAUGCAGUGUUAUUAAGAAAUUAGUUAAUUGUUUCAGCUUGAUUAAAGGUUCAUGCUUCUAAACAGGGGCUGCACAUGAUCGAGUAGCAUUUAAAUGGAUCCAAAUAAUACAAUUUAUUGUUAUCUGCACAUUGGAGGAGAGCUAGUAAGGGAUGAACAUGGAAAUGUGGAAUAUAUGGGUGGGAGACGAGAGGGUCUAAGUUUAGAACGAUCAAUGACAUAUAAUGAUUUUGUUUCAAGGAUUUGUGGGAAAAUGAACAUCAAUAUAGUCGGACCAACAUUUUCAUAUACUCUCCCGUUUGAUUUAUAUGCACUUCAACCAUUGAAAAAUGAUGAAGACUUGACAAACAUGUUUCAAUUUAGUGACCGAUGUGCACGUGUAUAUAUAUGUUUAGCAUCAACAGUUGAAGACGAUGAAACGAUUGAGAAUGGAGGACAAGGGUAAGUUAUAUCAAAAAAAUAUAUAAUCUUAAAUGAUUCCAUGUAUUUAUUUAUUUUGUAAUAUUUAUGCUUAUUCAUUAGAUGUUAUAAUGCAGCUUGAACGAAACAAUCGUAGGGUCUAACUCACCGGUCCCAUAUUCAACAAGAGAUGUUGAUAUUAGAAUGCAAUCACGAGGAUUUCAUCAAAGAUGUGCUGAAUCACAUGUUGGUCCACUAGAGUCAAGUCGUUUUGAGAGUGCAAUAUUGGGUAGUGGGCAUACCUUCUCAACUGCAAAUGAAUUUCGGGAUGCAAUAUAUCUCAUGUCAAUAGGAGGCCGUUUUAGAUAUAAGUUUAAGAGGAAUUGUCUUGAUUACUACUCAAAACAUGCUAUUUUGUAGCUUGUAAUUAGCUCUUUUAAACACCCUUGAGUAGUAAUUAUUACCUUUUAACCCAAUUAACAUGUUAAGGACCCUUGCAAUCCGUUUCUAACAAUUAUGUUAAGUUUUGGUGCUUUUUGAUAGCUUUAUGCUCACCAAAGCAAUUUAAGAAUGAGGGAGAGCUAUUUAUAGUUCAUGGCAAAGCUUUUGAAAGCUUAAAUUUAUGAAGAAAUCAAGCUAUGGAGCCUCAUAAUCCUUUGCCUUAUUCGUUCAAAGUAUACAAGGAAGAAACAAUGGAGAAGAGGAAAACAGGGGAUGAAAAUAGGGGACACAGCUGCAGUCUUUCAUCGCACUUUUGGAGCACUUUCUGAAGUCCAUUUUUUACAUUCUAUAUACCAUUUCAAAGCUCAGAAAGUCAAUAAUCCAACGGUUCAAACCAUGUAUGAUUUGGAGCUGAAAUGAGAAAGAUAUGGCCUUCGGAAGACAACUGCAUCAAGCUGAGGGACAAUUUCGCACACCACUGUGCAAGGUGCGAAUUCCUCAGUCCACUGUGCGAGAAUUUCGCACACCUCAAAUCAAGGUGCGAAAUUGGAACUCCAGCGUGCGAAAAUUGGAUAUUUUUGCCGACUCUUUUUCUUCUGAUAUUUUUGUGUCUAAAUUUCCAUUUUCUCCUUGUAUUCAACCACUCAUGUAAUUCCUUAGCUAGGAAGUAUCCAAGGAAGGGUAAAAUUACCUUCCUAUAUAAAUUCUCUUGUAAUCACUGAAAAGGAUCUUCGGAGCUUUCUCCAGGAGACCAACUGAUGUAAAUUUGAUACUUAGUGAAAUACAGAGAUCUCUUUUGUUUUCUUUUUCUCUCUUCUAUUUUCUAUUUCCUUGCAAGUCAAACACCCUCUGAGGAUGUUUUCCCAGAGGAUGAGAGGCUAAACAUUUAGUUUCUUGGAGUAAAGGAAGCUAGGUGAAAAGUCCAGAUUAAAACAUGGAAAGUUUCCGUGCAUUAAAUUCAGGUAGUUGGAGUCCAUAAAUGGUUUAUAAAGCCAAGGUUUUGCCUUAAAUUCCUUUGAAUCACUUUGAAUGGCCAAUACAUGGUAAGCUUAAGGUCUCUGUGGAUGCUUAUUGCUAGAUCCAUAUCAGUCCAUUAGUUAUCAUGUACGAGCCAUUGGAAAGUGAUUCAAGGUGAUAGCCCAUAGUGUCUUAAGCCAUUAAUGGACCUUGACUACCAUCUCUAGUGACUUUUUAUGGAUUAAAACUUCAUUGUCAAACCUAUACCGGUUCGGGAAAUAACUAUAGGUUAAAUCCCCAAUGCGAGGAGAAAAAUCCGGAAUUUUCCACUUUGCAUCUGGCACUUGAACCUAGCAACCUUCAGCUCCGGGAGACUUUCUUUCUUACACUUUUUACUUAGUUCUAUGUGAGUUUAGUUUAAAUCACCACUUUCAAAACAAUUUUAUUUUCUUUUAAAUUUCAAGUUUGUGCUAAAGGAAAUCAUUAGAAUCAAUUUCUAAUUUAGAGUCUGUCACUGAUAGAGUGAAAACCCAUCCCUGAGUUCGACCCUAGAACUACUAUACUAUAGUAGCUUUGCUACGCCAGUAUAAGGUCAUAGGUUUUAUAAAUGUUUUUGAUUAAAAGACCCGGCUGGGCAUCGAAUCAAAUGGCGCCGUUGCCGGGGAUGGUGCCACAAUACAGUGAUACAACCUUUUAGAGGCUACUUGUGAUUUUCAUCACAACCAGGGUGAAUUCCUUUUUCACUAAUUUCAUUUUCUUUCAUUUUUCUUUUGUUAAUUUUAUAUUCAUUUUCUUCCUAACUUUAACCUUUUCUUUAGUUUCCUUUUGUUUUUACUAUACAGGAAUUGUAACUUGUGCAUGCCCUAUUGGAUUAGGGACCAAGAGGGAAGAUUAGUAAGGAUUGAGAAUCCUCAAGACACAGAGUUGGAUAUCUGUGUAAAUAUCAUGGACCCUCCACCAGAGGAUCAGAAUUCUCAACAAGGUCAAGGGGGUAAUCCCAAUGCAUACCUAUCCAUGAGGGAUAGAAUGCAUCCCCCAAGGAUGAGUGCACCCUCAUGCAUCCUGCCCCCACUUGAGCAGUUGGUUAUAAGGCCCCAUAUUGUGCCCCUCCUACCAACUUUCCAUGGAAUGGAGAGUGAGAAUCCAUAUUCUCACAUCAAGGAGUUUGAGGAGGUGUGUAAUACCUUUAGAGAGGGAGGAGCUUCAAUAGACUUGAUGAGACUCAAGCUAUUCCCUUUCACUUUGAAAGACAAGGCAAAAAUAUGGCUUAAUUCUUUAAGGCCAAGAAGCAUAAGGAAUUGGGUUGAUCUUCAGGCUGAGUUUUUGAAAAAAAUUUUCCCCACUCAUAGGACCAAUGGGUUGAAGAGACAAAUCUCAAAUUUUUCUGCUAAAGAAAAUGAGAAGUUCCAUGAAUGUUGGGAAAGGUAUAUGGAGGCCAUCAAUGCUUGUCCUCAUCAUGGUUUUGAUACAUGGCUCUUAGUGAGCUAUUUUUAUGAUGGAAUGUCUUCUUCCAUGAAGCAAAUUCUUGAAACCAUGUGUGGGGGAGAUUUUAUGAGUAAGAAUCCUGAAGAAGCCAUGGACUUUUUAAGUUACGUGGCUGAGGUGUCAAGAGGAUGGGAUGAGCCCAACUCAAGAGAGAAAGGAAAGUUUCCCUCUCAACAAACCCAAAAUCCAAAGGCUGGAAUGUACAUGUUAAGUGAAGACGUGGACAUAAAAGCUAAAGUGGCAACAAUAGCUAGGAGGUUGGAAGAACUUGAAUUGAAAAAAAUACACGAAGUCCAAGCCAUUUCCGAUACCCAAGUCAUGUUAUGCCAUGCACCAUUUGCCAAUCAUGUGAUCAUGUGGUAGAUGAGUGUCCAACCAUGCCAGCUGUGAGAGAGAUGUUAGGUGAUCAAGUAAAUGUUGUGGGGCAAUUUAGGCUCAACAACAAUGCAUCUUAUGGAAACACCUAUAAUUCAAGCUGGAGAAACCACCCAAAUUUUUCUUGGAAACCAAGGACACCUCCAUACCAACCACAAGGCCAAACCCAAGUACCUCAACAACCAUCUUCAGUGGAGCAAGCCAUUGUAAACCUGAGUAAAGUCAUGGGUGACUUUGUGGGUGAACAAAAGGCAAUUAACUCCCAAUUGCAUCAAAAGAUUGAAAAUGUUGAGAGCUCUCAAAUAAAGAGAAUGGAGGGGAUGCAAAAUGAUCUAUCUCAGAAGAUAGAUAAUAUUCAGUACUCCAUCUCUAGGCUUACCAACCUAAACACAGUGAUUGAGAAGGGAAAGUUCCCCUCUCAACCAAGCCAAAAUCCCAAGGGUGUUCAUGAAGUUGAAACCCAAGAUGGUGAGUCUUCAAAUUUGAGGGAGGUUAAAGCUGUGAUCACUUUAAGGAGUGGAAAAGAGGUUGAUCAACCCCUGCCUAAGGUGGGGCAUGAUGAAGAACUCAUAUCAAAGAGACCCUUGAUUAAUGAGAGCAAAAGCCAAGAAGAGAAGAGUGGGAAGAAGAGUGCAUCCAAAUCAAGCAUCGAGGAAGAACCAAGGAUAGUGAUUAAGGAGGAUAUGAUGAAGAAACAUAUGCCUCCCCCUUUUCCUCAAGCUUUACAUGGAAAGAAAGAAAUCAAGAAUUCAUCAGAAAUUCUUGAGGUUCUGAGACAAGUGAAGGUGAAUAUACCCUUACUUGAUAUGAUCAAACAAGUCCCCACAUAUGCAAAGUUUCUAAAAGACUUGUGCACAGUCAAAAGAGGUUUACAGGUGACAAAGAAUGCAUUCCUCACUGAGCAAGUGAGUGCUAUCAUCCAGAGUAAGUCCCCAGUUAAGUAUAAAGAUCCGGGAUGUCCCACCAUAUCAGUCAACAUUGGAGGGACACAUGUGGAAAAAGCUUUAUUAGAUUUGGGAGCAAGUGUGAAUUUGCUCCCAUACUCUGUGUAUAAACAAUUGGGACUAGGAGGAUUAAAGCCCACAACCAUGACCCUCUCCUUAGCUGAUAGGUCGGUCAAAAUCCCAAGAGGAGUGAUAGAGGAUGUUCUAGUUCAAGUGGACAAAUUCUACUAUCCUGUGGAUUUUGUGGUGCUUGAUACUGAUUCCACUGUCAAGGAAGAAAAUUAUGUACCAAUCAUCCUAGGGAGACCUUUCCUAGCUACCUCCAAUGCUAUUGUUAAUUGUAGGAAUGGGGUGAUGCAGCUCACAUUUGGAAACAUGACAUUGGAAUUAAACAUAUUCCAUUUAUGUAAGAGGCAUCUUUACCCUGAUGAGGAGGAAGGAUUUGAGGAGGUGUGCUUGAUCAACACUUUGGUUGAAGAGCACUGUGACAAGAGUUUAGAGGAGAGCUUGAAUGAAAACCUGGAAGUCCUUGAAGAUGGGUUCCUUGAACCCUCUGAUGUGCUAGCCAUUAUGUCUCCUUGGAGGAGACGGGAAGAGAUCUUACCACUGUUCAACCAGGAAGACUCUGAAGGAGUUGCUGUGGAGGACCCUCCAAAGCUUAUUUUAAAGCCACUUCCUGUGGGUUUGAAGUAUGCAUACUUGGAGGAUGAUGAGAAAUGUCCAGUGGUAGUUUCCUCAACCCUCACUAGUGAUCAAGAGGAUAGUCUUUUAGGAGUCCUCAGAAAAUGUAAGAAAGCCAUAGGAUGGAAAAUUUUUGAUCUUAAAGGGAUUAGCCCUUUGGUGUGCACCCACCAUAUUUAUAUGGAGGAAGAUGCAAAACCAGUGAGGCAACCCCAAAGGAGACUGAAUCCUCACAUGCAAGAAGUGGUGAGGAAUGAAGUUUUGAAGCUACUUCAAGCUGGGAUCAUAUAUCCCAUCUCAGACAGCUUGUGGGUGAGUCCCACCCAAGUAGUCCCAAAGAAAUCUGGAAUCACUGUGAUCCAGAAUGAGAAAGGGGAGGAAGUCUCUACACGUCCUACCUCAGGAUGGAGGGUGUGUAUAGACUAUAGGAGGUUGAAUUCAGUGACUAGGAAGGACCAUUUUCCAUUGCCUUUCAUGGACCAAGUCCUUGAGAGAGUCUCAGGACAUCCUUUCUAUUGUUUUCUAGAUGGUUAUUCAGGGUACUUCCAAAUAGAAAUUGAUUUGGAAGAUCAAGAAAAGACGACCUUCACUUGUCCCUUUGGUACUUUUGCAUAUAGGAGAAUGCCCUUUGGUCUAUGUAAUGCUCCUGCAACUUUCCAAAGAUGCAUGCUAAGCAUCUUCAGUGAUAUGGUGGAACGCAUCAUGGAAGUUUUCAUGGAUGACAUCACUGUAUAUGGAAGUUCUUAUGAGGAGUGUUUGAUGCAUUUAGAAGCUGUUCUCCAUAGAUGUAUUGAGAAAGACCUAGUGCUAAAUUGGGAGAAGUGCCAUUUUAUGGUGCAAAAAGGAAUUGUCUUAGGACAUAUCAUCUCCAAAAAUGGCAUUGAGGUAGAUAAGGCAAAGGUGGAGCUGAUUGUUAAGUUGCCACCUCCCACAAAUGUUAAAGGAAUUAGGCAAUUCCUUGGACAUGCCGGGUUCUAUAGGAGGUUCAUUAAGGAUUUCUCAAAAAUCUCAAAACCUCUGUGUGAGCUUUUGGUAAAGGAUGCCAAGUUUGUGUGGGAUGAGAAGUGUCAGAGAAGUUUUGAGGAAUUGAAACAAUUCCUCACAACUGCACCAAUAGUGAGAGCCCCAAAUUGGAAAUUACCUUUUGAGGUAAUGUGUGAUUCAAGUGAUCUUGCUAUGGGGGCUGUUUUGGGGCAAAGAGAGGAUGGAAAGCCCUAUGUGAUCUAUUAUGCAAGCAAAACUUUGAAUGAGGCUCAAAAGAACUACACAACUACUGAGAAGGAGUUGUUGGCAGUAGUUUUUGCCUUGGAUAAGUUUCGUGCUUAUUUGGUAGGGUCCUCUAUAGUGGUGUUCACUGACCAUUCUGCUUUGAAGUACUUGCUAACCAAGCAGGAUGCCAAGGCAAGAUUGAUAAGAUGGAUUCUUUUGCUCCAAGAAUUCAAUCUCCAAAUCAGGGAUAAAAAGGGGGUAGAAAAUGUGGUAGCUGACCACUUGUCCAGACUUGUGAUAGCACAUGACUCACAUGGUCUGCCUAUCAAUGAUGACUUCCCUGAGGAGUCUCUCAUGUCAGUAGAUGUAGCUCCAUGGUAUUCUCACAUUGCAAACUUUUUGGUUACUGGAGAAGUACCAAGUGAGUGGAGUGCUCAAGACAAGAGACAUUUCUUGGCUAAGAUCCAUGCCUAUUAUUGGGAGGAACCUUUUCUUUUCAAAUAUUGUGCAGAUCAAAUUAUAAGGAAAUGUGUUCCUGAGCAAGAGCAAUCGGGAAUUCUUUCCCAUUGCCAUGAUAGUGCAUGUGGAGGUCAUUUUGCCUCCCAGAAAACAGCUAUGAAAGUGAUCCAAUCAGGCUUCUGGUGGCCCUCUCUUUUCAAGGAUGCCCAUUCUAUGUGCAAGGGAUGUGAUCGGUGUCAAAGGCUUGGUAAGCUAACACGCCGAAAUAUGAUGCCCUUGAACCCCAUCUUAAUAGUGGAUAUCUUUGAUGUCUGGGGUAUAGACUUCAUGGGACCAUUUCCAAUGUCGUUUGGACAUUCCUACAUCUUGGUAGGAGUGGAUUAUGUCUCUAAGUGGGUAGAAGCAAUCCCAUGUAGGAGCAAUGAUCAUAAAGUGGUACUUAAAUUCCUCAAGGACCACAUCUUUGCAAGAUUUGGAGUGCCAAAAGCCAUUAUAAGUGACGGGGGAACCCACUUUUGCAAUAAACCUUUUGAGACUCUUCUAGCCAAGUAUGGGGUUAAGCACAAGGUAGCUACACCUUAUCACCCCCAAACAAGUGGCCAAGUUGAGUUAGCUAACCGAGAGAUCAAGAAUAUAUUGAUGAAGGUGGUUAAUGUGAAUAGGAAGGAUUGGUCUAUCAAGCUCCUGGAUUCCUUAUGGGCUUAUAGGACAGCUUACAAGACCAUUCUAGGAAUGUCUCCCUAUCGCCUUGUUUAUGGCAAAGCGUGUCAUCUUCCAGUAGAGAUUGAGUAUAAAGCAUGGUGGGCAAUCAAAAAGCUCAACAUGGAUUUGACAAGAGCCGGGUUAAAGAGAUGUUUGGAUUUGAAUGAAUUGGAGGAAAUGAGGAAUGAUGCAUACCUCAAUUCAAAAAUUGCAAAAGCAAGAUUGAAAAAAUGGCAUGAUCAGUUGGUAAAUCAGAAAAAUUUUACCAAAGGACAAAAAGUUUUGCUUUAUGACUCUAAACUUCAUCUCUUUCCAGGAAAGUUGAAAUCCAGGUGGACGGGUCCUUUCAUAAUUCAUGAAGUGCAUCCCAAUGGAGUGGUGGAAGUAUUCAAUCCCACAGGCAAUCAAACCUUCAAAGUUAAUGGCCAUCGUCUCAAGCCAUUCAUAGAGCCUUACAGUACAGACAAGGAGGAGAUCAACCUCCUUGAACCACCACAACUCUGAGGGAAAGCAGGGUAUCAUGGGCUAAAUAAGUCCAUGAAUUUUUUGUUAUAGUUUUAUAGUUAUAUCAUUAUUUUUAUUUCUUUUUAUUAUAAUUUUUCCUCAAUCUUAGUUUAUUUUGUCUUAAUUCAAGUCAAUUUUGAUGAUAAAUUUCAGAAAAAAAUCAUGAAAGAUGGGGAGAACUCUUCAAAAGCAAGACAGGGGAGUAAAACCAAGGAAACAGAGCACCUGAUUUCAAGGUGCGAAAAUUUCGCACACCCCAAAACCAAGGUGCGAAAUCCUCGGUCCAAAGGAGCCAUUUUCGCACACCCCAAAACCAAGGUGCGAAAUUUUGUUCAAGGUGCGAAAAAUGAUUUCAAGGUGCGAAUUCCCUAAAAACCAUUUUCGCACACCACUGUGCAAGGUGCGAAAAUUUUCGCACUAUGCGAAAUCUCCUCCUGGCACACGAGUGCCAUUUUCGCACACCUCAAGCCACUUUUCGCACCGUGCGAAACAAGGUGCGAAAAUUUCGCACACCUGAUUUCAAGGUGCGAAAAUUUCGCACACCUCAUUUUAAGGUGCGAAAUCCUCAGCUAAAGGGGUGCCAUUUUCGCACACCUAAUUUCAAGGUGCGAAAUUUGCAGGCCAAGGUGCGAAAAUUUCGCACGGUAAAAUUUUAAGUUCCAAAAAUUUUAAACGGACUUUUAAAUUAAAAUUUUACCCCCGAAAUUGUGCCUAACGUCCAAAAACGACUUUUCGGUUGCCUUGGAAAAUUUUAAAACAUCAAAAACCCCCUAAACCUCAUUCCUAUAUAAUCCCUUGAAGACCAGAAGCUCAAAGGACUCCCCCACGAACCAGCUGAGAAGCCUCUGGAAUCCCAAACAGUCGCCCACCUCCAUUUCGGCCAUGGCGAAGACCAGAGGAGGCCUUUCCGGCUCCCCAUCCUCACCGACACCUCGACCACAUCGAGCCGCCAUGGGAGCCGCAGCUUCGCCACCUGUUCAGGCCCCGGACAUUCCCCCAUCUGAGGGGGAAGCCCCUUCUCAGCGCCGAUACCCCACCAGGAGAUCACCCGCGGACCCUGUGCCACCCGCCGACCAAGCUCAGAGACCUGCUUCUCGGCCCCCUGCCAAGAGAACCAAGUUCUCGGGUCCUGGAGAGUCAGAGCCGCCUACAGAGGAGCCUCGGAUUCCUGUGGAGAUUACCCCCGAGACCCUUAUCAGGCGUCCCAUGAUAGCCGGACCACCGAUAGAGGGCAACUUGGAUUGCAGAGAUCGAUCCUUCCACUCCGAGACCUACUUUGAUAUAGAGGCCCUCAAACAGCAGCCAGAGCUCAGAGAUUCAUUCCGACUGCUGCAGAGGUAUCACAUGGAGGAUCUUCUCACUCCUAGGCAAUUCUACUAUCCCAGAGUAGUUAUAGAUUUUUAUCAAUCUAUGACUACUCGUGGCCUCCGCAAUCCUACCCUCAUCCAAUUUACCAUAGACGGACGCCAGGGUGCCAUUGGAGCUCGCCACAUUGCUGAGGCCCUCCGUAUACCUUAUGAGCCUGUGAUUCAGGCAGAUUUCAGGGAGUGGUCCUCAUUCUCUCAGAGCGACAUGGUCCGCAUUUUGUCCAGGGGGACUUCUACAACAUCAGUGUUGACUAGGAGAGAGCUUCCAUCUGGGAUGCUCCUUAUUGAUGUGCUCCUGCGUGCCAACCUUUUCCCCCUUCAGCACAAAGUUCAGAGGCGAGGAGCUAUACUUGAGGCGUUAUUUAGGAUUUCUGAGGGCUAUUUCUUCGGCCCUCAUCAUUUGAUUAUGACUUCUCUUCUUCAUUUUGAAGAGAAAGUCCAUCAGAAGAAGCUUCAAAGGGCAGAUGGCAUCCCAUUACUAUUUCCGAGGCUCCUCUACCAGAUUUUAGAGCACCUGGGCUAUCCUGAACAGCCCCGUCUUGAGAGGCGCCGCCAUUGCCGAGAGGACUUCUCUCUCGACAAAUGGCAUCACUUGGUAGCCUACUUUGCACCCCAGGGAGCCCCAGCUGUGCCUGCACCUCCAGAGCUACCCCAAGAUGAGCAGAUGCCUCAGGCCCAGCAGGAUGAGAUUCUCACAGAGACCACACCUCCUGCCCCUGCAGCACACCCCUCAGAGCAUAUUCCUGAGCCUAUACAUCCUAUUUCUCCUAUCACUUCGGGUGCUCCACCAGUCAUGCCAGCUACCCCAGCACCUCCUCUUUCAUCUGAGCCCACUGUCACCGUUUCUCUUACGGAAUUCAGAGGCUUAGAGCGUUCAUUGCGGACACUGAGCACUGCUCAGGAUUCUAUUAUCCACCAGAUGGCCACUAUUCGGGCACACCAGGAUCAGAUCAUUGCUACUCAGGCCCAGCAUACCACGAUCCUUCAUCAGAUUCAGCAACAUUUGAGUUUGCAGACACCUUUUGGGCAUGAUAGGUCUGCACCAUCCGAGCCUCUAGAGCUAGAUACGGAAAGCUUACUAGCUGAGCAGCCCAUACCAGAGGAGGAGAUCAGAGCAGAGCCAUCACAUGACACCCCUCAUAUUUGAUAUUUUUAUAUUUUACUUGUUUUUUAUUUUAGACUUGUAAAUCCCAUCUUUUGCAUGUGUUAUAAACUGGGAUUGGAAGUAUUACUUGAAAUCAUACAUUGUAUAUUUCUUUUACAAGUAAUAUAUAUAUAUAUAUAUAUAUAUAUAUAUCCUUUUUGAUUAUAUUCCCUUUUCUCAUUACUCUUUUGUCCUUGGAACAUGUGGUUUAAGGUACUCCAUACCUCCUUUACACUCAGACUUUGUCUCACUCAGGAGGUACCACUUCCUCCCUUUAUUUUUAAUUGGGGGGAGAGUUGAGAAAGGAAGUUUUGUGUUAAUACUAAGUUAUUUUGGUAUUUUUAGUUGAUUUUGGUAUUUUUAGUUGAUUUUUGCUUAAAAUUUAAAAUUUUUAAAAGUUUUUUGAAUCAUUCUCUAUGGUUGUUAAAGAUAAUUUCUCAAAAAUAAAAUAGGAUAAGUCGAGUUUUAACUUAAUUAUUUAAGUCUUAGAGUUUGUUUUAUGCUUUCAAAGUUGAUAAUCUAUUGAAGCCUCUUUGAUUUAGAACUUUCUUCUUCCAUUUCAAGCUUUACACACACUGUGCACAUUAGAUCCCGGAUAUAUGAUGUAAAACUUUCUACCUUCUAAGCUUAGAAAAAUUUUGACUUGGUUCAUUACUUAACCUCUCUUUAAUAGUGUUGGAACACCUCAUAAAGACCAAUGAGUCUUUGAAAAAAAAAAAAAAAAAAAAAAGAAGAAUAAGCUUCUAUUCUUUCCUUGAAACCUAAGCAUGAUCCGAAGGGGUAGCGAAAGCCUUUAAAACCCGAUGCCCUAAACCUUGAUUGGUUGGGAGUCAUCGAUCCUCUGCUUGCUACAUAGGUGAAUUGGUUAAGAUUAGUGAGUAAAAAGAAUUGUGAAUAAGAAGGUGUGUUCCUAACCUAUUAAGAGUUGAUUAAUUUUGCCAAUGUUCGAGAAAAGCUUAGGUUGGAGGGUGAGGAUAGUUGUAUAUACUAUAUCCGGAAGCUAAUCUCGUUAACACUUAGCUUAUUAUGGAAGAGUUUGAUUUGGAACCUUGAGAGUAGAGAUUCUUUUGAUACCUAAUUGCAUAAUCUCCACUCUUUGUACUUUUUGUUUAAGUUUUAAGCUUUGAUAACUCCUGUUGCAUUUUGAAUCUUCAUAUCUUUAGUUAGCCAGGUGAGAUGAGUUUGGAUAUCAGUCAUGCCUCUCAAUUAUUUUUUGGAAAUGAAUUGCAUGACCUCUUUUAUGUAUAUUAUUACGUUUGCUUAGUUUUUCUCUCCUUAAUUGCUAAGGGACUAGCAAUAUGUCGGUUGGGGGGAGUGAUUACUACUCAAAACAUGCUAUUUUGUAGCUUGUAAUUAGCUCUUUUAAACACCCUUGAGUAGUAAUUAUUACCUUUUAACCCAAUUAACAUGUUAAGGACCCUUGCAAUCCGUUUCUAACAAUUAUGUUAAGUUUUGGUGCUUUUUGAUAGCUUUAUGCUCACCAAAGCAAUUUAAGAAUGAGGGAGAGCUAUUUAUAGUUCAUGGCAAAGCUUUUGAAAGCUUAAAUUUAUGAAGAAAUCAAGCUAUGGAGCCUCAUAAUCCUUUGCCUUAUUCGUUCAAAGUAUACAAGGAAGAAACAAUGGAGAAGAGGAAAACAGGGGAUGAAAACAGGGGACACAGCUGCAGUCUUUCAUCGCACUUUUGGAGCACUUUCCGAAGUCCAUUUUUUACAUUCUAUAUACCAUUUCAAAGCUCAGAAAGUCAAGAAUCCAACGGUUCAAACCAUGUACGAUUUGGAGCUGAAAUGAGAAAGAUAUGGCGUUCGGAAGACAACUGCAUCAAGCUGAGGGACAAUUUCGCACACCACUGUGCAAGGGUGCGAAUUCCUCAGUCCACUGUGCGAGAAUUUCGCACACCUCAAAUCAAGGUGCGAAAUUGGAACUCCAGCGUGCAAAAAUUGGAUAUUUUUGCCGACUCUUUUUCUUCUGAUAUUUUUGUGUCUAAAUUUCCAUUUUCUCCUUGUAUUCAACCAUUCAUGUAAUUCCUUAGCUAGGAAGUAUCCAAGGAAGGGUAAAAUUACCUUCCUAUAUAAAUUCUCUUGUAAUCACUGAAAAGGAUCUUCGGAGCUUUCUCCAGGAGACCAACUGAUGUAAAUUUGAUACUUAGUGAAAUACAGAGAUCUCUUUUGUUUUCUUUUUCUCUCUUCUAUUUUCUAUUUCCUUGCAAGCCAAACACCCUCUGAGGAUGUUUUCCCAGAGGAUGAGAGGCUAAACAUUUAGUUUCUUGGAGUAAAGGAAGCUAGGUGAAAAGUCCAGAUUAAAACAUGGAAAGUUUCCGUGCAUUAAAUUCAGGUAGUUGGAGUCCAUAAAUGGUUUAUAAAGCCAAGGUUUUGCCUUAAAUUCCUUUGAAUCACUUUGAAUGGCCAAUACAUGGUAAGCUUAAGGUCUCUGUGGAUGCUUAUUGCUAGAUCCAUAUCAGUCCAUUAGUUAUCAUGUACGAGCCAUUGGAAAGUGAUUCAAGGUGAUAGCCCAUCUAAGCCAUUAAUGGACCUUGACUACCAUCUCUAGUGACUUUUUAUGGAUUAAAACUUCAUUGUCAAACCUAUACCGGUUCGGGAAAUAACUAUAGGUUAAAUCCCCAAUGCGAGGAGAAAAAUCCGGAAUUUUCCACUUUGCAUCUGGCACUUGAACCUAGCAACCUUCAGCUCCGGGAGACUUUCUUUCUUACACUUUUUACUUAGUUCUAUGUGAGUUUAGUUUAAAUCACCACUUUCAAAACAAUUUUAUUUUCUUUUAAAUUUCAAGUUUGUGCUAAAGGAAAUCAUUAGAAUCAAUUUCUAAUUUAGAGUCUGUCACUGAUAAAGUGAAAACCCAUCCCUGAGUUCGACCCUAGAACUACUAUACUAUAGUAGCUUUGCUACGCCAGUAUAAGGUCAUAGGUUUUAUAAAUGUUUUUGAUUAAAAGACCCGGCUGGGCAUCGAAUCAUGUCUUAAGCAUAUGACUGUAAUAUGUGUUGUUGAAGGAUGCCCUUGGAAAGUAACUGCUCGUGCUGUUGGGAGAACAAAAAUAGUUCAAGUGCAUACAUUUAUAAAUGAACAUAACCACUCUUUAGAAGAUGUGUCAAUUUCCGAACCAGUAGUUCGUUGUAAUCGAGCCACAGCUAUGAUUGAUGAUGUUAUUCGUUCAAAUCCAGAUUACUUACCCCGUCAAAUAUGUAAAGACUUUCGUCGACAAUACGGAAUGCAAUUGAAUUAUUGUCAAGCAUGGAACUUGAAAGAGAAGGCUAAAGAACGAAUUCAUGGUGUGCUGCAAUGUUCAUAUAAGUUGUUACCUUGGUUAUGUACAAGGCUUAUUGAAACAAAUCCAGGGACGAUUGCUGAAUAUAGAUGUUCGGAUGAUGGUCAUUUUAUGCAAUUGUUUGUUGCCCUUUCAGUGUCAAUUCAUGGGUUUCAACUAGGAUGUCGGCCUAUUAUAUCAAUAGAUUCAUCCCACAUGAGUGGGCCAUACAAGGGUGCUUUAUUUUCAGCUUCUUCCUAUGAUGCUGACGAUGACAUGUUUCCACUUGCUUAUGGCUUAUUUAGCUCUGAGAAUUACGAGGAUUAACUUUGGUUUUUAGAGAAAUUGAAUAUGGUCAUAGGUGAAAGAGAUGUUAUAAUAAUAUCUGAUAGGCACAAAAGGAUUAUCCGUAGUGUUUCAGAGGUAUUUGGUAGUGAAAACCAUGCACAUUGCUAUCGUCACAUUAAAGAAAACUUCAGUAGCUUUCUAACAAAGCUAAACACUAAAGGGAGGAAAGGAAAGGAAAAUGCUUUGCAAAUGCUUGAUUCUAUCGCCUAUGUUAGGUUAGAUUGUGAUUAUGAGGUUGCAAUGGAUACUUUAAGGACAUUUAAUCAUGAUUUGGCGAAGUGGGUUGAAGAAAAUAACCCUCAACAUUGGGCAAUCUCUAAAUUUAAGAAGAUGCGUUGGGAUAAGAUGACAAGUAAUUUGGCCGAGUCUUUCAAUUCUUGGUUAAGACAUGAACGACACCAUAACAUUUGUGUUUUCUUCAUCGAGCAUAUGGAUAAGUUAGGAUCUCUUUUAGUCAAGCAUAAAAAUGGACUUGUAAAAUGGAAUGGGUGUAUUGGUCCUAAAACAGAAGAAAAGAUUGCAUUGAACAUUGGAAAAGGUGAAAAUUAUAUCACUUAUUUACACUUAGGUAGUUCGAUGAAAGUAUCCAAUGGAAAAGCAUUCCUGGAAGUGGACUUAAUGGAGCGAACUUGCACAUGUAAAGCAUGGCAAAUGUCUGGAAUCCCAUGUGAUCAUGCUUGUGCAGCUAUACGGCGAAUGGGGUUUGAUGUAUCUGAUUAUGUUGAUGACUGGUAUAAGUACAAUUUGCAAGAGAAGAUAUACUCUGGAAGCAUGCGUACUUUGGUAACGCAUGACAUGCCAAUGAUUGAUGAAGAUGGAACCGUUCGUGAUGCCUUGGGUCAUACUUAUCCCUUUCUUAAUCCUCCAACCACAAAGCGACCUCCUGGAAGACCUAGGAAACGUCGAAUCGAGUCUCAAUUCAUGUAAAAAAAAACAAUUCAUUGUUCUCAUUGUAAUUAGCCUGGGCAUAAUCGUGCGACAUGUAACAACCCAUUGCUGUAAGUUUUUUUUUAUUAAACUUCAUAAUGUAAGAUCGACUUUAUAUUAGUAUGAAAUAGUUUGGUAAUCUUCGUUACUGUUUCAUUGAUUAUAAGCAAUGAGUAAUUUAUUGGAUUUGAAGUGUUUGGUGUACAUAUAUUGUGAUUGUAUGUUGUUCUUCAAUAUUAUGGGAUAUGUUACAUGAUAAUGUAAUUGUAAUAGAAAAAUAUGUACCUUGGUCAUUAUUGUUCAAAGAUGGCAUUGAAGUGACAUAGAUUCAUAUGGCGUCCUUGGCAAAAAAACGAGAUUGUUAACUAGUGGGCAUAAUCGUGGCGAACCUUUACAUGUAGGGGCUGCUACUUUUUGGCUGAUGACCCUUAAGCAUAUUAUUUAGUUUUGUGUGAAAUGGGCAGUAGCCAAAAUAAGGUUGUGCCUAUUAGAUCAUAGGCAACCCUAUCGUUUUUCAUCUUUAAAAUUGGUUUCGUGUUAUGUGAGGUGUCUGUAAAAGGGAGGUUGAACCAUUAACACCAUGGGAAGACAUUCGAACAUUAGUUUAGUAUGUUAUGUGUAGAAGGCAAUCUAGGGGCGCACCUUCCAUUUGAAAGGCAUGCCUAUGUGUUAAUGAUAUUAUAUAACUAUACUACAUGCAGAAGGCAAAGCAGGGGUGCACCCUUGGUUGCAUAGGUAUGCCCAUGGGUAUGAUAACUUUAUUGGGAAAUUCUAUAUGCAGUAUGCAAAGUAGGGGCACACCCUUGAUUUUAGGGGCAUGCCUAUUGCUAAAACCAUUAUAUUGGUAGGCUAUGUGCAGUAGUCAACCUAAGAGCAAAACCUUGAUGGAAGACACAUAAAUGUGGGUGAAAAACUUCUUUUUGUUAAGCUACUUGCAGUAGGAAAAAGAAAGACAUGACUCUCUAUCAGAGGCAUGCCUUUAGGAUGACUAGAGUUGAGGUGUGGGUUGGGCAGUAAGGCAAAUGGAGGCAUACUGAUAGCUUAAAGGUUGGCCCUUGAUGUUCAUAUGAAAUAAACGUUGGAAAUGAUUCCUUGUUGAUUCAAAAUCAUAGAUUUUUUCUAAAAAUUUAAUUGUUCAAUUUUUAAUUUAUUUUUUAUUAUCUUAAUUUUUUUAACUACUUUUUUUAUUUAGCUCAUUAAUAAUUUUUUUUUAUUUAUCCGUUUACUUUUAUUUAAUUUCAAAAUUUUGUAUUUUUAAAUAUUACAAAAAUAGUUGUGCUUAGAAUAUGUUACAAUAUAACAAAAAAUAUAAUGAAGUCCUAAUAUUUUAUAACUAAAAAUUAAUUUGAUUAGAUAAAUGAUUAAUAAUUUUAAUUAUUUAAAUAAAUUAAUUUUAAUAGAAAAAUUGCCACCACAUAUUUGUAAUAAAUUUUUAGAAAUCAUAUCUCAAAUCAAAUAUUUGAUAUAAAUCAAUUUAGUUUUUAUUUAAAAUUUAAUAAAAUAUAUUUUAAUAAAAGUAUUUUUUAAUUUUAAAAUAAAUAACUUAAAUAUAUUAAAUGUAAUUAUGACCCAUCCAUGCUCAGAUGGGGGUCCCGGAAUCACUAGACUUGGAUGUACCAAAUUCAAUGAAGGAUGUACCAAAUUUAAUUAAGGAUGUACCAAAUUUUGUUAAAGAUGUACUAAGGGCUCCAAAGUGUGAUACGAAGUGGGGAUCGGCUCCAAAUCACUCUGUUAUGGGUUUCUAAAUAAAAUAGUGGCUCAUCCAUGGUCAGAAGAGGGUCCCGCAAUCACUAAGCUCGGAUAGACCAAAUUUAAUGAAGGAUGUACCAAAUUUUGUGAAGGAUGUACCAAGGGUUCGAAAAUGCGUUCCGAAGUGGGGAUCGACCCCCAAUCACUUUGUUAUGGGUUUCUUAAAGAAAUUACAGACCAUCCAUGUUGAAAUGGGGGUCUCAGAAUCUAUCGGAUCGGAUGUACCAAAUUUAAUGAAGGAUGUACCAAAUUUUGUGAAGGAUGUACCAAAUUUUGUGAAUGAUGUACCAAGGGUCCAAAAAUGCUUUCCGAAGUGGGGAUCGGCCCCAAAUCACUUUGUUUUGGGUUUUUAAAUGAAAUAGUGGCUCAUCCACGGUCAGAAGAGGGUCCCGGAAUCACUAGGAUCGGAUAUACCAAAUUUUGUGAAGGAUGUAACAAGGGUCCGAAAAUGCGUUCCGAAGUGGGGAUCGACCCCCAAUCACUUUGUUAUGGGUUUCUAAAUGAAAUUAUCGACCAUCCAUGUUGAAAUGGGGGUCUCAGAAUCUGUCGGAUCGGAUGUACCAAAAUUUAAUGAAGGAUGUACCAAAUUUUGUGAAGGAUGUACCAAAUUUUGUGAAUGANNNNNNNNNNNNNNNNNNNNNNNNNNNNNNNNNNNNNNNNNNNNNNNNNNNNNNNNNNNNNNNNNNNNNNNNNNNNNNNNNNNNNNNNNNNNNNNNNNNNGGGAUCGACCCCCAAUCACUUGUUAUGGGUUUCUAAAGAAAUUACAGACCAUCCAUGUUGAAAUGGGGGUCUCAGAUCUAUCGGAUCGGAUGUACCAAAUUUAAUGAAGGAUGUACCAAAUUUUGUGAAGGAUGUACCAAAUUUUGUGAAUGAUGUACCAAGGGUCCAAAAAUGCUUUCCGAAGUGGGGAUCGGCCCCAAAUCACUUUGUUUUGGGUUUUUAAAUGAAAUAGUGGCUCAUCCACGGUCAGAAGAGGGUCCCGGAAUCACUAGGAUCGGAUAUACCAAAUUUUGUGAAGGAUGUAACAAGGGUCCGAAAAUGCGUUCCGAAGUGGGGAUCGACCCCCAAUCACUUUGUUAUGGGUUUCUAAAUGAAAUUAUGGACCAUCCAUGUUGAAAUGGGGGUCUCAGAAUCUGUCGGAUCGGAUGUACCAAAUUUAAUGAAGGAUGUACCAAAUUUUGUGAAGGAUGUACCAAAUUUUGUGAAUGAUGUACCAAGGGUCCAAAAAUGCUUUCCGAAGUGGGGAUCGGCCCCAAAUCACUUUGUUUUGGGUUUUUAAAUGAAAUAGUGGCUCAUCCACGGUCAGAAGAGGGUCCCGGAAUCACUAGGAUCGGAUAUACCAAAUUUUGUGAAGGAUGUAACAAGGGUCCGAAAAUGCGUUCUGAAGUGGGGAUCGACCCCCAAUCACUUUGUUAUGGGUUUCCUAAAGAAAUUAUGGACCAUCCAUGUUGAAAUGGGGGUCUUGGAAUCUGUCGGAUCGGAUGUACCAAAUUUAAUGAAGGAAGGAUGUACCAAAUUUUGUGAAUGAUGUACCAAGGGUCCAAAAAUGCUUUCCGAAGCGGGGAUCAACCCCAAAUCACUUUGUUAUGGGUUUUUAAAUGAAAUAGUGGCUCAUCCACGGUCAGAAGAGGGUCCAAGAAUCACUAGGAUCGGAUGUACCAAAUUUUGUGAAGGAUAUACCAAGGGUCCGAAAAUGCGUUCCGAAGUGGGGAUCGACCCCCAAUCACUUUGUUAUGGGUUUCUUAAAGAAAUUACAGACCAUCCAUGUUGAAAUGGGGGUCUCGGAAUCUAUCGGAUCGGAUGUACCAAAUUUAAUGAAGGAUGUACCAAAUUUUGUGAAGGAUGUACCAAAUUUUGUGAAUGAUGUACCAAGGGUCCAAAAAUGCUUUCCGAAGUGGGGAUCGGCCCCAAAUCACUUUGUUUUGGGUUUUUAAAUGAAAUAGUGGCUCAUCCACGGUCAGAAGAGGGUCCCGGAAUCACUAGGAUCGGAUAUACCAAAUUUUGUGAAGGAUGUAACAAGGGUCCGAAAAUGCGUUCCGAAGUGGGGAUCGACCCCCAAUCACUUUGUUAUGGGUUUUUAAAUGAAAUUAUGGACCAUCCAUGUUGAAAUGGGGGUCUCGGAAUCUGUCGGUUCGGAUGUACCAAAUUUAAUGAAGGAUGUACCAAAUUUUGUGAAGGAUGUACCAAAUUUUGUGAAUGAUGUACCAAGGGUCCAAAAAUGCUUUCCGAAGUGGGGAUCGACCCCAAAUCACUUUGUUAUGGGUUUUUAAAUGAAAUAGUGGCUCAUCCACGGUCAGAAGAGGGUCCCGGAAUCACUAGGAUCGGAUGUACCAAAUUUUGUGAAGGAUGUACCAAGGGUCCGAAAAUGCGUUCCAAAGUGGGGAUCGACCCCCAAUCACUUUGUUAUGGGUUUCUUAAAGAAAUUACUGACCAUCCAUGUUGAAAUGAGGGUCUCGAAAUCUGUCGGAUCGGAUGUACCAAAUUUAAUGAAGGAUGUACCAAAUUUUGUGAAGGAUGUACCAAAUUUUGUGAAGGAUGUACCAAGGGUCCAAAAAUGCUUUUCGAAGUGGGGAUCGACCCCCAAUCACUUUGUUAUGGGUUUCUAAAUGAAAUUAUGGACCAUCCAUGUUGAAAUGGGGGUCUCGGAAUCUGUCGGAUCGGAUGUACCAAAUUUAAUGAAGGAUGUACCAAAUUUUGUGAAGGAUGUACCAAAUUUUGUGAAUGAUGUACCAAGGGUCCAAAAAUGCUUUCCGAAGUGGGGAUCGACCCCAAAUCACUUUGUUAUGGGUUUUUAAAUGAAAUAGUGGCUCAUCCACGGUCAGAAGAGGGUCCCGGAAUCACUAGGAUCGGAUGUACCAAAUUUUGUGAAGGAUGUACCAAGGGUCCGAAAAUGCGUUCCGAAGUGGGGAUCGACCCCCAAUCACUUUGUUAUGGGUUUCUUAAAGAAAUUACAGACCAUCCAUGUUGAAAUGGGGGUCUCGGAAUCUGUCGGAUCGGAUGUACGAAAUUUAAAGAAGGAUGUACCAAAUUUUGUGAAGGAUGUACCAAAUUUUGUGAAUGAUGUACCAAGGGUCCAAAAAUGCUUUCUGAAGCGGGGAUCGGCCCCAAAUCACUUUGUUAUGGGUUUUUAAAUUAAAUAGUGGCUCAUCCACGGUCAGAAGAGGGUCCCGGAAUCACUAGGAUCGGAUGUACCAAAUUUUGUGAAGGAUGUACCAAAGGUCCGAAAAUGCGUUCCGAAGUGGGGAUCGACCCCCNNNNNNNNNNNNNNNNNNNNNNNNNNNNNNNNNNNNNNNNNNNNNNNNNNNNNNNNNNNNNNNNNNNNNNNNNNNNNNNNNNNNNNNNNNNNNNNNNNNNGGGACCUCAUCUGACCGUGGAUGAGCCACUGUUUCAUUUAAAAACCCAAAACAAAGUGAUUGGGGUCGAUCCCCACUUUAGAAAGCAUUUUUGGACCCUUGGUACAUCAUUCACAAAAUUUGGUACAUCCUUCACAAAAUUUGGUACAUCCUUCAUUAAAUUUGGUACAUCCGAUCCGACAGAUUCCGAGACCCACAUUUCAACAUGGAUGGUCCAUAAUUUCAUUUAGAAACCCAUAACAAAGUGAUUGGGGGUCGAUCCCCACUUCGGAGUGCAUUUUCGGACCCUUGGUAUAUCCUUCACAAAAUUUGGUACAUCCGAUCCUAGUGAUUCUGGAACCCUCUUCUGACCGUGGAUGAGCCACUAUUUCAUUUAAAAACCCAUAACAAAGUGAUUUGGGGUCGAUCCCCACUUCGGAAAGCAUUUUUGGACCCUUGGUACAUCAUUCACAAAAUUUGGUACAUCCUUCACAAAAUUUAGUAUAUCCUUCAUUAAAUUUGGUAAAUCCGAACCGACAGAUUCCGAGACCCCCAUUUCAACAUGGAUGGUCCAUAAUUUCAUUUAGAAACCCAUAACAAAGUGAUUGGGGGUCGAUCCCCACUUCGAAAAGCAUUUUUGGACCCUUGGUACAUCAUUCACAAAAUUUGGUACAUCCUUCACAAAAUUUGGUAUAUCCUUCAUUAAAUUUGGUACAUCCGAUCCGACAGAUUCCGAGACCCCCAUUUCAACAUGGAUGGUCUGUAAUUUCUUUAGGAAACCCAUAACAAAGUGAUUGGGGGUCGAUCCCCACUUCGGAACGCAUUUUCGGACCCUUGGUACAUCCUUCACAAAAUUUGGUACAUCCGAUCCUAGUGAUUCCGGGACCCUCAUCUGACCGUGGAUGAGCCACUGUUUCAUUUAAAAACCCAAAACAAAGUGAUUUGAGGUCGAUCCCCACUUUAGAAAGCAUUUUUGGACCCUUGGUACAUCAUUCACAAAAUUUGGUACAUCCUUCACAAAAUUUGGUACAUCCUUCAUUAAAUUUGGUACAUCCGAUACGACAGAUUCCGAGACCCACAUUUCAAAAUGGAUGGUCCAUAAUUUCAUUUAGAAACCCAUAACAAAGUGAUUGGGGGUCGAUCCCCACUUCGAAAAGCAUUUUUGGACCCGUGGUACAUCAUUCACAAAAUUUGGUACAUCCUUCACAAAAUUUGGUAUAUCCUUCAUUAAAUUUGGUACAUCCGAUCCGACAGAUUCCGAGACCCCCAUUUCAACAUGGAUGGUCUGUAAUUUCUUUAAGAAACCCAUAACAAAGCUAUUGGGGGUCGAUCCCCACUUCGGAACGCAUUUUCGGACCCUUGGUACAUCCUUCACAAAAUUUGGUACAUCUGAUCCUAGUGAUUCCGGGACCCUCUUCUGACCGUGGAUGAGCCACUAUUUCAUUUAAAAACCCAUAACAAAGUGAUUUGGGGCCGAUCCCCGCUUCGGAAAGCAUUUUUGGGCCCUUGGUACAUCAUUCACAAAAUUUGGUACAUCCUUCACAAAAUUUGGUACAUCGUUCAUUAAAUUUCAUACAUCCGAUCCGACAGAUUCCGAGACCCCCAUUUCAACAUGGAUGGUCCAUAAUUUCUUUAGGAAACCCAUAACAAUGUGAUUGGGGGUCGAUCCCCACUUUGGAACGCAUUUUCGGACCCUUGGUACAUCCUUCACAAAAUUUGAUAUAUCCGAUCCUAGUGAUUCCGGGACCCUCUUCUGACCCUUGAUGAGCCUCUUUUUCAUUUAAAAACCCAAAACAAAGUGAUUUGGGGCCAAUCCCCCCUUCGGAAAGCAUUUUUGGACCCCUGAUACAUCAUUCACAAAAUUUGGUACAUCCUUCACAAAAUUUGGUACAUCCUUCAUUAAAUUUGGUACAUCCGAUUCGACAGAUUCCGAGACCCCCAUUUCAACAUGGAUGAUCCAUAAUUUCAUUUAGAAACCCAUAACAAAGUGAUUGGGGGUCGAUCCCCACUUCGAAAAGCAUUUUUGGACCCUUGGUACAUCCUUCAGAAAAUUUGGUACAUCCUUCACAAAAUUUGGUACAUCCUUCAUUAAAUUUGGUACAUCCGAUCCGACAGAUUCCGAGACCCCCAUUUCAACAUGGAUGGUCCAUAAUUUCUUUAGAAACCCAUAACAAAGUGAUUGGGGGUCGAUCCCCACUUCGGUACGCAUUUUCGGACCAUUGGUACAUCCUUCACAAAAUUUGGUACAUCCUUCAUUAAAUUUGGUACAUCUGACCCUAGUGAUUCCGGUACUGAUUACUACCAAAAAGUGCUAUUUUGUAGACCUAAUUAUAAUGGUUUUAAGCACCUUUGAGUAGUAAUCAUAUUCAUUUAACCCAAUUAAUUCAUUAAGGUCCUUAGUAAUUGGUUUUAACCAUUUUGUGGCAAGUUUACAUGUUUUUAUCAGCUUAUGAAUCAAUUCAAGCAUGCCAAAUGAUUGAGGAGAGUUAUUUGGAAUCCAUGGCAAAGCAAUGAAGAGCUCAAAUUCAUGAAGAAACUAAGCUUUGGAGCCUCAUAGUCCUUUGCCUUAGUCGUUCAAAGUAUGCAAGGAAAGAGCACUGGAGAGAGGAAAAACAGAGUGAAGAAAACAGAGGACAGCAGCUGCAGUCUUCUUGUGCACUUUUGGAGCACUUCCCGAAGUCCAUUUUCUACAUCCUAUAUACCAUUUCAAAGCUCAGAAGUCAAGAAUCCAACGCUUCAAACCGUGUACAUUUGGAGCUGAAAUGGNGGAAGUAUAAGCCUUUGGAAGAUGACUGCNNNNNNNNNNNNNNNNNNNNNNNNNNNNNNNNNNNNNNNNNNNNNNNNNNNNNNNNNNNNNNNNNNNNNNNNNNNNNNNNNNNNNNNNNNNNNNNNNNNNGUUCAGCUUGUUGAUGCGAAAAUAUUUCGCAACCCUCUUGAGUGUCUGCGAAAUCUCGCAGANACCAUUUUUCACUUGCGAAAUGUUCCUUGGAGCUUCUCGAUAUUUGCCACCGACUCUUUUGGAUAUUUUUCUUCAGAUAUUUUUGUAUAAAUUUCCAUUUUCUCCUUGUAUUCAGCCACUCAUGUAAUUCCUUAACUAGGAAGUAUCCAAGGAAGGCUAAAUUACCUUCCUAUAUAAACUCUCAGAUCAUGUAAUCCAUCAAUCAAUAUAUAGAAUAUACAGAGCCUUGCUCUGUUUUUCCUUCUCUUUCAUUUUUCAUUUCUUUUUAUUUCUAGCCAACCAAACUUUGAGGAUUUUUCCUCAAAGGAUGAGAGGCUAAGCUUUUUGUCUCUUGGAGUGAGGAAAGCCGGGUAAGUUUCCACAUGCAUAAUUUGGAAGUUUUGUUGUUUUAGUUUUUAAUGAAGAGAAAGUGUAACCCGUUAGUGAUUUCUAUGUUUUUAGUUAACUUAAAACACCUUAGAGUCAUCUGGGCCAACACUUGGUAAGGCAAGUGAUUUCCAACCAUGGAAAUGCACUAGUUUACCCCUUGUGAGCCUUUGGGAGGUGACUUAAAGGUAGGAUUUUUUAGAAUAGCCAACACUUGGUAAGCUUUUGGACUCCAAGGAGACAUCCAUUAGUUAUCUCUUGCGAGCUUUUGACGGGAAGUCCAAGGUUAAAGAUCAUCUUGAAUGGCAAGUGCUAGGUGAGAGGUAUGAGCCAUUGCAAGAUGCAUCAGUGAGAGGGAUUUAGUGUUUGAACCCAUUAAUGGGAAGCAUCUGUACAACACCGGUUAGAGAAUUAACUAUAUGUUAAUUCUCUAAUGCGAGGAAAAGAAACAAGUGACCGGAACUCCCUUUUUGUAUGAGGAAUCUGAGCCUAGUGAUCUGAACUCCAAGAAACAUCUUUUCUUUAUAAGUAAAAUCAGUUACUAUUUUUGGUUAGUUUAAAACCAAACCUUUUUCAUUCAAACAUCUCUAUGUUUUCUUUUAAAGCUAACCUUGAAAUGAAAAGGCACCAAUUCAACUUUGAAUUAACAUCAUUUGUGAAGUGAAAACUCAUCCCAGUGAACGAUCCUAGAGCCACUAUGCUAUAGUAGCUUUGUCUUUGCUACCCUAGUAUAUGGUGUAAUAGGUUAUAAAUUUUGUUGAUUAAUCCCUCAAUCAAGGAGCACCAGCUGGACACAAAUCAGCUGAGACACCAAUUGGGCACGAAUCAGGUACCCCCUUAGUGCCAUGGAUGGACCAUAAUUUAAUUUGGCAACCCAUAAGUGAUUUAUUUCAAAAUUUAAAAAAUACUUUUAUUAAAACAUAUUUUAUUACAUUUUAAAUAAAAAGUAAAUUGAUUUAUAUCAAAUAUUUGAUUUGAGAUAUGAUUUCUAAAAAUAUAUUACAAAUAUGUGGUGACAAUUUUUCAAUUAAAAUUCAUGUAUUUAAAUAAUUAAAAUUAUUAAUCAUUUAUCUAAUCAAAUUAAUUUUAAGUUAUAAAAUAUUAGGACUUCAUCAUUUUUUUUGUAGCAAAUUCUGAGUACAACUAUUUUUGUAAUAUUUAAAAAUACAAAAUUUUGAAAUUAAAUAAAAUUAAACGGGUAAAUAAAAAAAGUAGUUAAAAAAAUAAAGAUAAUGUAAAAUAGAAUGAUAAUAUAAUUUUGAAAUAAAGUAUUAGGUAAUGACAACGUUUUUUUUGUAGGAAUGAGCAUGAAGGAAAACUAUGGCCACCGCCUUCAUGUCAUACACAUCCCCAAUGGUAUUAUAAACUUUGGAAUCUUAUGUUAUAUGCAAUACACAAAAUAAGGGCCCACCCUUUAUUUCACAGGCAUGCCUAUGUGUCGAAGAUGCCAUGUGCAGUAGCCAAAUUAGGGGCAGACCUUUCAUAUGACAUGCAUGCAAGUGGGUGAAAACCUAAUCGUAGUUAUUAUUUGUGCACUAUCAAAAAGAUAAGCAUGCCCUUGUGCAGGUGGCAUGCCUUCAUAGUGACUUUAUCUUACUUGUUGAUUGGACAGUGUGGUCAUGGGAGGCAGACCCAACACAUGAAGGGUUGGCCCUACACAUUCACAUUGAAAUAAAAUGUAUGGAUAAUUGAUUCAUAUGUGUUAAAGCCUAAAAUAUAGAGUCAAUACAUACUAAGAUUGGAAAAUAGGCAAAAUGUCAUUCAGACAUUCAAAAUAACUUAAACCAACCUCAUAACUAGCAUCACAUUUACACAUAAAUAUUGCAUAGAGUGUUGACAAUUGGUGCAAGAGAGUAUAAAGUUUACUGAUGAUUAAUGAAAGCAUGCAUAUUGAUAAGCAUUGGAAAGCGUUAAAGUAAAAGGAGUUAAGAAGUUGUUUGAGAACGAGAUUUUAUAAACUUAUUACAAAAUCCAUGAAAAUGUUGUGCGCACACAUACGCAUUCGAUUGUAAGACGGAUAGAAAGUAAGGUUACUCCUCUUCAUUAGUCGGUGCAUCUUCGUCUUCUUCAUCUCCACCAUCAUCAUCACCAUCUUCCUCGUCAUCUGUCUGUGAUGGCGUAGGAGGUAGAGCAUCAGGGUGCAAUGCUUUCCAUGCUGCAAUGGAACGAUCGCAUUGUUGACGCACAAUCUUCAAUUGAUUGUUCAUUGAUUUGCACAUUGGGUAAAUAUCCCCAAGCUGAGAACUUUUAGUUGACCUACGCGACGAAGAGGAUGAUGUUUGUUUGUCUAUCGACAUUUUCAUGCGCAUAGGUUGCAUGCGCGGGAUUGACUCAUAAGGUAGUGUCUUGAAAUCCAACCCUGCAUUUUGUAAAAGCAAGCAAACAGUUGAACCAUAUGGUAAUGCACGUGUGCUCACAUUACUACGCCGUGCCUCUAUCAUGUUAUGGCAAAUAAGUGCGGGCAAAUUAAUUUUACUGCGACGUGCCAUGUGAAACAGAAUAUGCAGAACAUAUAGUGUAAGCUCAUUAAGAUGACCCUUCUUAUUCAAGACAGUAUGAAACAAUAUCAGACUUAGAAUCCUGUAUUUUGGAAGUAGAGAUCUAUGUUCAACGCUUGUACCCAACUGAAAACAAUGGCCGCAUAAUUCCUUUGUUAUUGUGUCUGACAUUGCCUUGAUAUCAAUCUCUGGAAUACAAAAGUUAAUAGCUUUCUUGGGUGUUUCCAAAGAGAAGGUGCGUCCAAUAAGGGAUGGGGAAACCCGCACAGCAACUCCCUUGAAUGAAGUGUGAAAUGAAUAUUUCUCCUCGUCAACAUUUCUGAUAUUGUUGUAGAAUGCUCGCACAGGAGUUGGAUAACAUUCUUGCGUUAGCUGUAUAAAUGGUCUCAAUUUGUAAAAAUCUAGUAACUCAGCAACGCCAUGUUCUUCAAACCCAGCAAUUAGUAUGACACGCUCAAUGGCAAUUGGUCGUUUUGCUAUGAGCUUAUCACAUUCGUGCUCAUCAGGUGGGUGGCGAGGCAUGAAAGGGUCAUGUUGGACUUCCUCAGGUACAGUUGACGUUGAGCCAUGUCUAACCUUCUUUUUAGGCGGCAUGAUGUUUGGUCCUUGUAAUGGCACUACAUAUUGUUAAAAAUUCAGUGAUGGAAGUUAGAGAUGAAAAGUUUCAAUUCAUUGCAUCCAAGCCAACCACAAAUAGCUUAAAAAGGAAUUCAAGCAACUCCCAAAAGAGUGGUUGCCACAACCAAGAGAAAAUAUGUGCAGAAAACAAUGAAAAACAAACCUUAUUGUUGUUGUUAUUGUAGCAAAUUGUUGACGAUUAUGCCAGUGAAAAUCUUACAGUGAAAUGGUAGAGUAGCUAAAAUGGAGGAAUGGGUGGGUGGAAGAGGGAGGUUGUGAUGUGCAACGUGUAUAGUAGAAAAUGAGGUGUAAAUGGGAAUGAAUAUGAGUUGUUGAGGAUGUGAUGUCAACCAAACUGAGUAAAUGGUUGAAGUUGGAAUGGAGGUCCGCCUAUGCACGAGAUGUGGCUAGUACAUACAUGCAUUUAAUGUUCCAUAAUGAGUGCAUAGUUACAAGUCACUAAAAUUGGAUGGGAUGAAACAACGUGAAUGAAGUCUUCUACAAGCCUACAAUUGGAGACUAUCAUUAUGUGGAGUGAAUGUGAAGUUAUUAUGUGGUAGGUGCAUCAUAAAUAUUGGUAAUAUGAAGUCUUCUACAAGCCUACAAUUGAAGACUAUCAUUAUGUGGAGUGAAUGUGAAGUUAUUAUGUGGUAGGUGCAUCAUAAAUAUUGGUAAUAUGUUGACCUCUAGUUAUUAAAUGUCCACUGUGGUACAAUCAAAUCAAAUGCAACAAAAGUUUUUCAAGUUUUUGUUCUCGUUGACAUAAAAUGGCCAAAUAUUUAUCGAAUAAGUGUAAUGUAGUUGAUACAAGUAUGAAUAAAUAUAAUAUUUAUUAAAUUUUUAUAAGAAAAGUAGCAUUAAUUGAUUUAAUAUAUUUAAGAGAUUUAUUUUUAAAUUAAAAAAUACGUAUAUUAAAACAUAUUUUAUGACAUUCUAAAUACUUUAAAAAAUGUAUCAUUAAAUUAUUAAAAAUGCUAAAAAAAACUUUCACAAUUGACAAAAAAUGCGCAUGGACUCCAAUUUUUUCCCACAAAAACAGUAGUAGAAGUUUAUUUAAUUCAAUUUGGAAAAAAAUGACCCAUAUCAUUAAAAAUAAUUAUUUUUAAAAAUCAUCCGUAAAUAUAAAAUUCUAUGACUUUAUUAAUCUGAUAGCUACACAUAGAAGCUAAUCACCUUGCUAAACAAAGAUUUAUUACCAGUAUGAUAUUUUCCAUCAUGCCAAACGCUGCACGAGUAUGCAAUUUCGUUUUGUAAAUGCUUAUUGAUUCGACUCAUGGUAGCUUAGCUUUAAAGGCGUAUCAACAAAAUUUAUACCUUAAAUACUAUUACUAAAGUAGCCAAGCUACUAUAGCAUAGUGGUUCUAGGAUCGUUCACUGGGAAGGGUUUUCGCAAACACUAGUGAUAUUCAAAUUAGGAAAAUAGGUGAUUUUCUUAUGGAUGUUAGCUUUAAAAGAAGAUGUAAAUGUUUUAGAAAGAUUUAAACUAAUCUAAGCUAACAUUAAAGACUAAAAUGAAAGGGUGUAAAAACAAGUUUCUCAAAGAUAGGAUAGCUAUGCUCUGGCUCUUAUGCAAAUUGGAAAUCUCAUGAUAGGCUCCUCGAGUUGGGGUUGCAACUAUGGUGAUGCUUGCUUCCCGAACCGGUAUGGAUUUAGCAAAUCAAGUUUUAAUCCUUUAAAAUGGCAAAACAGAUGGUAGUGAAUUUCAUCAAUGGUUAUUCACCUUAGACUUCCUUUGAAUGGCUCGUAAGAGAUAACUAAUGGUCUAAAGCCAAAAGCUUACCAAAUAUUGGCAACUCAAAGUCAUUCCAGGUGAUAAACUCACCUUUCAAUGACCAUUGAAAUUGGUUCUAACGAAUUAAUGCAAAACUUGGAAUUGAAAACCUCACCUUCCAAUAGCUCGUAGGAGAUAACUAAUGGAUAGAAAUCCAAAAGCUUAUCAAGUAUUGGCCGUUGGAAGUUGUCCAAAGGAAAUAAAAACCAAACUUUGCAUUAAUGAACCAUUAAUGAAAAACGACUACCUUACCUUCCAAGUGCGAGAAAUUUCCAUGGGAUUGCAUCCAAGCCAUCACAUAACAUCCAUACUUUGAGAAACUAAAAGUUUUAGCCAAUCAUCCUUUGAGGAAAAGCCCUCAGAGGCUGUUUAGCUUCCAAGAAAAUAAAAUAGUAAAGAGACAAGAGAGACGAGAGAGCUCUGUAUAUAUUUUAAGUGUCAAAACGUCACCUAUGUUAUAUAUUCCAAGAGGUGAUUUCCACCCCUUAUAUAGUCUUUACAAAAGCAAAAGCUUGUGAUUGGUUAGUUACAAGGAUAAGAAAGGAAAUUACAUCAAAAAAUACAAAGGAAAAUAUCUAAAGUGGAGUCGGCAAAAACAGAGGAAAAUUCGCACCACGCAUGGGUUAUGCGAAUUUUGAAGGUGUUAUGCGAAUUUCGCAAAACACCUUGUGUCGUGCGAAAUUUUCGCACAACCUGGAGCAGUUGGCUUCCAAAGGCCAUAUCUUCCUCAUUUCAGCUCCAAAUCGUACACGGUUUGAAGCUUUGGAUUCUUGACUUCCAGAGCUUUGAAAUGGUAUAUAGCAUGUAAAAAAUGGACUUCAGGAAGUGCUCUAAAAGUGCGAAAGAAAACUACAGCUGCUGUCCUCUUUGCUUCUCUUCACUUUGCUUGCUUUUCCUCUUUGCUUCUCUUUCCUUGCAUACUUUGAACGACUUUGGAAAAGGGCUAUGGAGCUCCAAAGCUUGGUUCUUCAUGAAUUUGAGCUUCCAAAAGCUUUGCCAUAACUUGUCCAAGUAGCUCCUCCAUCAUUUGGCAUGCUUGAAUUGAUUCAUAAGCUGAUAAAAACAUGUAAACUUGCCACAAAAUGGUUAAAACCAAUUACUAAGGACCUUAAUGAAUUAAUUGGGUUAAAUGAAUAUGAUUACUACUCAAAGGUGCUUAAAACCAUUAUAAUUAGGUCUACAAAAUAGCACUUUUUGGUAGUAAUCACUUAUAUCAUCCACAAUCAUUUAAACCUCCAUAAAUGAUCAAUAACUAUUUGUAUUUCAUGGCAUUGGCAGAAUUGAACCUUUUGGGAAUACAAGAAAUAAUGUUGAUGGGACAAAAUUAGAACUUCUAACAAAGUACAUAAAUUGGAAAGGUAAGACAAAUUGAGAAACCAAGAAAGAACCACUAGAUUUAGCACACAUUUAGGGUUCCAUUAUGAACUUUCAUCAUGAAACAUUUCCUAGAAUCAAUAGCUAACUAUAGUCCCCAAUGCAACCCAAUUGGCAUCUUUUGCAAUAGAAAUACUGGUGGUUGAUGAGCCCAAUCACAGAACUUCAUGAGCUUUCCCAUAAUACCUGUUUAUAAACGGUGCCUGAAAGGCAUUCCAAACAACAAUAAUUACUAUUUAAAGAUUAAUGAGUCAUACUUAUUUCCUGAAAAAAAAUGUAGAGAGGGCACAAAUAAGAUAAUGCAAUUAGCAUUCAUUAACAAGUGUCUGCUCUAAUAGAAGAGGCCAAAUUCAUUGAUAUGCUACAACCAAUCAACUAUUUUUUGUACUUAUUCACAGAAUGGAUGGCAAAACAUACCCUCAAUAAACCAUGGCCAAGUGAAAACAAGGUGACUAAACAGAAAAAACUCAACUUAAUUAGCUAAGUAAAAGUCAAACCAUUUAGAAAUAGUGUCAUAUUGAUCCAUUUGGAUACCAAGGAAAAAAAAUGGCCACAUAAUGACAAAGCUUUUGGGCGAUCAGUUAGUUGAUAUUAAAAAUAGCAGACAUGUUAUGUUAGCAUGGAACAGAUAAAUAAAUUAAACAUAUAUUCCAUCAAGAGAUUAUUUUUUGACUAUUUAUGUAGGGAACGACUUAUAGCAAUACACCAUGAUCUUGAAUAUCGCAUUAAGGCCAGCUUCAAAAUGCACAAGAUUCAUAGGCUAUCAAUAGUCUCAUAUGGAGAAACAAAAAUAGUGGUGUCGAAGAUAUUCUGUUCUUUCAAUAGAAGAAAUGUUCAAAAUUGUACCUUAACAUUUUAGAGUUUUUGUCAAUGAAGAAUAAUCGGAACAAACUCUAACAAAUUCUAUCUUAUGCUCUCUCUAGCUUUUAACAUGACUGUCCAUAUUAGAUUGUGUUGAUUGGUUGGGCUCUUGAUGAUUAUAGAGAGGUGUUUUUGUUAAUCUCUCAAUCUAAUUGCCUUUAUGUCUUAUUUCUAAACUUCUUGUGUACAUUUGUGCACCUUCUUUUAAUUAGGUGGUGUUAAUAAUAUUAUCUUUUGCAAAAGAAAAAAUAAAUUGUACCUUAACAUUUGAUAUGCCAGGAUUAUCAUCGGUCUGGACUGAGUAGAACUUGUUAAACUUCAUGUUUUCAAAUGCUGCUUUAGUCUAUUAACUCAUUUCUGCAAGGCCUUUUUCUAGGCUUCUCUAGCCUACAAGAAAAGGAAUUGACAAGUACUCAACAUAUUUGAAAUUUAUGUGCAAGACCAAAACUAUUGUAACGAUUGGUAUCUGUUAUAAAAUACCUGUCUAUUGGCUUUUUUUGCCUCUCGGACAUUGUCUUUGACAAAAUUAUGAGCAACCAAAACAAUUUAAGUUCAUGGUAUGGUUAAUUACAUGCAAGAGCAAUCAAUUACAUGCAUAUCAUCAAUUACAGAUCACCUUAAAUGCAUCCUUUUGAUCUGCAUCAAAUUCAUUCUCCUCAAUUAGCUUAUCAGUGACCUCCUAAAGAUAAGAGAAGUACAGUUAACCACAAGAUGUAAAUAAAACAUAAUAAAAACCUAUAAAGCUUAUGAGUAAUGAAGGAACUUAUUCUUUUAGAGGGUUCCUUCCACAACACUCCCCUAGGAAAUAUUAAAGCAGGAACAAGUCGUCCUUUGUCUUAUUAAAUGUCUAACCAUCAAAAAUCACUCUAAACUAAGUUUAGUAUCAAUUGAUUUAUAGAUGCGAGACAGCUAAACCCACAAUAAGAUGGUAACAAGGAUUCUUUCAGCUAAACAGAAAAUACAGCCAUUUGACUAAAUUGGUUUACAGGGUUGUUGAAUUAUCUAAUAAUUAGCUCAUGAUUAUACAUAAACAUAGAAAAUUGGGGAUAAGUUUAAGCAACCAGACCAUGUCAUUACAAUAUUAUCAACUGAUUUAAACAGGUUAUAUGGAAUAGCACAAACGAUUUAUGGAAGCAUUAAGAAAUUGUCAAUAAUAUAACCUUAAAAAAUAAAAAUGUCAUUUACUAGAGUUUUAUAUAUAUAGGGAGGAGAUAGCACCUAACCUGGUAGUCAAAUGAACCAUGCAUGCAUUGGAAGUAGUCUUGAUAACUUAUCCCUUCUAUUGUACCAUAAAAAAGACAUGACAUAGCCUCAAAAUCUAUUAUUCACUAUCAAUGACCAAGUUGAAGUUUAAAUUUGAAUGUAUAGUUAAAAAAUUGAAUGAAAUAAAACCAAAGAAAUUAAUUGUGAAGGUUACCCAAUACUAUUCUGCAUCGUUGGUUGACCAAAUAUUGGCUGUAACCAUUUCACCAAUUUCGUUUUCGCUAUCAAGAACCAUAUGAGUUGCAAAUUUCAAUCUUUCAAGGCUCAUGCGUUCCUACACAUUAAACUUAUGUUAGACCCUACAUCUCGGUAACAUUUAACAUGUACAUUUGAAAAUAAAACCAUAACAUCAUAUUUAACAACUUACAGAAUUAAUGGUUCUAUUAAGACCACUUCCAUCCCAAUGUUGCAUAUAGAGAAUAGCAUACAUCCCAGUAUGACAUUUGCAAUAACAAGUAUGAUUUGUGACAUGUUAUUAACAUAGGACCCAAUUAGGAUUGAAAAUGAAUACAUGAAAAAAAAAAUAUGUAACUAACAAUUUUGGAUCGCCAUCGAUAUCUGCAUACUGUGGAUGUAAAUUAUUUAUAUUCACAUCAUUCCGUUUGAAGGAAUUUUUUAAUAACUGCGACAUAAAUCCAACUACUUUGAAAGCUUCAUUAACAAAGUGAACACGUUGAAUGCUAUUAUAUGAUGAAAGUAGAUCCACCCUUUUAGCCUCCAAAUUGAUUACCAUGAUGACCCAUUCAUUAAAUUGGAAUAAGGGGAUAUAAAACUACAAAACAGACAAUCAUCAUAACAACAAUGAAGGCUUAAAUAUUUGAAAUAUAAAUUCAAAAUUAUUAAAAAAUUGUCAUCAAUCUAUGUAAUCAAUACAAUAGUCAAGCAUUACCUGGUUGCAAAAUUCAAGAUUAACACAAUAGCUACCUAAUCUUUUCUUGAGUGUUGAUUUUGAGGUAGACUUGCUCAUUGAACCACAUAUUUCUUGUAAAAAGUUGUUGAGAGCAUAGUAACAAUGUAUGACUAAAGCUAUACAUGCAUCUUAUAUUAGGGACAAGAUUUGGUGUACUCGAGGAAAAAACCUCACCCCAAAGUAUGGAUUAAAAAAGUGUCUGCAAUAAGGAUUCUCUUCUUUUGCAUUCAUGUAUCGGCAAAACAUGGAAAUCACCUACAUAAUGCCUCUUCAUUAGUUAAAAUGAUCAAUGGAAAGAUGAAGGUAUUUUUUUCUUAUUUAUCAUAAACCUUACCGGAAUAUCAAUGAAGCUCUCCCCUACUAAGCAUUAAAAUUGUUCCCGUGUCACGCCAUAGCCACCAUAUGCACAAAGCAUCUCACUAUUAAUCACAUGAAACACAAGACGUGAGUAAUUUUUUUUGUUUUCUAGAUAAAUCCAUAAUCAUAGUCUUUUAAGAACAAUACUUGUUAAACGUGUGAUUUGGGACUAACCUUGGAUCUUUUGACUCAUCAAAUACAUAGUCGGCAACAUGUGUCUCUUCCUCCGUCAACCUUUUAUAUUUUGAUACACAUAAUUGUACAAAAGGUGACUUACACGCAGCUGCUCGUUGCCUAUGACGACGUACUUUCAUUUUUACUCUUUGUGGUCGUAUUUCUUCUGAGGCUUGUGGUGCUACAUCCACAUUGUUGUUCAUGCACGAUUGCACUAACACCAACAUAUUGUGUGGCCCAGGGUGAAGGGGAUCCUCGUUUGAAAAGAACACACCAUCUUCUAUGUUGGGUCUUUCUGACACCCCUUCAUUUGUACAUCCAACGUCAUCUUCAAAAGAUCUUCUUUGACCACCAGAAUGAACAGGUGAAUGUUGUGGAUUAUUUUUAUAAAAUGGUGCACCACUUUCAUUAACAUGUUCAUGAAAAUUUGACGGUUGGCCUUCAUCUGUGCGAUAAUGUGAAGAGGUGAAACGAGUCCUCAACACUUUCACGUCACGGUUGUAUGAUGCAAUAAGACUAUUAAGAUGACUUUGUGCAUCGGUGAUUUGACGUUGUGUUGCCUCCAUGCGAGCACAAAUAACCUAAGUCAAACAUAAUGAAGGACCAUUAAAUGACAUAUAUUUAAACUAAGCCUUAAUAUAAGUUACUAUUCAUAGUCAUUAGGUAUGAAGGAUUACAUCAAAGUCUUCAUUCUCAUCUGGGUCAACUGGGUCAUCAACUGUAGGAGCCUUAUUUUUUUCUGUUUCAUCUUGCUCCGCCGAUGUGCUAACCAACUAUCAUUGCAAAACAUGUAAAUUGUCAUCCCAAUAAUCUAAUUACAAUGGUAAUCAACUAUCUUAAUAUAACUAAAAGCUAAUUAUACCUCAACUUUGCCAAAUCCUCCAAGCAUUUCUAACUCCAACUUGAUGCGUUGCUUGACCAAAAAAUCAUUCCAUGCAGCAAUGCGAGGAGUGGUAAGUUCCACAUACAUGGCUGGAAAAUUAGAUAUUGAAAAGUAGAAUAUCUGUUGCAUUAUAUAAGACAUAAUUAGUGGUAACAUCAUGGCCAACAUAGUGUAUAACCAUUAUUGAAUAUCUAAUACAUGGACAUAUACUUAUAAAUAAGACAAAAAGUUACCUGUAGAAACAUCAAACACCCUUUAAUCCAAACACUUUCCUUCCUCCUAUGUUCAUGUAUAGCUUGAAUCAAAAAUUCUAAGACAUUCUCCCCAAUUUAUGUUCCCAAGUAACUGCUCUCGGGGUGUAUACCAUAACGAGUGACUACCUUCCAAACGAGAAGUGGGUGCCAAUAAGGUUGCACAAGCGAAAAUCAAGAAGACCCGCUUAAAUUCCUCCAUAUCAUCGAUGCCAACCAUCAUUGACUCUAUAUCUUGCAAACUCGGCAUUUGACUAGCUUUAACACUUCCCUUCUCAACAAUUAACUUUCUUCCACUAUGUGGAAUGCCCAUCGUCAUCCCAACAUCAUGACAUGUCAAAGAAACCUUCUUACCCCCAAAUAACUCGAGUUGGGAAUAAGCAAUGUUUGUGUUUUUUAUCAACCAAAAACAUAAAUCUAAAUUAACCUCCUUACAACCUAAUUGCAAUAGCCCACCAAAACCAAGUUCUCGUAUUACAUCCUUCUUCACUUCUGAGAGCAAAUGGAUUCCAGAGAGGAAUCUACGGCUAGAACAACGACACCGUAUGUUCAUAUUAUCACUGCAUUAAACAACUAUAAUUCAUUAAUAAAUUAAUCAAAUGUUAAAGACAUGUGAACGUGAAUAUAGUGUUCCUAUAUACAUUCAUCAUAAUUAUUACACAAAUAUAACAUAUAUUAACAAAGAAAUGGGAAACAUUUUGUUACAUCAUGUAAAUGAUAAUCAUUGAGAUCGGUUUCCUCUAGCCUUUCAAUAAUAUGGUUAUCAAUAAGGGUGAAAUUGUUAUAUAUAGGGUCACCCACUAUGAUACCCACUGCAAAAAAAAAAAAAAAAAAACAGACAAUGUGCAUUUUAGUGGGUCAGCCAAUAAAAACAAAUGGUACGCCUCAAAGUUACAUACUCAUCUAACCAUAUCAAUAUAGUUUAGGGAAAAGUGGGAUUUGAUUCACUAAUAAGAAAAUAUAUGAUAAAAAGAAUCCCAAAUAUUUUAAAUUAGUAUUAUCUUCAUCUAUUUAAAAAUAAUUUGAAAUACAUGCAAUGAGUUAUCCAAUUAUUCCAAAAAAUGUCAUUUUAUUUUUUAUGUUAUUCAAAUCAAUUGAAAACUACACUCCUCCAUAUAAAUGUUUCCUUAUUAUUUUAGAUUUUUUUAUUAUUAUUUUAUUAUUUAAGAUUUUUUUUCCUCUAGAAACAAACACCUUAUAGGAUUCUUAUUUUAGUUUUCUAAAAGUUUAGGAAAUAUUGUCAAACAAAUCAUAUUUAAUCAUAAUUACGAAUUCAAAAAGUAAUAAGAUUUUUUAUUAAAUAAUAAAGAAUAAACUCGUAAUAUAUAAUUCUUUUAAUAUUAUAACAAAUUUAUUAUUAAAAAACUUUAAUAACAAAUUUUAUUCAUUAUUAUAUUAAACAAUUAUUAAUAUUAUAUAAUAAAUAGAAAUUUAUUAUUGGUUUAUUUAUUAUCAAGAAUAUGAAUCUAUUUUUAACUUAUUAAUACUAUAAUAAAUUCUGUUUUUUUUUUCAAAUUAUUACUUUAUAAUGUUUCUAGAGAAAAAAAAUUCCCAAAUAAUAAAAUAAUAAAAUAAUAAAAUAAUAAAGUAAUAAUAAUAAUAAUAAUAAUAAUAAUAAUAAUAAUAAUAAUAAUAAUAAUUUAAGAUUAUUGACAACUACACUCCUCCAUAUAAAUGUUUCCUUAUUAUUUUAGAUUUUUAUUUUAUUUUAUUAUUUUAUUAUUUAAGAUUUUUUUUCCUCUAGAAACAAACACCUUAUAAGAUUCUUAUUUUAGUUUUCUAAAAGUUUAGGAAAUAUUGUCAAACAAAUCAUAUUUAAUCAUAAUUACGAAUUCAAAAAGUAAUAAGAUUUUUUAUUAAAUAAUAAAGAAUAAACUUCGUAAUAUAUAAUUAUUUUAAUAUUAUAACAAAUUUAUUAUUGAAAAACUCUAAUAACAAAUUUUAUUCAUUAUUAUAUUAAACAAUUAUUAAUAUUAUAUAAUAAAUAGAAAUUUAUUAUUGGUUUAUUUAUUAUCAAGAAUACGAAUCUAUUUUUAACUUAUUAAUACUAUAAUAAAUUCUGUUUUUUUUUUUCAAAUUAUUACUUUAUAAUGUUUUUAGAGAAAAAAAAUUCCCAAAUAAUAAAAUAAUAAAAUAAUAAAGUAAUAAUAAUAAUAAUAAUAAUAAUAAUNNNNNNNNNNNNNNNNNNNNNNNNNNNNNNNNNNNNNNNNNNNNNNNNNNNNNNNNNNNNNNNNNNNNNNNNNNNNNNNNNNNNNNNNNNNNNNNNNNNNNNNNNNNNNNNNNNNNNNNNNNNNNNNNNNNNNNNNNNNNNNNNNNNNNNNNNNNNNNNNNNNNNNNNNNNNNNNNNNNNNNNNNNNNNNNNNNNNNNNNNCUUUUUUCAAAUUAUUACUUUAUAAUGUUUUUAGAGAAAAAAAAUUCCCAAAUAAUAAAAUAAUAAAAUAAUAAAGUAAUAAUAAUAAUAAUAAUAAUAAUAAUUUAAGAUUAUUGACAACUACACUCCUCCAUAUAAAUGUUUCCUUAUUAUUUUAGAUUUUUAUUUUAUUUUAUUAUUUUAUUAUUUAAGAUUUUGUUUCCUCUAGAAACAAACACCUUAUAGGAUUCUUAUUUUAGUUUUCUAAAAGUUUAGGAAAUAUUGUCAAACAAAUCAUAUUUAAUCAUAAUUACGAAUUCAAAAAGUAAUAAGAUUUUUUAUUAAAUAAUAAAGAAUAAACUCGUAAUAUAUAAUUCUUUUAAUAUUAUAACAAAUUUAUUAUUAAAAAACUUUAAUAACAAAUUUUAUUCAUUAUUAUAUUAAACAAUUAUUAAUAUUAUAUAAUAAAUAGAAAUUUAUUAUUGGUUUAUUUAUUAUCAAGAAUAUGAAUCUAUUUUUAACUUAUUAAUACUAUAAUAAAUUCUGUUUUUUUUUUCAAAUUAUUACUUUAUAAUGUUUCUAGAGAAAAAAAAUUCCCAAAUAAUAAAAUAAUAAAAUAAUAAAAUAAUAAAGUAAUAAUAAUAAUAAUAAUAAUAAUAAUAAUAAUAAUAAUAAUAAUAAUUUAAGAUUAUUGACAACUACACUCCUCCAUAUAAAUGUUUCCUUAUUAUUUUAGAUUUUUAUUUUAUUUUAUUAUUUUAUUAUUUAAGAUUUUUUUUCCUCUAGAAACAAACACCUUAUAAGAUUCUUAUUUUAGUUUUCUAAAAGUUUAGGAAAUAUUGUCAAACAAAUCAUAUUUAAUCAUAAUUACAAAUUCAAAAAGUAAUAAGAUUGUUUAUUAAAUAAUAAAGAAUAAACUUCGUAAUAUAUAAUUCUUUUAAUAUUAUAACAAAUUUAUUAUUGAAAAACACUAAUAACAAAUUUUAUUCAUUAUUAAAUUAAACAAUUAUUAAUAUUAUAUAAUAAAUAGAAAUUUAUUAUUGGUUUAUUUAUUAUCAAGAAUACGAAUCUAUUUUUAACUUAUUAAUACUAUAAUAAAUUCUGUAUUUUUUUUCUUCAAAUUCUUACUUUAUAAUGUUUCUAGAGAAAAAAAAUUCCCAAAUAAUAAAAUAAUAAAAUAAUAAAGUAAUAAUAAUAAUAAUAAUAAUAAUAAUAAUAAUAAUUUAAGAUUAUUGACAACUACACUCCUCCAUAUAAAUGUUUCCUUAUUAUUUUAGAUUUUUAUUUUAUUUUAUUAUUUUAUUAUUUAAGAUUUUUUUUCCUCUAGAAACAAACACCUUAUAGGAUUCUUAUUUUAGUUUUCUAAAAGUUUAGGAAAUAUUGUCAAACAAAUCAUAUUUAAUCAUAAUUACGAAUUCAAAAAGUAAUAAGAUUGUUUAUUAAAUAAUAAAGAAUAAAAUUCGUAAUAUAUAAUUAUUUUAAUAUUAUAACAAAUUUAUUAUUGAAAAACUCUAAUAACAAAUUUUAUUCAUUAUUAUAUUAAACAAUUAUUAAUAUUAUAUAAUAAAUAGAAAUUUAUUAUUGGUUUAUUUAUUAUCAAGAAUACGAAUCUAUUUUUAACUUAUUAAUACUAUAAUAAAUUCUGUAUUUUUUUUUUCAAAUUCUUACUUUAUAAUGUUUCUAGAGAAAAAAAAUUCCCAAAUAAUAAAAUAAUAAAAUAAUAAAGUAAUAAUAAUAAUAAAAUAUCUAAAAAGAAUGGAAAUAUUUAUACAAUGGAUUCUAAUUGUCAAUGGAUUAGGAUGACAUGACAAGUAAAGGGCUAUUUUUGGGAAUAAUUAAAUCAUAAAUUAAAAAGUGCAUGCAUUUUAAAUUAUUUUUAAAUAAAUGAAGAUAAUAUUGGAAUUUUCUUUGUCAACCAAUCAGUUUUGAGAAAAAAUGUUCUUGUAACGGAUAAGCUCCAAGAGGUUAGUUUUUGUAUAUAUAUAUAUAUAUAUAUAUAUAUAUAAUGUAUAUAUAUAACAGUUCAUGUAAAUUUUGAUUUUUUUGUAAAUUAAAAUAUAAUAUUUUUUUAUAUUGAUAAAUAAAAGUCAUAUUGUUUUAAACUACUUUAUUCAACAAACAACAAGAUCGGUGGCCCCAACAUUGAUAUGGUUACAAAAAUAGCUAUAAAAGAAAAUAUGACAUCAAAAUCCAAUUCAAUAAAAAUCAUAGUCCUCAAACCUCUGUUUCAUUAAAAGGUACAUAAUCCUACAAUUCACUUCAUAUGACUCAUGAAGUUAGCGCCAUCAAGAUGAAUUGUCAUAAUUGAAACAAAUCUACAUAAACAAAUAGAGACCAUUUCACAUUUUAAACUACAAUAUCCAUCAAACAACAACAAGACCAAUGUUUACAAAAUUAAUGAAGUUACAAAACUACUGAAAGAAAAGAGUAACCUACCAUUUAAAAAUUUUCUACAUUUGUAUUAAAAAUAUAUGGUAACAAAAUUUUCUAUUAACAUUAAUUUAUUUAAAUAAUUAAUAUUAUUAAUAAUUUAUCUUAUCAAAUUAAUUUUAAUUUAUAAAAUAUUACUGAUAAAAACUGAAAUUUUGAUUUAACCAAAAUAAAGAUGGAUAAUUAAUUAUUUAUAAUUAAUAAUUAAUAAUUUUGAUUUAUAAUAUUGUUCUUGUGAUUUGUUUCCUUUUUAUUUCUAUACUAUAUCUAAAAAACAAACAUGCUCGUUGCCAUUCGUUGAGGCAUUAUGGGAAGGUGAAGGACCCAACGGUGGAGAAUUUGUUGCCGGAGAUUGAUUUUGAGCACACUGUUGGGAGGAGAUUGGUUUCAACCUCUGGAACUCGGUCUGUGGUUCUAAUGGUGGUUGAUGCUUCAGAUUUUGAUGGGUCCGGCCACCACGCGUGAGGCAUCAAGAAACCCCUUUGUUGAAUUCUUCUCCAGGCAAGCAUCAUGCCUUAUUUUCCUCUGCCACUCUCAAUCCUCGCAGGUGCUAAUCUAAUCAUGUUAUUAAUAUUUAUUUUCAACCCCAAUUUGCUUCCCAAGAAAAUCCAUCCCUCAUUCGAUUUCCGGGAAAAUUCAUCCUCGUUUAAUUUCCGAGAGAAAUCCAUCAAAACUCCCAAGGAAAACCAAAAAAAAAAAAUGCUUUUAUUUUGUUGCUCCCCGUGUUUUCUGGAUCUGUUCUAAGGUUUUAUUUGUUUUUGUGCCAUUGGAUUUAAAUUCUACAAACCCUAAAUCCACGAUUUUUGAGCCACGCUGAAAACCACAACCUUUGCCCUCAAAUUGUGGAUCUGUGUGCGUGUGUGGCGGGUUGGAUUUAAAUUCUACAAACCCUAAAUCCAUGAUUUUUUUGCCACGCUGAAAACCACAACCUUUGCCCUCAAAUUGUGGAUCUGUGUGCGUGUGUGAUAUUUUUAAAAAAUUACCCAAUUUUCUGUCAAAGAUCUCAACAAGCAUUAAUACCAACCCAAAUUAACUCAUAAAUCCAUUACAUUUGUACCUGGGAAAGCUCCUCUCAGCUCGGACCACUUCUCUCUAUUUUCACUGCAAGCUUCCCUCGCGAAUUGUGGCUGUGAAAGAAAGUGAAAAAAUAUGGGUUUUUGGAGUUAGGGUUUGGUUCAGGAGAGAAGAAGGGAUUUGGGGGGUUUGGUUGAAAGAGAGAAGAAGGGAUUUAGGGUUUUGAUUCAACACAGAAGAAAUGAUUUCGGGUAAAUCUCACUAUUAUAUUUUAGUAAAUAUUUUUUAAAAAAUAUUGCCACAUGGAGUGUCUACAUGUCAUAUGAGCCAUGUCACUGGCUUAAGUGGAACAUGACUUUGCUGAGUAAUUGAUUAUGUCAAAGUGUAUGAGGGUAUUUUUGGAAGGCUCCUCAAUAUCACUAUUACAGUGUAUGAAAGGUGAUUUAUUUUUCACAAAAUCCAUUGAAUUUGAAAAGUAAAAAGUUAAGUUUCCAAAAGGCAAAAUUUUGCCCCUUGGUGUAUGGUUACAUAAAUUCCCCUAAAAUAAAGUGGGUAAAGUAAGUAACGGACUUUGACAAUUAAUUUAAUGAAUUUUUUUGGUUCCCUUAAAAACUUUUUCUGUUAAAAAAUGAAAAACUUCACUAAAUUUGAAUUAAAAAUUCCAUAUAGUUUUUAAAAUGACCACAACCUAUAAUUUGCAUAGACUAAGGGCAAGGAGAUAUUUUAUACCCAUACUUUAAUGACGCUUCUCUGAAGCGCCAAGUUAUAGAAUUAACAUUAUCACACUUUGAAUAUGCACCAUUAUAUACCCAAUAAUACCUAAAUAAGCCUUAUCAAACGAUGAUGCUUCUAAUAAGCAUCAUGGAUUGAAAAAUACUACACUAAACAAUGAUGCUUUUAUUGGGUUUUUCCUCAUAUGGAAGGCCCAAAUUAAGAGCCCAAAAUUUAAGCUCUCUUAGGCCUUUAUAUAAAAGGGUUAAAAGAAAAAUCCUUCUUCUUCUUCUUCUUCCAAUUUUUUUUUGCAGCCACUAGAGAUAGAAGAAAAAAAUAUUAGAAGGAGAAAAGAGAGAGAGAAGGGGAAAACCACCAUUUUUUGAAACUAGAGAGAAAAAAACUCAAUUUUUCUUCACUGUCCAGAUUUCAUCAAAGGUUUGAUCCCGCUUCAUCUGUGGGCCAAUCGACUUGAUAUUUGAAGGAGAGGUUCGUGACUCAUUGAUCUUCAAUCUGAACGGUAAAGAUCGGAUUUGGAGUUCCGUACGGUCUUCUUUCAGUCCGAGAAUAGAGCCUCUGUUUUAGUGAGUUUUCUAUCCGAACAGUUUUGAUCAUGAGCUUCGAUCAAGUUUAAUCCGUGGUUCGAUUGAGUUGAUUUUUGGUAAGCACGUUUAGAACUUGUUGAUCUUCAUUCUGAACGGUGAAAAUUGGAUUUGGAGUUCGAAACAGUUAUAUUUCAGUCUGAGAACAAUGAUUGUGUUUGGUGAGAUUUCUCCAUUGUCUUUUAUGCAAAGUUGUUGAAAUUGCCAAGAUUAAUUUGUUUUGAGAUAUGACUGAUGUAUGCCUCUAGUUUUAUCUAGAGAGAAUUGUGUAACCCAUUGAUUAUAUCAGUGGAGUUUUUAAGUGGCCUAAGGGUCCCGUGGUUUUUACUUCUCACAUUAGAGAAGGUUUUCCACGCUAAAAAUUGUUAGUGUUCAUAUAUUUGUUGAUUGGGUGAAUUAUUAUUGCUCUAUUUGAUUGAUUCCUAUUAGGUUCUCACAAGAAGGGAUAAAACCUGGUUGCGCAUUGUUUGUGUUUAUUCCAUCAAAGUGGUAUCAGAGCAUUGGUUUAAGAUAAUUUGUGCCUUGUGUAGAACAAUGAAAACUAAUACAAGUAGAAUGAUUACUCUGAAUGGCUCCAAUUAUCAUGUUUGGAAAGGAAAGAUGGAAGACUUAUUGUAUGUGAAGGAUUAUUAUUUUCUUGUGUUUGCUUCUGGAAAGCCAAAAAAUAAAACUGAUGCAGAAUGAAAUUUACUUCAUCGGCAGGCUUGUGGUUAUAUCAAACAGUGGGUAGAUGAUAAUGUUCUCAAUCAUGUUAGUGAAGAGAAACAUGCAUGGAGUUUAUGGAACAAACUCGAACAGUUAUAUGCUAAAAAGACUGGUAACAAUAAAUUAUUUCUGAUCAAGAAUAUGAUUAGCUUGAAGUAUUAAGAUGGAACUCCUAUGACAGAUCACUUGAAUACAUUCCAAGGUAUUAUUAAUCAGUUGGCUGGAAUGAAUAUCAAGUUUUAGGAAGAGGUGCAAGGGUUGUGGCUUCUUAGUACAUUGACGAACUCGUAGGAGACAUUUAGAACUUCUUUGUCUAACUCAGCUCUAGAUGGUACUAUGAAUAUAGAUUUGGUUAAGAGUUGUGUUCUGAAUGAAGAGAUGAAAAGAAAGUCAUAGGGUUCCCCUUCACAGUCAGAUGUCCUAGUUACUGAAAAAAUGGGGAGGAGUAAGAGUAGAGGUUCAAAGAACAAAGAUAGAAGCAAAAGCAAGACUAACAAGUUUGCCAAUGUUGAGUGUCACUAUUUCCUUUUGAAAGGGCAUAUAAUAAAGUAUUGUCGCCAAUUGAAGAGAGAUAUGAAACAAGGGAAAGUGAAGAACAAGAAGAAUGAUAAUGGUGGUGAAGAUGAUCGAGUUACCACUACUACUUCAGAUUUCCUUAUUGUUUAUGAUAGUGAUGUUGUUAAUUUUGCUUGCUAGGAGACUAGUUGGGUGAUUGAUAGCGGUGCCUCAAUCCAUGCUACACCUCGGAAAGAUUUCUUUACAUCUUACAUAUUCGGUGAUUUGGAAGUGUUAGAGUGGGUAAUGAUGGCUCAGCUAAAGCCCUUGGUAUGGGAGAUGUGCGUUUGAGACUAGUAAUGAUACUAUGUUGAUUUUGAAGAAUGUCAAACAUAUUUCGGAUAUCCGCAUGAAUUUAAUCUCUAUAGGUAAGCUUGAUGAUAAAGGGUUUUACAACACCUUUCGUGAUAGUCAGUGAAAGCUCACUAGAGGUUCUAUAGUGGUAGCAAAAGGAAAGAAGUGUUCCUCAUUGUAUUUGAUGUAGGCAAGGGUAAUUGAUUCCAGUAUCAAUGCAGUGGAUGAUGAUAGCAUAGUUGAGCUUUGGCACAACAGACUCAGUCACAUGAGUGAGAAGGGCUUGAUGAUUUUGGCUAAGAAGAAUCUUCUUUCUGGUAUGAAGAAAGGAUCUUUGAAAAGGUGUGCUCAUUGCUUAGUAGGAAAGUAGACCAGAGUUGCAUUCAAAACACACCACCAUACAAGGAAGUCAGGUAUGCUUGAUUUAGUGUAUUCUGAUGUGUGUGGUCCUAUGAAAACAAAAACACUUAGUGGAUCUCUAUAUUUUGUGACUUUUAUAGAUGAUCAUUCAAGAAAUAUUUGGGUGUAUGCCUUGAAAACAAAAGACCAAGUAUUAGAGGUGUUUAAGCAGUUUCAUGCUCUUGUUGAGAGACAAUCUGGUGAAAAAUUGAAAUGCAUCUGGACUGAUAAUGAGGGUGAGUAUUCUAGUCCUUUUGAUGAGUAUUGUAGACAACAUGGUAUUCGACAUCAAAAGACACCUCCUAAGACUCCUCAGUUGAAUGGGUUGGCUAAGAGAAUGAAUAAGACACUGGUUGAAAGGGUGAGAUGUUUACUUUCGCAGUCACAGUUUCCAAGAUCCUUUUGGGGUGAGGCUUUGAAUACUGUUAUACAUGUUCUUAAUCUUACACUAUGUGUUCCUUUAGAAUUUGAUGUUCCGGAUAGAAUUUGGUCAGAUAAUGAAAUCUCUUAUGAUCACUUGCGUGUCUUUGGAUGCAAGACUUUUGUGCACAUUCCGAAAGAUGAGAGGUCUAAGCUUGAUGCUAAGACAAGACCUUGUGUAUUCAUUGGCUAUGGUCAGGAUGAGCAUGGUUACAAGUUUUAUGAUCCGGUGCAGAAAAAGCUUGUAAGAAGCCGAGAUGCUAUGUUUAUGGAAAUCAUACCAUACAAGACAUUGAGAUGACUGAUGCAACAGAGUUUCAGUAUAGUGAUAAUCUGAUUGACUUAGAUCCAGUUCCUUUGACACAUCUUCCUACAUAGGUUGAAGAUGAAACACAUGAGGACCAACCUAACAUUGGUGGUGUUGAAACUCCCACACAGGUUGAGAUGGAUAAUGAUGUUCAUGAGCAGUCACCAGUAGCAGAGGCUCCACCAGAUAUUCCACUCAGGAGGUCUACUAGAGACCGACAUCCUCCCACAUGGUAUUCUGUUGAUGAUUAUGUAUUACUAACUGAUGGGGGAGAACCUAAAAUUUAUGAGGAAGCCAUGGGAGAUGAAAAUAAGAUGAAGUGGGUUGAUACUAUGCAAGAUGAGAUGAAGUCAUUGCAUGAGAAUCGUUCUUUUGAGCUUGUCAAGUUGCCAAAGGGAAAAAGAGCUUUGAAGAACAAGUAGGUUUAUAGAGUGAAGCAAGAAGAACACACUUCACAACCACGUUACAAAGCUAGAUUGGUUGUCAAAGGAUUCAGUCAAAAGAAAGAUAUUGAUUUUGAUAAGAUUUUUUCUCCUGUUGUUAAGAUGUCAUCUAUUCAUGUAGUUUUGGGCUUGACAACUAGUCUUGAUUUGGAGAUUGAGCAAAUGGAUGUUAAUACUGCAUUUCUCCAUGGUGAUUUAGACAAAGAAAUUUAUAUGGAACAACUAGAGGGUUUCACAAUAAAAGGAAAAGAGGAUUAUGUGUGUAAGUUGAAGAAAAGUCUUUAUGGCUUGAAGCAGGCACCGAGGCAGUGGUAUAAGAAGUUUGAAUCAGUUAUGGGGAAGCAAGGCUACCGAAAAACUUCUUCUGACCAUAGCGUAUUUGUGCAGAAAUUCUCUGAUGAUGAUUUUGUUAUAUUGUUGCUCUAUGUUGAUGAUAUUUUGAUUUGAUAGAAAUGUUUCAAGAAUUGAUAAGUUGAAGAAGCAAUUAAGCAAAUCCUUUUCCAUGAAGGAUUUGGGGUCAGCAAAGAAAAUUCUAGGUAUUAGAAUUGAGCGAGAUAGAGUAUCCAAGAAGCUGUAUAUGUCACAGGAGCAAUAUAUUGAAAAGGUGCUUGAAAGAUUAAACAUGAGCAAAGCUAAAGUAGUUAGUUCUCUUCUAGCUAGUCACUUUAAGCUAAGCAGCAGACAUAGCCCUUUUACAGAUAAGGAGAAGGAAGACAUGAGAAGAGUUCCAUAUGCCUCAAUAGUAAGAAGUUUGAUAUAUGCCAUGGUAUGUACUAGACCAGACAUAGCUUAUGCCAUUGGUGUUGUUAGCUGCUUUCUAUCUAAUCCAAGAAGACUACAUUGGGAGGCAAUUAAGUGGAUUAUGAGAUCUUUGCUAGACACUUCCAAGUUGAAACUCACUUUUGGAAGUAGGAAACUAAUACUUGUUGGAAUCAACCUUCAUGGUAUGACCUCCAAAUAUAGGUGCCCCAACUUUUGGUCAAUUUUUGAAGUAUUGGGAAUUCCAAUUGCACUUACAUUUGAUAAGUACUUUGUAUAAAACUCGAUGUUUUCCUUUGCAAUAUAGCAUUUGGCAAUGCAACCUUUGGGUUGUUUACUGUUUCGUACAUAGCCUUUUAACACUUUCUUGAACCUUUCAAAUGGGUACAUCUACCUAAGGUAAACCAGUCCACAAAGUCUCACCUCUUUUAUAAGAUGCACCAUAAGAUGUACCAUGAUAUCAAAGAAUGAAGGUGGGAAAUACUUUUCAAACAAGCACAAUGUCGCCACAACCUCAUUUUGUAACUCAUCUAAUGUAGACCUCAACCACUUUAUUACAGAGAGCAUUGAAAAAGGAACUCAAUCUACAGAUGGCAUUCCUCACAAGCUUUGGAAAAAUAGUUUGUAAUGAAACUGCCAAUAACUGUUGCAUUAAUGUAUGAUAGUCAUGGGAUUUCAAGCCAUAAAGCUUCAAGUCUUCCAUUAACACAAUGUUUCGAAGGUUAGAGCAAUAUCCAGAAGGAACCUUCAAUUGUGAAAGAGUUUGGAAAAAUACCUUCCUUUCCAUUUUGGAAAGUGUAUAACAUGUAGGAGGGAGAUAUGUUCUCUUUGAUUCAAACCUUGGUGCCAAUUCACUUCUUAAGCCCAUGUCUACGAGAUCUAAACGAUAGUUGAGUUCAUCCUUUGUCUUACCUGGAAUGUUGAGUAAGAUACUAAUGAUGUUUUCACAAACAUUUUUCUCAAUAUGCAUUACAUCCAAAUUAUGACGAACAUGAAGAUAUUUUCAAUACUCAUGAUCAAAGAAUAUGAACUUCUUCUUCCAACAAUUUGCAUUGAUAACUUUGGAUUUACCACGAUUAACUUUUUUUUCCUCCAUGAAUUACAAAUGAAAUUAAUUUUCCUGAGAAUUUCCUUUCCACUUAAUAUUUGUGGAGGUGACCUAAACUCUUGUUCACCAUCGAAUGUUUUUUUUUUUUGUUUCCUAAAUGGAUGGUUGCAUGGAAGAAAUUGUCUAUGUCCUGUAUAUGAGUUAUUUUUUUACAUGUUUCAAUCUAUGAGAAUAUGUUUCUUCCCUGUAUAUUGGACAACCAAAAUAUCCUUUAACUGUGCACUCAGACAAGUUUCCAUAUACAGAGAAGUCACUGAUUGUCCAUAAUGGAACAAAUCUUAAUGUAAAGAACUCUCGUUGAUGUUCAUUGUAAGCUUGGACUCCGACCUCUCAUAAUGUUUUAAGAUCUUCUAUCAACGAUGUUAAAUAGAUGUUAAGGUCAUUACUAGGUUUUCGUGGACCUAAAAUUAACAAAGAUAACAUCAUAAAUUUUAUCUUCAUGCACAACCAUGGAGGAAGGUUAUAAAUUAUCAUGAGAAUAGACCAAAAACUAUGUUUGCUACUUAAUGAACUGUGAGGAUUUAUGUCAUCUGCUGAGAUGACAAGUCUUAGGUUUCUAGGUUCUAAGGAAAACUCGGGCCGUCUAUGGUCAACUAGCUUCCAUGAUGGUGAGUCUGAUGGAUGACACAUUUUCCCAUCAAAAUCUCUUUCUUUGGCAUGCCAUAUGAGGUAUUUUGCGAUUUUUGAUGAUUGAAACAUUCUUCUAAAUCUUGGAACUGGAGGAAAAUACCACAUUACUUUUGCAAGAACUCCCUUCCUCUUUUUAGUUUCUGUCAUGUUUGUCUUCCACCUUGAAGUUCCACAAGAAGGACAUGAGGAUGCAUCUUUCAACUCAUUCCUAUAAAGUAUACAAUCAUUAGGACAUGCAUGUAUUUUCUCAUAUUCAAUUCCCAAUGUAUUCAAUGUCUUUUUUUGCUUCAUACAUAGACAAAGGCAACUCAUUAUUUACAAGCAACAUAUUUCCAAGCAUUUCUAAAAGCUUUGAAAAGCUUUUAGCAAACUGCCCAAAGCAUGCUUUUAGGUUGUACAAUUCAAUCAAUGUAGACAAUUUUGUAAAAAUUCUACAACUAGGAUAUAAAGGUUUUUUUACAUCUUUCAAUAAUAUUUGAAAUGAUUCUAGGUCAUUUUUACAAUCCUCCUGUGCAACUUGAACCAUUUCUAUUGUAUUAUGCACAUCAUCAAAUUAAACUCUAUCAUAAUGUUUUGCUCUUGUAGUUGGUGGUCCAAUUGGAGUUGCCUCUCCAUGCCAAUACCAUGUAUUAUGGUAACUUUGAUCAAUUUCGUGGAAAAACAUAUGCUCUCUAAUCUUUUGAGGAGUAUGGAAUAUCAUAUUACCACACUAUAAGUAUGGACAUUUAAUGGAGUUUUUAUUUUCAGAAUUUUGUAUUGCAAAUGUGAUAAAAUGUGAUAAAAUGUUCUACCCCAUCCUUGUACUCCUUCGAUCUUCUAUCCUUUGAAAUCUAUGAACGAUCCAUUUUUUAAUAACAAACUUCCAAUAGUGAUCAAACUUCAAAUUGAAGAAAAUAUCAACAUUUUCUAUGUCAUUCAUUUAGCAACCUCUCUUUCCUCUGUUCAAAGAAUAAUCAGGAAUCAAUUUAAUACAACAUUUGCUUAAGAUGCUAGAUUUAAGAGAAAAAGUGUGAGCAUUAAUGUCCUAACCAUUUUGAAUUGUGUACAUAGAUUUACACUAUUGGAAUAACACGCUAAUUAUUGACAAUUUUAAAAAGUGCUAAGGAAAAAAAAGGUCAUUGUAUAUAUUAUAUAUAGUAGUGAUUAAGAAGCUAUAAAUGUUAUUGACCUUGAAUACUUGCAUUAAAGAGGAUGUACAAUCUCAAUUAAACAAGUGCAUAUUAAUAUUAUUAACAUGUACAAUUCAAGUUGUGUUGCAUUUUUUUUAUGGCAUUUAACAUCUCCAACUUUGUAAAUUAGGGAAUGGUUCCUAUCCCAUAUAAGAAUACAUAAUCUCUAUGAGUCAACUGCCAAUAUGCUCAAUUUAAUUUAAAAAGAUUUCAGCAACAUUUCCUUAUGAUUCUCCAAGUACACAAAAUGGAUAAGGCAUAAUAUGUAACCUUGUCCAAGUAUGUACCCAAAGAACAAGAAGAAAGAGUACCAAAAUUUAUUUAAAAUGAAUUAAGAAUAAGCAAUUAAUUUCAUUGAUAUUAUGUUUUCCUACACUGUCCAGUCAAACAAUUCAAACAUCAUUUGUAGAGAAAAAAUCUUUAUCACAUGGUAGACAAUUUAAAAGUUGUCAACGUGAAACUAGUAUAGAUAAAACCAUUUUCACCUUUUGACAACUAAAAUGUCUUUACUAUGUAAUAACAAAAACUUUUGUUUGACAAUGAUACUUGAACGGGAACUCUAAGGUUGUAUGCAAGCAUAGUUGAUUAAAAUUAAAACACAAUUACUUACUAAAAUAUUACAACAAAACAACAUAACUCUCAUUCUAUUACGUUUAUCUUAAAUAUAUAACAUUUAACAUGGAGACCCAAAAACCUUUUCACAACUUAGAGAGAAACAUCUUCUACAAAAAGGUCCACACCAAAUUUAAUCAAAUUAAUCUAAAUUGGCAAUUUUAAAUAAACAUCAAGUAAUUAUCCUUCAAAACAAAUAAUAAGACAAUCAAAAUUUUACAACUAAUUUUUUUGUCCAAAUUUUAGCCUAUAAUGGUAUUUUGUGAACUAAAUAAUUUUAACUUGUCUCUAUGCAGUGCUUUUAUAUUUGGUGUUUUUUAGAAGAAUUGACAAGCAUUAUAGGGAUAAUAUAUGGUUUAACAUAUAUUUUUUUUCAUUUAAAAUAAAAAUUAUGAAAACAUUAAGUAUUAAGAUGACAAUAUUUUUGGUUUGAUUACAAUUUUAAUCUCUUUAUUAUAAAACUAAUAUAAUAUACAUCUAAAUAAUGUGUAAAGAAAUUCUAGAUGCCUAUGUAAAUAAAUAAAUAGUGCAUCCUAAUGAAAAAACUGAGAAUUAAUUUCAUAUUUUGGAACAUUCUAUACAAUCAAUGAUAUGAAUAAAUUAGAUUAAACAAUAUAAUCAAUUAAAUCAAUUAACAUUUCAUCACUUAAAAUUAAUACAUGCAAACCUAGGUGUUAGUGUGUGAAGCAUGACUCGCUUUGUAAACCAUAUAUCAUAAUAUAGGAGCACACGGUAAUGAAUAGGGAACAUGGUUUUCAUAAUUUUAAAAAAUUAAUACAUAAAUUUUGAAAUUAUAAUUUUAACCUUUUAAAUAUCUAAACUAAGUAAUCAUCAUAAUAGGAAAUUUAUCCCAAAUACCCUUUUGAACCAAAUAUCCUAAAAUUGUUUUUAGGUUAUAAUUAAAUUUUGUGUUAUCAAUUUUAAUUUAAUUUUUACUAUUUUCUGUUUUCAAAUGGUUUGGUAAAUCAUUUUAAUAUAUUUAUAAUCAAUCAAGUAAAUUAAUUUAAUAUAAAAUAUAUUUAUUUAAAAUAAUUUUUAGUUUAAUAAAUAAAAUAUUCAUAUUAUACUUUUACGAUCAUAUUUUAUCCAUAUAAAUAAUAUUCACCCAUGAUAAUAUUUAUAUUUCUUUUAUAUCAUAUUUCCUACAAGAUCUCAUAUUUGAUUUUAUUUCAUGUCAUUUUGAACCUUUUAAAAAGUUCUUAAGAAAACUUUGAAACAUAGAAUUGGUUUAUUCCCUUUUUCGUUUUUCUGUUAUUUUUAUAUAAAAUAAAAAUAGAGAAAAUACCCAUAUUUGAACAAUAUACCUAUAAAUUUGGAAUUCUUUUAUGAAAAAAUCAAUUAAAAUGAAUGAGAUAAUAUUUCUAUUUUCAUCCUUGAACUAUUUAAUCGAAAAGAUAAGGAUUAAAAAAUUGUAGAAGGCAUUUUUUUCUUCUUAUUUUUAAAAGAUAAAGAUCAUUGUUUUGAAUUUUGUGUUUCAAUAUACCUUAACCAAAUAACCGUUUCUUUAUUAAAUAUUCAUUUUAUUUUAUUUUUAUCAAAUUGAUAAUAUUAAUAUACGACAAUAAUAAAUGAUUAAGAAGAAAAUAGUAAUAAAAGCAACAGAGAAAAUGAUGACGAAUAGAAUGAAGAAAGAAGAAAUCUUUUGCCUGGACAAUGCCACAUCAAAGCAAAAUGAGACCAAGGGAGGAAGUGCUCUGGAGGCUUCAAGCCUUGAAUGGAUGCCAACAAGGCGUAGUGGAGCCAUCCCCUUGACUCACGCCUGAGCAAAGCCUGAGCCAUGGUAACAAAUAUCUUUGAAUAAAGAAUAUUUUUCUUACAUACCCCAAUUAUUGUUAUAUCUAAUUGACACCAUAGUACGUGCUAAUAUGCCUAAAAAACUUGUUAGAUGCAAAGAAGCUUGUCCAACAUAAAUACCAUCGGGAUUGUACUUCAUCAUAAGCUUUACCCUUCUACUCUAGUUCUUGAUAAUCAUAGACUUUUGAGUUAUCCCUCUACACCUCCUUUUUGUAGGUGGUUUUUCUCCUUGCUCUAGAUCCCUACUUGUAAUAAAAAUAGUUAUAAAGUUUAAAAGUAAGUUUAUAAAAUAUCCAUAAAUCCAUACAAAAUUUGUAUGAAAUAUCUAACUAAAAUUUUAAGUAUCAAAACUUCAAUUGAGCUAUAUAGAACACAAUAUUGAAAAUAGAUCUGUCAAUGUUUUUUUGAAGCCAAUCUGACAUUAACUAAAAUUGAAACCAUACCAAUUAUCUAAUAGUAUAGACAAAUGAACCAAUAAGCAUAAGGUUUACCUUCUAGAAAACUAUACUAGCAUAUCAAUUCACCACAUAAAAAAUGAACAACAACUACUUAGACAAAUACAUGUUGCAAUAAAAACUAAAAUGCAUUUUGAAAUAAAAUAAAAUUUUGAUCACAUCAUUAUAACAAGCCUUCAAUUCAUUUACAUAUAAGAUUUGUUCUUAACCCAAAUCCCCUCACCAUCACGUCACAUACAAAUUGCAUCAAAGUCUUCCAUAGCAUCAAAUGAUUCAACUUGUGGCAAAGAAAAAAUGACUGGAUGGUGUUCAAUAGAGUUGUCCAUGAGAUCAUCACCCUCGUCCCUUUCCAAGAAGUCUUGUUGAGAAGUUGAUAAAACAAUUGACCAUCUUGGAUCAAGUUCAUCUUGUACGUAUAAAACUUGCUUAGCCUAAGAAGCUAAAAUGAAAAGAUUUGAUUUAUGAGCCAUUUUGUUGAAGUCAGCUAAGGUUAACCUAAGAUCAUCAACUCUAAUUCUGUUCUUAUUAUCAACCCAAUCACAAUUGAAGAUUGGAAUCCUAAACAUGGUAAAAUCAAGGUUCCAAAUCUCAGUAAUAACCCCAUAGAAACAAACCUCACCAAAUACUGGAUUUUUAUCCUUGGCACUAGCAAUUUGCAUUGUUGUUGCUACAAUAUUGACUCCACUGUUUUGGGUAGCUCGUAAAUCAUCAUGCCCCUUGGUAUGGUAGUGGCACCCAUAAUGACACAACCUUGAUACUUAAACACAUAAUGGCUAGGACCAUGAGCUAUCCAUUUAAGGGUUUUAGAUUAGGUUCUUCAUUACUAAUGGCAACUUCAACUUGUAUAGAUAAGUUAUAGUUAUUAUUAACAUAGAUAACCAUGAGUGUAAAGAAUACGAUAAAUUUUACUACCACUCUAGUACCUUAUGUCGCAACCAAUAAGUAAAAGUACGCAUAGGCUCAUCUUGUAGCCAUUUUUGUCUUUUAGCUUGACAUGGAUAUUUCAUUUUCAACCAUUUCAUGUGAUCUUUAUGAAGUCAUGUAUAAUAAUUUUAUAGUUAGUAUCCUAUAUUUAUUAUAAGUAUGAUAAACAAAGAAACAAAAGUGUGUCCCACUUACUUGACAUAAGGUUGGAUGAUUGUUGUAUUCUCCAACACAUAAUGAUGUGCUUGUAACCAUAAAUUGGAAUCAACCUUCAUGGUAUGACCUCCAAAUAUAGGUGCCCCAACUUUUGGUCAAUUUUUGAAGUAUUGGGAAUUCCAAUUGCACUUACAUUUGAUAAGUACUUUGUAUAAAACUCGAUGCUUUCCUUUGCAAUAUAACAUUUAGCAAUGCAACCUUUGGGUUGUUUACGAUUUCGUACAUAGCCUUUUAACACUUUCUUAAACCUUUCAAAUGGGUACAUCUACCUAAGGUAAAUCGGUCCACAAAGGCUCACCUCUUUUACAAGAUGCACCGUAAAAGAUGUACCAAGAUAUCAAAGAAUGAAGGUGGGAAAUACUUUUCAAACAAGCACAAUGUCACCACAACCUCAUUUUGUAACUCAUCUAAUGUAGACCUCAACCACUUUUACUAUAGAGAGCAUUGAAAAAUGAACUCAAUCUACAAAUGCCAUUCCUCACAUGCUUUGGAAAAAUAGUUUGUAAUGAAACUGUCAAUAACUAUUACAUUAAUGUAUGAUAGUCAUGGGAUUUCAAGCCAUAAAGCUUCAAGUCUUCCAUUGACACAAUGCUUCGAAGGUUAGAGCAAUAUCCAGAAGGAACCUUCAAUUGUGAAAGAGUUUGGCAAAAUACCUUCCUUUCCAUUUUGGAAAGUGUAUAACAUGUAGGAGGGAGAUAUGUUCUCUUUGAUUCAAACCUUGGUGCCAAUUCACUUCUUAAGCCCAUGUCUACGAGAUUUAAAUGAUAGUUGAGUUCAUCCUUUGUCUUACCUGGAAUGUUGUGUAAGAUACUAAUGAUGCUUUCACAAACAUUUUUCUCAAUAUGCAUUACAUUCAAAUUAUGAUGAACAUGAAGAUAUUUUCAAUACUCAAGAUCAAAGAAUAUGAACUUCUUCUUCCAACAAUUUGCAUUGAUAACUUUGGAUUUACCACGAUUAACUUUUUUUUCCUCCAUGAAUUACAAAUGAAAUUAAUUUUCUUGAGAAUUUCCUUUCCACUUAAUAUUUGUGGAGGUGGCUUAAACUCUUAUUCACCAUUGAAUGUUUUUUUUUUCCCUAAAUGGAUGGUUACAUGGAAGAAACCAUCUAUGUCCUGUAUAUGAGUUAUUUUUUUCCCUGUUUCAAUCUACGAGAAUAUGUUUAUUUAUUGCAUAUUGAAUAACCAAAAUAUCCUUUAACUGUGCACCCAAACAAGUUUUCAUAUACAGGAAAGUCACUGAUUGUCCAUAAUAGAACAACUCUUAAUGUAAAGAACUCUUGUUGAUGUGCAUCAUAAGCUUGGACUCUGAUCUCCCACAAUGUUUUAAGAUCUUCUAUCAACGAUGCUAAAUAGAUGUAAAUGUCAUUCCCAAGUUUUCGUGGACUUGAAAUUAACAAAUAUAACAUCAUAAAUUUUUUCUUCAUGCACAACCAUGGAGGAAAGUUAUAAAUUAUCAUGAGAAUAGGCCAACAGCUAUGUUUGCUACUUAAUGAACUGUGAGGAUUUCUACCAUCUGCUGAGAUGACAAGUCUCAGGUUUCUAGGUUCUGAGGAAAACUCAGGCCAUCUAUGGUCAACUAGCUUCCAUGAUGGUGAGUCUAAUGGAUGACGCAUUUUCCCAUCAAAAUCUCUUUCUUUGGCAUGCCAUAUGAGCUUUUUUGUGAUUUUUGAUGAUUGAAACAUUCUUCUAAAUCUUGGAACUGAAGGAAAAUACCACAUUACUUUUGCAGGAACUCCCUUCCUCUUUUUAGUUCUUGUCCUAUUUGUCUUCCACCUUGAAGUUCCACGAGUAUGACAUGAGGAUGCAUCUUUCAACUCAUUCCUAUAAAGUAUACAAUCAUUGGGACAUGCAUGUAUUUUCUCAUAUUCCAUUCCCAAUGCAUUCAAUGUCUUUUUUGCUUCAUACAUAGACAAAGGCAACUCAUUAUUUACAAGCAACAUAUUUCCAAGCAUUUCUAAAAGCUCUGAAAAGCUUUUAUCAAACUACCCAAAGCGUGCUUUUAUUUUUAUAAUUUAAUCAAUGUAGACAAUUUUGUAAAGUUUCUACAACUAGGAUAUAAAGGUUUUCUACAUCUUUCAAUAACCAUUUCUAUUGUAUUAUGCACAUCAUCAAAUUGAACUCUAUCAUAAUAUUUUGCUCUUAUAGUUGGUGGUCCAAUUGGAGUUGCCUCUCCAUGCCAAUACCAUGUAUGGUAACUUUGAUCAAUUCCAUGGAAAAACAUAUGCUUUCUAAUCUUUUGAGGAGUAUGGAAUAUCAUAUUACCACAUUGUAAGUAUGGACAUUUAAUGGAGUUUUUAUUUACAGAAUUUUGUAUUGUAAAUGUGAUAAAAUGUUCAACCCCAUCCUUAUACUUCUUCGAUCUUCUAUCCUUUGAAAUCUAUGAACGAUCCAUUUUUUAAUAACAAACUUCCAAUAGUGAUCAAACUUCAAAUUGAAGAAAAUAUCAAUAUUUUCUAUAUCAUUCAUUUAGCAACCUUUCUUUCCUCUGUUCAAAGAAUAAUCAAGAAUCAAUUUAAUACAACAUUUGAUUAAAAGGCUAGAUUUAAGAGAAAAAGGGGUGAGCAUUAAUGUCCUAACCAUUUUGAAUUUUGUAUAUAGAUUUACACUAUUGGAAUAACACACUAAUUAUUGACAAUUUUAAAAAGUGCCAAGGAAAAAAAAGGUCAUUGUAUAUGUUAUACAUAGUAGUGAUUAAGAAGCUAUAAAUGUUAUUGACCUUGAAUACUUGCAUUAAAGAUGAUGUACAACCUCAAUUAAACAAGUGCAUAUUAAUAUUAUUGACAUAUACAAUUCAAGUUGUGUUGCAUUUUUUAUGGCAUUUAACAUCUCCAACUUCGUAAAUUAGGGAGUGGUUCCUAUCCCAUAUAAGAAUACAUAAUCUUUAUGUGUCAACUGCCAAUGUGCUCAAUUUAAUUUUAAAAAAAAAAAAAAAAAUGGCAGCAUUUCCCUAUGGUUCUCCAAGUACACAAAAUGAACAAGACAUAAUAUGUGACCUUGUCCAAGUAUGUACCCAGAGAACAAGAAGAAAGAGUACCAAAAUUUCUUUAAAAUGAAUUAAGAAUAAGCAAUUAACUUCAUAGCUAUUAUGUUUUCCUACACUAUCCAAUCAAACAAUUCAAACAUCAUUUGUAGAGAAAAGAUCUUUAUCACAUGGUAGACAAUUUAAAAGUUGUCAUCGUGAAACUAGUAUAGAUAAAACCAUUUUCACCUUUUGACAACUAAAAUGUCUUUACUAUCUAAUAACAAAAAUUUGUCUCACAAUGAUACUUGAACGAGAACUCUAAGAUUGCAUGCAAGCAUAGUUGAUUAAAAUUAAAACACAAUUACUUACUAAAAUAUUACAAAAAAAAAAAACAUAACUCUCAUUCUAUCAUGUUUAUCUUAAAUAUAUAACAUUUAACAUGGAGACCUAAAAACCUUUUCGCAACUUAGAGAGAAACAUCUUUUACAAAAAGGUCUACACCAAAUCUAAUCAAAUUAAUCUAAAUUGACAAUUUUAAAUAUACAUCAAGUAAUUAUCCUACAAAACAAAUAAUAAGGCAAUCAAAAUUUUAUAAUUAAUUUUUUGGUCCAAAUUUUAGCCUAUAAUGGUAUUUUGUGAACUAUAUAAUUUUAACUUGUCUCUAUGUAGUGCUUUUAUAUUUGGUGUUUUUGAGAAGAAUUCACAAGCAUUAUAGGGAUAAUAUAUGGCUUAACAUACAUUUUUUUUUCAUUUAAAAUAAAAAUUAUGAAAACAUUAAGUAUUAAGAUGGCAAUAUUUUUGGUUUGAUUAAAAUUUUAAUCUCUUUAUUAUAAAACUAAUAUAAUAUACAUCUAAAUAAUAUGUAAAGAAAUUCUAGAUGCCUAUGUAAAAAAAUAAAUAGUGCAUCCUAAUGGAAAAACUAAGAAUUAAUUUCAUAUUUUGGAACAUUCUAUAUAGUCAAUGAUACAAAUAAAUUAGAUUAAACAAUAUAUUCAAUUAACAUUUCAUCACUUAAAAUUAACACAUGCAAACCCUACGUGUUAGUGUGUAAAGCAUGACUCGCUUUGUAAACCAUAUAUCAUAAUAUAGGAGCACACGGUAAUGAACAGGGAACAUGGUUUUCAUAAUCUUAAGAAAUUAAUAAAUAAAUUUUGAAAUUAUAAUUUUAACCUUUUAAAUAUCUAAACUAAGCAAUCAUCGUAAUAGGAAAUUUAUCCUAAAUACCCCUUUGAACCAAAUAUCCUAAAAUUGUUUUUAGGUUAUAAUUAAAUUUUUGUGUUAUCAAUUUUUAUUUAAUUUUUACUAUUUUCUAUUUUCAAAUGGUUUGGUAAAUUAGUUUAAUAUAUUUAUAAUCAAUCAAGUAAAUUAAUUUAAUAUAAAGUAUAUUUAUGUAAAAUAAUUUUUAGUUUAAUAAAUAAAAAUUUAUAUUAUACUUUUACGGUAAUAUUUUAUCCAUAUAAAUAAUAUUCACCCAUCAUAAUAUUUGUAUUCCUUUUAUAUCAUAUUACCUACAAGAUCUCAUAUUUGAUUUUAUUUCCUGUCAUUUUUAACCUUUUAAAAAAUUCUUAAGAAAAUUUUGAAACAUAGAAUUGGUUUAUUCCCUUUUUCGUUUUUCUGUUAUUUUUAUAUAAAAUAAAAAUAGAGAAAAUACCCAUAUUUGAAAAAUAUACCUAUAUAUUUGGAAUUCUUUUAUAAAAAAAUCAAUUAAAAUGAAUGAGAUAAUAUUUCUAUUUUCAUCCUUGAACUAUUUAAUCGAAAAGGUAAGGAUUAAAAAAUUGUAGAAGACAUUUUUUUCUUCUUAUUUUUAAAAGAUAAAGAUCAUUGUUUUGAAUUUACUGUUUCAAUAUACCUUAACCAAAAAACCGUUUCUUUAUUAAAUGUUCAUUUUAUUUUUUUAUCAAAUUGAUAAUAGUAAUAUACGACAAUAAUAAAUGAUUAAGAAGAAAAUAGUAAUAAAAGCAAUAGAGAAAAUAAUGACGAAUAGAACGAAGAAAGCAUAAAUCUUUUUCCUGGACAAUGCAACGUCAAAGCAAAAUGAGACCAAGGGAGGAAGUGCUCUGGAGGCUUCAAGCCUUGAAUGGAUGCCAACAAUGCGUAGUGGAGCCAUCCCCUGACUCACGCCUGAGCAAAGCCUGAGCCAUGGUAACAAAUAUCUUUGAAUAAAGAAUAUUUUUCUAACAUACCCCAAUUAUGUACUAAAGUAGACAGCUGAGAGUUACUACUUGUAAGCAAGAAUAGCCUGAUCAUCUUCAUUGAGGAGCAUUCAUAAACACUACUACUGUUUUAAAAGUGGAUUUAUGCAAAUUUAAUACAGAAUUCCUCCAACAAUCACCCAAGAAGACUUGAUCUUUACUUAAUUAACAAGUCCAAAUAGAGAUAUUUGGGCUUAGGUAGAGAUAUGAUCUACUGGACCUAUAUAUAAGAUGAAAUUGAAUCGUGACAUUUAUUAGUUUAUGUCAUUUUAUACGCAAUGUUGUCGUUUUCAUAGCAUAACUAUAUUUUGUUUUCCUAAAGAUCUUUUAGGCAUAUCUCAUAAUGUUAUAGAAUCUGGGUUAUAAAAUUAACUAAUUGAUAAAAUUGUUCACAAUUAUUUUUAGUAUUGUGACGUUGAUUUAAUAAAAUUCCACUUAGUAGUUUUAUAUCCCUUAAUAGCCAUGCCUCAUAGUUUUAAUAUGAAAUAUUUUUGUUUCCAUGGCUAAUCUCACCUUGUAUAUUUGAAAGCCCUGUUAUUCUUGGAGAAAUGUUAAUUAAAAACUCGAGUUUGCUCUAUUUUAGUCAUCAACAAACCCUAUCUAGUGGUAGCAAUAAAUUUACCCUGAUUAACAAUAUAAAAAAAGGCAUAAUAUAAAGGAAGAUGUGAUGUUGUAAAGAUUUGACCCCAAGAAACCAUGAAAAAUGAAACUAUUGCAAUUUAAAUAUUAAAACUAAGCAGAGACGAGAGCUAAAUAGUGGUAUAAACCUAGAUAGUGCAAUAGGUGAAGAAAUAGCAUAGGAUCAAAUUUGUAUGCAAGUUUUUGUCUUUAAACAUGCAAUUGUUUGAAGCAUGAGAAAUUCUCAAUAUUUAAUUUCCAUUACAUUUUAUUAAUCAUUUCCUUUUAUGGACAAAGAUUUUGGAUGUAUAUAUUAGUGAAAGUGAGGACUCAAGCAUGCUAUCUGAUCAAAGAAUUUCCAAUGAUUUUUUUUUUCUAGCUCCCAAAUUUUUGCACUAGUCUCCUUUUCCAAUAAGUCACAUGGAAAAUUUUAAGACUAUCCACCUCAAAAGCAUUAGCAUUAGCAAAAAAAGCAAUUUAAACUUUUAGUUGUGUAUGGAAAGUAUGGGUGUGUAUUUCAUUUUCAGUAAGAAAAAAUAGCAGUAUGUACAUAAAUUACCUAUGACUGAGGAUCAAAGCAAAGAUGAAAACUGUGAUCUGGAAAGCUAAUGACUAUAUCCAGCUUCAGUGGCUCUUGUAUAAAUUGUCAUAACAAUGAGAUGUUUUACUAGAAAUAUCUCCAAUCUGCCUCUUAGCAAUGCUGGAAAUGCAAGAUACUUAAGAAGAAGACAUUAACUAGAUCAACAUCUUAUCUUAAAACUUCGAUUUAAGAAAAGAGUGCUAUCUUUGGGUACUUAGGAAUUCAGGGGAAGCUACUAAAACUUACUUUUGCAUGAUGUUUAGAUGAUAGUAACAUGAACAUCUAUGGCCAUGCUACUUCAUGGAUGAUUGUAUUAACAGAGCAAUUCCCGUGUCAAAAUUCCUUUAGUUAUCACACCUUGAUUCACUUCCAAGGCCCCAGUAAUAAAAAAAUAAAAGGUUUCAAGAACCCACAUAUUUGAUGAUGAAGUCUUCUGUUUCAAUUGACUUUAAAGCCACAAAACCAAUAACAUUUUGGUGACAUUAGCUUCUUCAUUAUUGGAGCUAUUCAAUAGCAAAUAACCCCCUACCCCACCAGCCAACCACCCUAAAAAAUACCUCAUGUUUUGGUCUUAAACACCCCAUACAAAUAUAACAAUUUGACUUGGAGAAUUCCAUAGAAUAUUUAGUAUGGGAACUACUCUGAAGAUUGACCUGUCUUGGCAAGAGCUCCAUAUGCAGAACCUACAGGCAUAAUCUACCCCAACUCCUACCCAAAAUUUUCGAUUAAAACAUAUAGGGUUUUACUUCGUUUAAAGAUAUAAAUCAAAUUCAUAGGAAUCGUUUUGGUUGGUAACACAUUUUUAUUUAAUAAACCCUAAAAAAGUUAUAUUAAAGGUGAUAAAAAAAUUAAUAUAAUUUUUAAUGAAAUUAAGAAAAACCAAGAAAAAAUCAGGACUUUACCUUGAAUCACUAAGUGGAUGGAGACAAUGGAAUGUCUUGCGGUCCCAAGUUGUUUCUUCUCAAAACAGUUGGAGUUAUUUUUCUCGUUUAUUUGGAGAAAAUAGGCUUUGGCCAAAUGGAAAAUGAAAGAAAAAAAUUAGGGUUUAGAUUAAAAGAAAAAACCCCACCAAAAUCUAUGCAUGUGCAAAACUUACUCUUCUAAUUAGUGGACUUCCCACUUCAACUGGUCUUUCAAUCUCGACUACAUUGAUGUAAUACUUCUAUUGUUGAAAUGAAAACCUGUAAAUCUCAUCUCACUUUUGGUUACUUCACAAAGGAGAAGGCCAAACACAACUCUGACAACUGACCACUAGUACAUCCUAGGCAAGUGAAGACUUAGGGUUUUGGAUGCUCUGAAUGUGAGAUUUGAAGGUAUGUGAAGGAAAAUCAUGUUUUGGCGGGUGAGGAAAUCGUGUGGAGGGAGUGGAAAUUUUAGGCAUGUUUUAGAUAAAUAUAUAUACUAGGUAGGAUAAUGACACUCUUUAGAAACAUCAAGAAUGCAAAAAUGUUAUAUAUCCAAUGACACUUAAAAUAAGCACCAACAUUUUUUAAUUUAUACAUAUCAACGACACUUGCAGAUGUGUCAUAGUAAACAAGCGCCAAUGUUUGGGCAUAAAAAAUAAAUAAUGACAUUUUUUUAAAAGUGCUAAGGAAGGAAGUGUCAUUGUUCUUGUUUUUUGUAGUAGUGAUGGUAUGGUGGAAUGAUUUUCUCUCAUCUGUGGGCGUACACAUGUUUGACCUAACCAUAUUAAAAUCUCUUAUAUCUUUAUGUGGAUUAUUUUAUUUUUGUGUAAUUGAACUAGUAUUGUUUGCAUCAAAGCUUUUGCUAGUUCAACAUAUAAUUUGUGGUGUAUGUUAGAAUUGUGUUGAAAGUGUAAGUCCUAUUCUCCUAUUUACAAAAGGCAUAAACUUUUGCACUCUAAACAUUUCAUGGCCAGCCUGAUUUUAUGCAUGUAUUCAAAACCAAAUGGUGAAUGAACACUUGAGUAGUAUUGGAGACGGAAAAGAAGAGAAGUAAUAUUGGAUAAAAGGGACANNNNNNNNNNNNNNNNNNNNNNNNNNNNNNNNNNNNNNNNNNNNNNNNNNNNNNNNNNNNNNNNNNNNNNNNNNNNNNNNNNNNNNNNNNNNNNNNNNNNUUACAUCACACAAAUUCNUUUUUUUGCAUUGAAUCUGGUUGAAGAGUUCACUACCAAUUUUUGAACUCUAAGAAUAAUAUGUAAGUAGUGCAGGCAAACACAGGAAUCUUGAAAGACAGAUAAAAAUCAAAUAACAGUCAAAAUAAAAUGUAAGUUUAACAACAUGAGAUACAAUGGAGAUCCGUAUCAAACUCCUCGAAGCUUCUGGGUCUCCAUAUUCUGCAGAGAAGUCUCGUCUGCAACUUUGUACAAGUCAACAGCCAAACUUCAUUUCCAAAUUGAUGAGUGUCCAAAAUGUGACCGACAAAUACGUUAUUAAAAGGGAAAAACAAAGGACAGAAAAAGAAAGAGAGGAGAAAAUCUAUGCUUGAUCUUUGGCACUGAAUUACUGGUUUUACUUCCAGUCAAUCCAUUCAGAUAUCUUCUCAACGCACAAGAAGGGAUUGAAAAAAUCCCAGCUCCAAUUUUCCAAAAAACAGCUUAGUCCACUAGUCAGUCAAGAACCAUGACGACUUGCAACACCCCAGUCUUCUUUGUUUUACAGAAGCUCUCAAUUUUAUAAGUGCAGACAGACCAGAAUCUCACUCAGCUCAGCUUCACAAAUUCAAGUCAGCAAUCACUCAAAUGCAUUAAACUAAUUUUUAUGCUCUUCUCCUAUUGAGAGAAAUAGGCAUUCACUUUGAAGAGACAACGCAAGUUUGUGUCAGUAGGUUAUAUGUGUACCCUGAUAAGCAAAUCCCCUCUACUGAUGGAGAUGCCAAGCUCUAGCUUGAGAUUACAGUGGUGGUUUUUCCUUGUCAACCUCAUCAUUUGUAUUAGUUUGCUUCGGUUGGAAUCUCUUUCCAGCACGCCCACUUUUGGAAAUGAAACUGAUAAGCUUGCAUUGCUCACCAUCAAGCAUUAUCUGGUUGAUGUUCCAAAUGGAGUUCUGAGUUCCUGGAAUGACUCUGCAUUUCUGCCAGUGGCAUGGGGUUACAUUCAGUCGCUGACAUCAGAGGGUCACAACGAGGGUCAAAGCUUAGGUGGUUCCUUACCACCUAUUGGGAACUGAACAUUCCAAAGAGAGUUGGUGUUGUCCAACAAUCACUUGCACGGUACUAUACCCAGUGACAUUGGUCUUUUACGAUGGAUGCAGCAUCUCAAUCUGAGCACAAAUUCCCUCCAAGGUGAGAUUCCGGUUGAAGUGCUUGAAAUAUUUAUAUUUGGAUGUAAAUAACCUGUCUGGUAUGAUUUCUCCCUCACUCUAUAAUAGGUCAUCUGCCAUUGAAUUUUUUGUAUCUGGCAACAUUCUGUCUGGAAAUUUUACUCCAAACAUGAGGUUUAAUUUUCCUCAACUCCGCAAGUUUGGCAUAGCAGGGUAUCAGUUUACUGGAAUAAUUCCAGAUACACUAUCCAAUAUUUCAGGACUUGAACUUUUGGAUCUAAGUAACAAUUAUCUAACUGGCCAAGUCCCUGAUAGCUUAGGAGUGCUCAAGGAUCUGUAUUGGUUGAACCUUGAAUUCAAUAAAUUAGGAAGGGGCAUGUCAGGCGAUUUAAAUUUUCCAUAUUCUUUGCCAAAUGUCAGCAGUUUAAGACUUAUCAAUCCACAUGCCAAUAAUUUCCGGGGCGUGUUACUCAUCUCCAUUGUUAAUCGAUCAACCCAACUGCAGAAGCUUAUCAUAGGGGGCAACAAAAUAUCUGGAAGCAUCCCAAAAGAGAUUGGGAACCUGAUCAGCUUAACUGUUUUCAGUGCAAUGCGGAAUAAUCUUACUGUGUCAUUCCCAUUUCAAUUGGCAAGCUUCAGAAUUUAAGAGUAUUCGACUUAAAUUGGAACAGGCUAUCAGGUCUGCUCCCAUCCACCGUCGGCAACUCAAGUCAACUAUACUACCUUGACAUGGGCUACAACAAUUUGGAAGGGAACAUUCCUACUCACAGGAACUGCCAAAAUAUGGAAAUUCUUUUCCUCGAUCACAAUAAGUUGAGUGGUAGUGUACCUGAAAAUGUCACUUGUCAUUUCAAUCAGUUGAGAUCACUCUACCUACAGCAAAACACAUUCACCGGUUCUCUCCCAACAGAUGUUGGUCAACUGAAAAACCUAAAUCAGCUGCUUGUUUCUGACAACAACUUGUCAGGCAAAAUCCCCAGGGAACUUGGCAGCUGUUCGAUAUUUGAGUACCUCGACAUGGCAAAAAACUCUUUCCAGGGAAACAUCCCUCUGUCAUUUAGCUCAUUGAGAGGUAUUCGGUUCCUAGACCUUUCAUGCAACAUCUUGCCUGGAACGAUUCCCAAAGAACUACAUCUUCUUGGUUUGUUGAGUUUAAAUCUGCCUUAUAACUACCUUGAAGGUGAGCUUCCAAGUGGAGGAGUUUUUAAAAAUGUGAGUGGGAUUUUAAUCACUGGGAACAAGAAGCUUUGUGGGGGGAAUCCCUCAACUUCAGCUGCCAGCAUGCUGUGAUGUAGAGUCAGCAAAGCAUGGCAAAGGGAAGCAUCUUUCAACCAAAAUUGUUAUAGCCAUAAGCAUUACUGGUGUUUCUUGCUUGGCUUUCAUAGUGGCUUCAGUUCUCCUCUAUGGGAGAAAAACGGCUGUAAUGAAGCCUUCUUCCACCUUUUUAAGAUAUGGAUACUUGAGGGUUUCUUACAAAGAGCUCCUCAAAGCAGCUAGUGGAUUUGCUUCUUCCAACUUGAUUGGCAUGGGAAGUUUUGGUUCCAUAUACAAAGGAAUUCUAAUUCGAGGUGAAAGACCUGUUGCAGUGAAGGUACUGAACCUUCAACACCGUGGAGCUACCAAGAGUUUCAUGGCUAAGUGCAAGGUCCUCAGGAAUAUUCAGCUUCGGAAUCUCCUUGGAUUCAUAACUUCAUGUUCAAGUGUGGACAACAAAGUUUGUGAUUUUAAGGCUCUAGUAUUUGAGUUCAUGCCUAAUGGGAACCUAGAUAGCUGGCUGUAUCAUGAAUCUAGAAAUUUAAGCUUCAGACAAAGAUUGGAUAUCGUAAUUGAUGUGGCUAAUGCUCUGGAUUAUCUUCAUCACCAAUGCCAGACGCCAAUUGUUCAUGGUGAUCUAAGGCCAAGCAAUGUUCUUCUUGAUGAUGACAUGGCUGCCCAUGUUGGGGACUUCGGGUUAGCCAACCUCCUUCCUGAAGCUAACGAGAUUCUGAGUAGUGGUCUGUAGGUUUUCAUUGAAACAGAGUGUGGAAACUCUUUGGAAGCAAUAGAACGUUGAGGAAUCUGAAGUUCUUAAUUUUAUUAAGCUUCAAACCACUUAUUUAUACAACUAGCUUAAAACAGAAAAACAUAAAAAUAGCAACAAACCUGCUACCUAUAGAUAAUUCCUAAAGAAUAGAAACAACCAACAAACUUCCUAAGAAAUAGGUAAAUCUUCCACAUGACUAACUUAUUUGACUACUUCCACUUCAAUCUACUCAGCUCCAUGUCAGCAGCUCCUAUGACAUGUCAUUCAACACUCCUCCUUGUCUUUGGAGCUGCAAACUCCAAGCCUUUGCCUUAAGAACUCAUAUCUAGCUUUGGGAAGUGGUUUGGUUAAGAUAUCAGCAUUCUGACUUUCUGUUUUACAGUAGACCAACUGAAUUUCUCCCUCCUUCUGUACCUCUCUUAGGAAAUAGAGUUUCAACUUGAAAUGUUUUGUUUUUCCAUGGAACACCGGAUUAUUUGCAAUUGAAAUUGCAGCUUGGUUAUCUACGAGUAUUUGUGUGCUUUCAUUUUGCUCCAUAAGCAAGUCAGCCAUUAAUUUCCUAAUCCAGAGAGCCUGAUUCACAGCAGCGGCAGCAGCUACAUAUUCUGCUUCUGCUGUAGAUUGAGCUAUGACUUCUUGCUUUUUGGAACACCAUGAAAAAAUAGCAGAACCAAAGCUGAAACAAUAACCUAAAGUACUUCUCAUGUCAUCAACACAACCUGCCCAAUCACUAUCUGAAUAACCAUGGAGAGUAAAGUUUUUAACUUGACAAAACCUCAGACCAUAGUUAAUUGUACCCUUGACAUAUCUAACAAUUCUUUUUGCUGCUUGAAAGUGAAUUUCACUAGCACAAUGCAUGUACCUUGAGAGUAAACUUACAACAUUCAUAAUAUCUGGUCUAGUUGCCGUUAGGUACAUCAAGCACCCAAUAAUGGUCCUGUAAAGCCUUUCGUCAGCUUUUGCAGCUCCAUUUUUUUUGCAAAACUUCUCAUUUUGAUUCAUUGGAGUUGCACUUGGAUUGCACUCUUCCAUCUUGAACUUUUUCAGGAUUUCCUUGGCAUAUUUCUGUUGACAUAUGAAGAUCUCAUUCUGCUUUUGUUGUACCUCCAUGCCAAGAAAGAAUGUCAUCCUCCCAAGAUCAGUCAUCUCAAAAACAUCCUUCAUUUCCUUUUUGAAAUUGCCAAUUUGCUUCAUACUGCUUCCUGUCACAAGUAGAUCAUCAACAUAUAAAGAUACCACAAGUGUUUCAUCACAAACCUUCUUGAAGUAUAGAGUAAAUUCACUUAGGCUUUUUGUAAAGCCUAACCCUAACAAAUGUGAAUCAAUCCUACUGUACCAUGCCCUUGGUGCCUAUUUUAAACCAUACAAGGCCUUUUUCAGCAAAUAUACUUUAUCCUCCAUUCCUUUAACAAUAAAACCUUCAAGCUGCUCCACAAAAAUUUCUUCCUCCAAGUAUCCAUUCAAGAAGGCUGAUUUGACAUCCAUCUGAUGUAUAUUCCAGCCCUUUUGAGCAGCAAGAGCCAGGAACAUUCUUAUAGUGUCCAAUCUAGCAACUGGGGCAAAAGUCUCAGAGAAAUCCACCCCCAAACAUCUGAGCAUAUCCUUUGACAACCAGUCUUGCCUUGUGUUUGUUUAUAGAACCAUCAGAAUUGAGUUUGGUUCUAUAAACCCACUUGACUCCAAUUGCCCUUUUAUGUCUUGGUUUGUCCACUAGCUCCCAAGUCUGGUUUUUUUCAAUCAUUUUAAGCUCCUCCUUCAUUGCAUCCAUCCAUUUUUUAUCCGUUGCAGCUUCUUCAUACCUUGCAGGCUCUAUUAUAGCAAUAUUGCACCUCUGAUAGAUGUCAGAGAGUGAUCUGGUUCCCCUGACAGGUUCAUCAUCAAUAUUGGCAUUCUCCUCCUGAAACUCAAGCUUCUUAUCAUUCUCCCAACUUCAAAUUCGAAGAAUUUGACAUCUCUACUAACUAUGACUUUGUUGUUUUUUGGAAGAUAGAUUCUAUAGGCCUUUGAUAUUGAGUUAUAACCUAUAAAGAUCCUAGCUUCUGCUUUCUUAUCCAAUUUGUCUCUCUUAACAUGUGGAAUAUAAGAGAAACAAAGACAACCAAAUGUUUUUAAAUUUUGCAGCCUUGGUUUAUAGCCAUACCAUGCUUCAAAUGGAGUCUUUUGUUGCAAAGCUUUUGUUGGCAGUCUAUUUAGCAGAAAGACUGAUGUAUGUGCAGCCUCAGCCCAGAAUUUCUUUGGCAGCCCUUUCUCAUGCAGCAAACACCUUGUCAUUUCCAUAAGUGUUCUAUUUUUCCUCUCAACGACUCCAUUCUGUUGAGGGGUAUAAGGUGUUGUAAGCUGGUGCUCAAUGCCUGCAUCCUCACAAAAUUUGUUAAAUUUCUCCGAGGUGUAUUCAGUUCCAUUAUCAAACCUGAUCACUUGCAUUUUACAUUUACUUUGAUUUUCAGCCCAAGCUUUAAACUUCCAAAAGAUGUCAGCAACCUCAGAUUUAAAUUUCAUGAAAUAAAUCCAGCACAUUCUUGUGUGAUCAUCAAUGAAAGCAAUAUAGAACUUACUGCCAUUCAGUGAUGGUGUUCUCUGAGGUCCUCCCACAUUAGUGUGUACUAACUGCAACUUCUGAGUAGCUCUCCAGGCCUUGUUUUGUGGGAAAGGAAGUCUUGCUUGUUUCCCGUACUGACAUGCUACAUAGGUAGGAGGCUUCACCUCUAAUUCAGGCAAGCCUUCUCCAAGAUCGUUCUUCUUCAUAAAGAGAAGGGCGCUAUGAUGAAAGUGCCCCAAACGCCUAUGCCAAAGCAUUGUAUUGCUUUCUUCUUUGUGAAUUGCAGCCUGCUCUUCUUGCAUCAAAUCCAAGGCAAAGCCUUUGCCUUUCAUUUGAACUAUAAAUACCUCUCUGCCUUGUGCAUCAGCAAUCAUGCACCGAUUGUCCUCAAACAUCACCUUAUAGCCUUUUUCCAGCAGCUGACCGACACUCAAUAGAUUUUGAUUAAUCUCAAGAACAUAUAAGACAUUAGAAAUUAAUUUCAAACCUGUGUGGCCUUCAAUUGCCACUGUUCCUUUGGCCUUACUGCAAGAUAUGCUCCAUUUCCAAUUCUAACUUUGGAAGUAACAGUUUUGUCAAGUUCCUUAAAGAGCCCUUGAUCAUAAGUCAUAUGGUUUGUACAACCACUGUCUAUAAGCCAAGUUUCUGGGGAGCUACUAGUGGCAAAGCAUGAUACCACAAAUAGUUGCUCAUCUGGAAGUUCUUCCACAGCAACCUUGACUUCUCCUUGCUGCUGUUGAGAUUUGCAAAUCCUUUCCACAUGCCUUAGAUGACCACACUUGUGACAUCUUACAUCCGGCCUCUACCAACACCUUUUUUGUGGAUGAUUGGAUUUUUUACAGUAAGGACAUGGUGGAAACUUUUGAGUGUUGUUGUUGCUGUUAUUGUUGCUUUGCAUCUCUUUUUUGUACUGAGAUAUGGCUUGAAAUGCACCCUCCACAGAUCCUUCUUGUCUCAUAAGCCUCCUUUGUUCUUGAGCCUGUAAUGCAUUCAACAACUCUGCCAAGGUGAUACUUGACACAUCUUUUGAGUUUUCUAGAGAUGAUAUUGUAGUCUCAAACUUUUCAGGAACUGUUAUAAAAAUUUUCUGAACCAUUCUAGAAUCAAAAAAGUCAGUACCAAGAAGUCUUACUUUGUUAACAAUACUAAGAAGUCUGUCUGAGUAAUCCUUGAUUGUUUCUGAUUCUUUCAUCCUUUGCAUCUCAAAUUCUCUAAUCAAGUUCAGCACUUGCAUACCUUUGACUCGUUCAUUUCCUUCAUAUUCCUUCUUCAAGAAGUUCCAUAUUUCAUUUGUUGUCUUCAGUGUCAUGAUUCUGGUGAAAAUUGUAGAUGAGACAGCUGCAGCUCAAGAGAACCACAUAAUGCGAUGCUCUAAGGGUUUCAAAGAAAGACACGAGGCUUGGGAGAGGUUGAGUUCAAGAUUAGCUAAGGUAGUACAUAGGGUUCCUUAAGGAAGUACCUAAAGGGAGGAAUAUAUUAAUUAUUCAUAUAUAGCUUCCCCUCCCUAGACGAAGGAAACAAAAUCUUUUGCACUUUGUUUUGAUAUGUAAUUGCCUUUCUAACAAUUGGGUAAAUCAUUUGACCUAAUAAAUGUUUAGAUCAUUGUAUUAGUAAAUAAGUCCGUAGGUGAAACAACUACAUUAAUUCCUUUUUUGAAAAGGCCUUUGAGAAGCCAAAAACUAUUUUUAAAUUGAAUAAGAGCUUAACUAAUUUUUUUAAAAAGAGUUAAAAGCUACAUAAUAUGAAAUCUAGGAAAACGUUAAUUUGUCGUAGAAGCUUUAUUUUAGCUUAUAUGGGAAACUAUUUUAUGUUAUAAGAUCAAUAUUGCCCUUUGAGAAUUAUAGCUUCUUCCUUGAGCUAAAGGCAAAAACAAAAACCUAUCCGAGUAGGAGAACAAAGUACAAAACUUGAUUCUUACCAGGAAAGCAUAAAUUGAAAAUCACCAAUUAUCCCAACAUCCAACUCAAUAAAUUAAAACACCUCAAAAUCAAAAUGUCAAAAAUAUAUCAAUUUUCUUCUAUUGAAACAUAAAACAAACUGAAUGCUUGAAACAACAUCAACCAUCCAUUAAUUUGAUUUUUGGUCAAUCACCCAUUUCUUUCUUUUUUAAAAAUAAGAAGACCACACAUUUAGGUAGAAUCGCUCUCUGCUACAACGUAGGCAAUGCCUACAUAAGAACUAAAUCCUACCCACAAAAUGUCUCCUCAAAAAACUAUAAUUAAAAAAAAUGAAAUAAACAAGGGAGACAUCAGUUAUAUAUAUAUAAACAAGGGAGACCAGUUCAAUUGCAAGAAAUCAAAGAACAAAAGGUUCACAAACUUGAAAGCUACCUUUGAAAUUCUUGAAAAAAGUAACAGAUUACUGUACCACGACAUUGAUUAACCCAAUGAAAGAAUUUAACUCCACAAAAAGAUAUUUACGCAAAUGAGGUUAGGCUUUUAAGGAUUUGGGUUUUCAGGAUGAAGAGAAAGACGAGGCAGAGGCCAAGGUUUCAAAAAUUUAGGGUUCUAGGAGGGACAAAAGCAAAUGGAGUUUUAGGUUUCCGUUGACAGAGUUGGUGUCGAGGUGAAAAACGUUAGAUCUUUUUAUUUUUUAUUUUUUGGGCUUUUAAGGUUUUUUGGGUAUUCAGAUGUGGAGGCUGAGCUGGACGAAUGGGAGGGCAUUUUGGGAAUGAAAGCACACUUCAGUACAGAGUGCAUGGAAUUGCCAAUAUUUUCGGCAUUAGCACAGAUUUCUUGAUUUUCCCAAAGUUGGGGGUUGAAAAAUCCUAACAUUGUGAACCCUUGUUUUAUAGGUAGAGCAUAAGGUGUGUCCAUUGUGACACUGUAAAGAAGUCAACUUGGUAAAAACCACGACACAAUUUUUAUGCCUUAAAAGCAAAUAUAAACAAUUAAAAAGAGAGUCGAAAACUCAUUUUUGAUCUAUUUCUGAACCAUACCAGGCAGUAGAUACCAGACUUUGCAAUCAAACAUCUUAUUUGAUGCGAAGGGACAAGCCAAUGACCAAACAAAUAGAGGAGAAAACAAAGUGUCGAGGAAAAGAUGCCACAGAAAUCAAAAGAAAGUGAAAAAGUGUGAGUCACUUGAAUUUCUUAAAUAGCUAAAAACAGGUGGCUUACCUAUUAUGGCUCUUCAUGAUGAUUUAUUCUUUUGGUGAGAUUCUAGGUUGUGAUAAGCAUACAUGGCAAAAGAAAAAAAAAUGUUUUAAGAACACAUGGAACAAUGAUUAAUCAUCUUUCCGUGGAAGAAAAAACAUCUAGCUGGAAUACGUUGACAAUGGAAAGGAAGCAAUCAAAAGGAAGAACAACCAUUCAACAGUUCCACCCGAAAAAUCCAAUGCAAGGUAUAGCAAAAUAUAACAAUCACAAAGGAAACAAAUUAUUAUGUGAUCUACCAGUAAGUAACAGAGACCAGAGAACAUGGGAGUACACUAUUGAAGAGCCGCUUGGAACACUAGUCUACUCAUAAUAAGUAGAAAUAGUGAAAUAGUUCCAAUUAAGUUAUAAGAUGGUUCAAAACCUCAUAAAACUAGAUAAGAACUUCCAGUUAUCUUCUAAUUUUAGCAGAAACUAGAGAAAUUAGUCUUCCAACUAUAAAUAACUGUGAAAACCCUUAAGAUUUCAGAUAAUCAAUAGAAGGAAUCCCAGAUAGAGAUGGUGUUAAAAUAUGUCAACAAGUCUAAUUAUAAGAAUAUUCACAUACUCCAACAUAACUUGUCAAGCAUAUGAUACUCAUAAACUGUUUUAAUUUCAUACUAUAAAUGAUAAUAAAAAAAAAUGCACUAGCAUCUCUCUCUUAACUUCAUAAAGCUGCAGAUAACAAUAGGAAAAUUAAAGAUGUUUGAAUUAAAUUUAUAGGAGCAACAGCCUAACAGGAGAACGUAUAAUUCUUAAAGAAUGGAUUAAAGAUCAGUCUUGUGUGUAACAAUAUCCUUUGUUUCUGAAGCUCUGGAUGGAUGGGGCAAAGUGCUUUCAAGAUUAUCCACUGUGAUGUUAUUUGAUACAAUCAAGGCAGGAAGACCAGCAGAAUUGUUUAUAAUAAGUUUUGGUAUCAUACUAUCAUGGAGUUUCUUCUAGAAACAAUUCAACAUAAUUCUUCUUAACACAUUACAAUAUAGGAGUUUAAAAGGUUCUCCCCAUCAUGAAACUAAUCACUUCAAAUUGACAACCAAUUCGAAUCAGCUCCAAUAUCAAAAUAAGCAAUCCACAAAAAACCCAAGUGCCAUUCCAUCCAUAUACCAAAAUAAACCUUCAAAUCCAUUUGAAGAAAUCAUUUCAUCCAAAACCCACUUGUAAAAACACAUUAAACUCAACAAAAAAAACAUACCAAAAAAUAAUCCAUCAACCCCAAAAACCCCAAAUCAAUUUCCCUUGUUGAUUGAUUGAUUGCAAUAGUAUUACACAGGCUUAUCAUUUUGUCGCCCUAGAAAAUGAAAUGCCCAAGUUCUCAAUUGAGUGGAGAUUUCAAAACAUUGAAAAACCUAAUACCCCAAAUUCUAAUAUUUUUUGUUCCUUCUCCCACAAUUCUCAUCAACCAAACGGAGAAUGACGAACGUAUCAAAUUCUCUAUUGAUGGGAGAUUUCAAUUUUCUUGCUUCCCAAACAAUGCCCAAAACUCCAAAAUUUCCCUUUUUCCCAUACUUUCCUACCAAUCAAACAGACAAUAACCAAUCCAAGAAACCACCUAAAGAGGAGAAGAAAUGCACACAUAUACACACUCACUUGGUGGAUUGGUGGGUACAUGUAAUUGGUGCACACGGGGCACUCAAGCAAUUCAUGAACGCUAGUCGCCGGAGCAGUCGCCGAAGGAACGACGCCUUUUUGAAGAGGCUUCGACGAGAACUGAUGAACCACAUGAUUGUGAUUGAGAUUGUGAUGAUGGUAAUGAAGGUGGUAGAUCUCCUCUUCUUCCAUGUCAUCCGAUGAUGAUACACACUCGAUAUUAUCCAAGUCCAUUAACACACGACCAGAACCAAACAGCUCCUAAAAAGGAGGUUCUUUUCUUCCUUCUUCUCUCUAUCUGUUUUUGUAUCGAGUUUCCCCAAAUUUGAAAGCUUAUCGGGUCGGUUUUACAAAUUUGAUAACUUUGAAGAACCCGGGCGGGGGGGGGGGGGGGGGGGGGUUUUUGGAAAGGGGGGUUUUAAAAAAGUUAUAAUGGGGGAAAAAGGAAAAAAUUUUUUUAAAAAGGGGAAAAUUUUGGGGUUUAAAAAAAUUGGGGUUUGAAAAAAAAAUUUUGGGGAAAGGGGCCCCCCAAAAAAAAAUUUUCCCUUUUUAAAACCCAAAUUUUUUUUUUAAAUUCCCCACAAAAUUUAAGGUAAAAAAAAAAAAAGGGGAGGAAGGGUUUUAAUUUUCUUUGUUGGGGAACUUUUUUUUUUAAAAGGGAAAACCCCAAAAGGGGUUUCUUCCCCUUUUAAAAAAAAUUUUUUCCAAAAAUCCGAAGACCCCCCUUUAACCUGGGGGUUUUUUUUUUUUUUUAAACCCCUUUUCCGGAUUUCCAAAGGGAAAAAAACCUUUAAAAANNNNNNNNNNNNNNNNNNNNNNNNNNNNNNNNNNNNNNNNNNNNNNNNNNNNNNNNNNNNNNNNNNNNNNNNNNNNNNNNNNNNNNNNNNNNNNNNNNNNCCGGGGGGGGGGGGGGGGGGGGGGGUCUAUUGACAAGGAUGCAUUAUAAACAGUAUAUAGUGCGUAAAAAGGAAAUAAUUUUUUGAAAUAGUGGACAUAUCUUGGGUUAUACAAACUUGGGGUUUGAAAAUAAUAUUAUUGGGAAAUGGGCCUCCCAAAACACAACUUUCCCUUUUAAGAAUCCAAAUUUUUAGUUCAAAUUCCACUACAAAUUCGAUGUAAAAAUAAAAGACUGUAGAGUAUGGUUUUAACUUUCCUUGCUUGCGACUCUUCUUUUUCAAUAUGGAUAAGCCCAGAGCGGGUUCUCUCCCCUCUUAGAAAAGAGUUCAUCCAAAGAUCCGAGAGCCCUCAUCUACACGUGUGCAUUAUCUUCUCUUUUAGACCCCUUCCUCGGAUUGCCAAAGGGAACAAGACCUUGAAGAAACACAGAAUAAACGAAAUGACUAUUUUUUUUGUGAGCCAUGAGGUUAUUCUUCUAACCAUGCCCGAAAUCGUACCUCUCCAAUUUUGAAAAUAUUCCAAUAUAAAGGAGAGGAAAAAGCAAGAGCAGAGGAUGCAAGUGAGGAAUGAAAGGGCAGAGGAAUGUGGUAAAACAGCGUACAAGCCGGUUGUGAAAGCGAUGGCCAUUGCUCCCAUGCCAAUCAUGGUCAAAAUAAAGGCCGAAACCAAGUGCUUUGCAAGGAACUCCUCCCCAUUACGCAUGGUCAUAAAAAAGUGAAGAAAUACAGCGCAUAGUGAGGAGACCAUGGCUAUGGUAUCCGUCACAACAAAUGCUCUGAAAGCUGCUUUCUUUGAUAAAAUUGCCUUGCCAUCAUCACCAUUGUAACCACCGGGCAAAGUGAAACCCGCAGCAUAAGUUACUGUUGUUAUAAGCGCGGAAACUAUCAAAUGGGUAGACCUUGUUUUUGUAAUUCAGAGGUACGUUUCUCCUUGUCCUCUUUGCUUUCUUUCUCUUUCUUCAAUUUCUUAAUUAUUUCCUGAAAUUGAUGAAUCAAUUUUUGUCACAUUCAGUCACUCAUUGCUGGGUAAACAAGAAGUCAUUGAAAAUCUGAUACAAAUGAUAAAUGCGUCUAACUUAAAUACAGUAGCAAAUCAAGCUUCUUUAUUCCAAAAGAUUGAGGUUAAUGGAGUUAUUUGUUUGCUCUAAACCUUCUUAAUAAAAAUAGUAUGAUGAAUACCAAUUUGCUUAAAUUUCAACACCAAUAUAAAUUAUUAAAUAAAUCCAAUGAAUUUAUCUUAUUUCCAAACAUAUUUAAGAGUAACAAAACAUAGCAUAUUUCAAAGAAAAUAUAUCUUUUCGUUCAAAUGAACUCAAACAUAUAACUGAAGUGAUGUGGAAGCCUUACAUUUUUCCCAAAAAUGUUCUCCUCGAUCCCGUCGUUAACUGUCAAGUAUUUCACUAAUUUCUUAGUUUCCCUCUCCCAAAACCAAGAUCUAGUUUCAGGCAUAACCAUCUCGAAGGCACCUUGGAUCACAUCCUGAAAUUGAAUAAAAGGAACAUUUCAAUUUAAUUCAAUUGAUGAAUCCAUUUUUUUCACAUUCAGUCACUCAUUGCUGGGUAAACAAGCCAUUGAAAAUCUGAUACGUACAAGUGAGAAAUGCAUCCGACUUAACCAACCUUUAAUUAAAUACAUCCAAUCAAGCUUAUUUAUUCCAAGAGAUCUGGGGUUAAUCGACUUACUUGUUUGUUCUAAAACUUCUUAAUAAAAGCAUGAUGAGUGCCAAUUUAUUUAAAUUUGAACAUCAGCAUAUUCAAUAAAUCCAAUAAAUUUAGAGACAAUGGGGGUUAAAAAAAAUUGAAGGAAGACAAAAUAAAAUUUUAUCAACUCUUUAUCCUAUUCAUCUUCUACUACUUUAAAAUGUGAUAAAAAAUAAUUAAAAUGUGGAAAAGAAAAAAUAAUAAUUCUUGAUGUUAUGUUUGGUUCUUGAGAAAUCUUAAGACUUUUUUGCUCAUAGAAAAUGAUAAAAGAAAAGAACAAAAAAGUGAAAACAAAUAAUAAGGCUAUGCUUAUUUCCAAAAAAUAUAAGGGAAAAUUUAAAGAGAAGAAAAAUAUAAAUAGAUAAGCAUAGCCUUAAUGUUUUUCAUGAGCCAAAUGUAGUCCGAGAAGAAUCCAUGAAAAUUUAAAAAAUAAAACUGGAAAAAAUAAAAUAUUUUCCCUAGAAAAAAGUGGAAAAAGUUUGGAAAACGUGCAUUUCGCAACGGUUUAAUCUUUUGUUUUCUAAACAUUUUUAUGAACGAUAAAAUAAGAGAAAAUCUUAUAAAUUGUUCUUAUCUUUUUAUUUUUGUAUCUUUCUAUUUUUCCUUUCCUCAAAUUAAUCUUAAACUACAUUUGAUUUUAGAAAGUACAGGAAAAAAAUAUUAAGAGAAGUUGUUAUUUUUUUUUUUUUUCACAUUUGGAUACAAGUGAAAAAAUGAUAAGAAAAUAUAUAAAAAUAAAAAUUAUACUAUAAAAAGGACUAGCUAUUCACCAGUUCUAGGUAGUUUCAUAACAAAAUAUCAAACAUUCACGUAUAAUUGAAGUGAUGUGAGACUUCACCUUUUUCUUGGAACUGUCCUUCUUGGCCCUCGAAAUUAUGUCGUAAGCUGUCAAGUUUUUGCUAUUAUACGCCUUCUUAUCCACAUUCCAAUCGAAUAAGAACCGAAAAUCUGAAAUUUGAUAAGAAGAGAGCAAGUGGAUGGGUGUGUUUCCUUGACCAUCUUUCUCAUUUACAAGUCCUCUGGCUCUUAACCAUUCAUUUUGAAAGUAAUCACUAGGCUUAUAAUCAUGGUCUCCCUUUUUCAUCAGGGAAAAGUGAAAAACAUUAUGGCCGUCGUUAUCGACUUGCUCGCAACAAUCUGGAUAGUGAGAUAGGAGCUCCUCUAUUAUGUUUUUAUGAUGGUGGAAAGAUGCAAUAUGAAGGGCAGUCUUGUUACCAUCAUUGAUCCCAAGAUAUGCUACACUCUUAUCUGAAUUCUCUAGCAGUUGCCUCACAAUUGUUGGAUGACAAUUUCUCUCUGCAGCACAGUGAAGUGGAGACCACCCUUUCUCAUCCACUUCCUUAGUUAGAGCUGGAUUCCAUUUCAAUAUCGCGUCGGUCAUUUCUGACAAAUGGAUAAAUGAAAAAAGAGAGUAAAAAAGAAAGUUCAGAAAAAUGAAAGAAAAUAAAUAAAGUCAAAUCAACCAUGGCAGUUUCCCUUUUAGUCUAAAUAUGUGAAAAUAACAUAAUCAUUGUAUUAAACCCUCCGUAUUAUGAGCAUACUACCUUGGUCAUUGCAGAGUACAGCAGCAUGCAAGGCCGUUCUACCCAUGAAGCCACUGUAGGCUGGUGAAGUGCGAGUUUUGUGACUUUUGUCUAGGAUAAUUUGCACUAUUCUGGUAAAUCCUCUCUCAGCAGCCAUGUAAAGAGGAGUCCCACCAGAAACAUUAGCACCAUAAGUAUACUCAGGGUCUUUCUCAAUCAAUAACUUCACCAAAGAAUAUUGGCCAUAUCGCACUGCCUCAUGCAAGGCUGUGUCUUUCUCCUUAUUUGUCAUCCUCAACAUCAACUUAUCUGCUUCAAGCCCAGUUUCAAUAUCUGUGGCAGCGUCUAAAAGAGCUUUCACAACAUCCAAAUGCCCUUCCCUUGCUGCAAGGUGAAGCGGAAUGUCCCCUUUCAGAUUAGGGUGUAGCAGUAGAGAUGAAGAUGAAGGCAACCUAAGGAUCAAAUUCACAGACUCCAGUUGACCGAACUGGGCAGCGAUGUGGAGUAUUGUGUUAUGCUUUGGGGUUAAAUGGACUAGUAAGUCAUGAUCUGAAAUUUUUUCGAGGACUUCAAUGUUCCCCUUUGCUGCCGCCUUGUACACGUCCGCAUCCAUGCCCGUGAUGACAGUGUGGCUGCCAUCUCCAUUUGCAGCUUGGUUGGAGGUCUGGGCUGGGCUAGGAUCUUGAGCUACAACCUGAUUGGAAUUAGAAUCCAUGUCAAGAUUCUGAAAUUCUUCACUGAGGUUCGAAGCACCCAGCUGAUCCAUUAAGUGUUUAUGGGUUGGAAGUGAAGUGAUCGACUCCACUCAUCACGUUUAUGGCUUGGAAGGUGGUCCCCCUUCGCUGCAAAUGAAGUUGUGUGGUGGAGACGUCCUUGCUCUCAACCACAAUAUUGAUUCCAUAAUGAGGCCAAUGUUUGUGUUAAUAGCAGCAUAAACAAAAUUUAAUUUAAUAAAGAAUGUAAAAGCAAAAACUUCAUCUCUUAUAUUUUUGUUUAAUAAAUUUAUUGAACUCUUAAUAAAACAUAUUAAACUUCAAUGUCGAAAUUUUUAAAAAUAAAAAAUACAAUUGCAUUCCAAUGUUUGCUAUUAAAAAUCAUAUGAGAUUUUUUUUCUCAUGUUUAGUAUUAUUUACAAAUUAUUUGACAAUUUAUAAUUUAGUAUCCAUUUGAAUACAUUUUCUUAUUUUUUAUUUUUAAAAAUAAAAAAUAAUAAUAAAUUCUAUAUAAAAACUAUAAGCUUGGUUAAAAAUUAAUAAAUUAUUUUUUUAUAUUAUUUUAAACUUAUUUUAUUUAUUUAUUUUUAUAUAUAAAAAUCAAAUAAUUUAAAAAUAUAUAAAUUUCUGAAUAAUUUUAAUUAUAUUUUCUAUAAUAAAAUCACUUUCUUCCACAUUAUUUUUUCUUUAUUUAACAUUUUCAAACCACCAAAUAUAGGGCUUGUUUGGUUGCUGUUUUUGAAAACUGUUCUGGAAAACAGUUUUUGAGAACAAUUUUUAAGAACAGUUUUUGGUGUUUUUUAAAAAAAAAAUUAUGUUUGGGAACUGAAUUUUGAAAAACAGUUUUUGUUCUCAAAAACAAAAAAACAUGUUUGGUUGAGUUAAUAAAAAAAAAAUUUAGAACAAAUAAAAUAAAAAACACGUUUGAAAGAUUUUUUUUUUUCUAAUUAAUAAAAUAUUUUCUUCAAGUAAUUUUAUAUUAUAAAUUUAUAAUAAUUUUUAGAUAUAUAAUUCAUUUAAAUUAAAAAAAUUAUUUAUUUUAUUAAUUUAAAAAUAAAAAUAUUUUUUAUAUUUUUUUAAAAUAAAUCAAACAUAAUAAAAUCAUUUUUAUUAAUAUUUUUUUAUUUAAUCUUUAACUUUAUUAAAAAUUAUAGCAUUUUCUAUUAAAUUGAGAUAAAAUUGUUCUCAUGAUUUGUUUUUUUUUUUUUAUCUCUACUAAAUAUAAAAUUCAAAAUGCCACCCUUCUCUGAUCGGGCAUCAAAAAGCCCUUUUCUGAAGUUGCCCUCCAGCCGAGAGAAUCCCUAAAAGGCCCUAUUUUCCUCUGCCACUCUCAAUCCUCGCAGGUACUAAUCUAAUCAUGUUAUUAUUAUUUUUUUUUUUUUUGCAACCCCCGUUUGAUUCCCAAGAAAAUCCAUCCCCCAUUCGAUUUCCAAGAAAAUUCAUCCUCGUUUGAUUUCCGAGAAAAUCCAAGCAAAAACCCUGCAACCCCCGUUUGAUUCCCAAGAAAAUCCAUCCCUCAUUCGAUUUCCGGGAAAAUUCAUCCUCGUUUGAUUUCCGAGAAAAUCCAAGCAAAAACCCCAAGGAAAACCAAAAAAAUGGAUUUUCUGGAUCCGUUUUAGGGUCUCUUUGCUAUUGUGCCAUUGGAUUUAAAUUUCACGAACCUUGAAUCAAAACUGAGAAACGGGAAAAAUCAAGAAGAGGUGACGCGACUGUGCUGGAGAAGAGAUGAAAACGGGAAGAAAAAAAAAACACGGAGAACAGAUGAUUUUUUUUUUGUUUAAUUUUGUUCUGUAAACAGUAAAAAAACGGGGAAAACAACGUUUUAUUGUUCUCUAAACAGUGUCAUUUUGAGAACACGGGGAACAACAAAAACAAAAACAACUCUCUCAACCAAACGAGUUUUUGGUGUUUUUUGUUUUCAAGAACAGAAAACAGUUCUUGAAAACACUAAACAAACAGGCCCAUAGACUUUAAUUUCUAUGUUUUUCUUUUAUAUUAAUAGAAUGUCAUUGAAAAGUCCUUGAUAUAUUUUGCCAGCUCAUGUACGACAACUGUGGAAAGGACGGACUGUAAAGAAAGAAUACGUUGAUUACUUGUGUGUUGGAGAGGAGGCGCUCAAUUUUUAUUUUUUUUAUUUUUUCCUUGAGUUGGUGAGUGAUAACUGGUGUAAAGAAAGAGAACGAAGAGGCAGGGGAAUAUUUCCAGAAAAGCUUCAUAUCAUUGUAGUAUGGUUUAGUACUCUGAUUUGUCCAUGUAUAUAUAUAUAUAUAGUUUUGAUGGCGGUAAAAUAUUAUGUUUCAAACAUACAUACAACACACUGUUUCCUACUUAUCCUACGCACACAGCAGCUUCUUUGAACUUUCUUGAAGUGUUAUUCACGUGAUUAUCCUCUAUAAUGUUCUCUAUUGUAUAGUGGAAUGAUUCUCUUAUCCAUAGAUGUGAGAUUGGUUGGCCGAAUCACAUUAAAACCUCAUGCACAUUUGUAUUGAUUAUUUUAUCUUUAUAUUCUUGAAUGAAUUUUGUUUGCAUGAAAGUUUCACUAGCACAACAAAUUGGUAUUAGAGAUCCAAGUUGAAGACUUUUAGAAGAGCAAAAUAUUACAGAGCACAUAAGACGAAGACAAAAGAAAUUUCAGAUAAUGGUUGACAAUUUUUAACUAUAGUGACUGACUCAUUGUUUCAUCAUUUAGUGAUGAAUGAUAGUUGUUGUUAUCCCUUCUUCUUUAAUAAUUGAUGAUGUUAUCUCCACUCCUUCAAUAAUUGAUGAUGUUAUCUCUACUUCUUGCUCUCGUUCAAUAAUUGAUGAUGUUAUCUCCACUCCAAUAAUUAGUGAUGCUAUUUUCACUCCUUUCAAUAUAUUAUAACUAACUAAUAACAUCAAUACCUGUGGACCCGCAUUUUUCACGUGCGUCCCCACUCGAUCGGCGAGACUCGCUUUUUAGUUGUAAAAAAUUAUUUAGUUUUGGAAAAGUUGGAGUCGCCACUUAUUUUAUUUUUAUUUUAAAGGGAAAAUAAAAUGAGAAAGAAAAACCUUAAAAUGUGACUCCAUAAUUUUUGGAAAAAAACAUGUCUUUGAAAAAACCCGAGUCUAGGUCCGGGGAUCAGGUUACUUAUUGGGAAGGUACCUCUAGGAGGUAGCACCCCUCUAAGCCCUUUUAAGGUCUCUACUGACUAAGUUGAGGGAAACGUGACAAUUAAAUGGUUGAUCAUGGAUACCUAAGUAAGCAAGGUGAUUUCAAAAAUAGCAUGCCAAACAAGAUCAAAUCACAAUAAAGGAGAGUUAAGAUGCGUACCUGAACCACUUCUUAAGCGCUAUCAAAAGGACAUAGAAGAUUAGUUUGAAAAUGUGAUACAACAUUUGUUUUAUCUAAGCAAAUCAAGCAUCUAUCUGAACACCUAAGAAUCACAUCAUGUAUGGAUCUAAUCACCAAUAGCAUACGUGCCCACAUAAUUCUCGAAAAUAAGUGAGGAAGAGCAUACCUGGGUAGCAAGCUAGUACUCCUUUAUGGGAAACAAAAUUAGCCAAAUAACAUAUCCAAAAUAAUCUCAUAUAUACCACAAAAUGAAGCACCAUCAAUCGAAUGUCAAACAAAAAAUAUUUGAGGAAAUAUCAUGAAUGUCGGGCCCCCCUCCAAAGCCCUAAUUAAUUUUGUAUGAGUUGAUUCUAUAAAUUCCAUUAUUUGGAAUCAUGAAUUUUGCUCAUGCUUGUUGAAAAAUCGAGAAAAACCAUGAAAAUUAGUUGAAAAUGAUGAAAACGCAUGCCGGAAGGGAAAAUGGCAGCAAAUAGUAUGUUAAAAUAUGGGUUUUAGUGACUAGAAGGACUCUAAAGAUGGAUUUUUCAAAGCUGGAAAUGCUUGGUCGUAAAAGAAUUCAAAAAUUCAAUUUAAAAUAAUAAAUUUUCAAUCAAAGAAGCAAGGAGAGGAGGAGGUGUGUGUAGCAAGAUAGCCAUGCUGGAAGUAGAGUCCGGGAGUAUGAAGGUGCUAGUGAUUGAGCUGUUGAUACUUGAAUGAAAAGACCUUUAUAGAUUGCUGAUAUGACUGGAGGAGAACUAACAGUAUUCAUUUUAGUGUCCAUGCUCACUGGGUUUGGGGUGUAUAAUUUCAUCAGCAAAGACAUUCCAACCCGACUCUGGCUUUUCAAGAUCACAAUUUGCAUUGCUAGCAGGAAAUUGUAGUGAAGCAAUUAAGGCUUGAUUCUAGAUCUGAUUCCCUUACUGCCACUCAUUCUUCUCUUCUCUAAGUUCAGUUAGAGGGAAUUUGCAUUCAAUAGUCUUUAAAACUGGAACUAGAAAUCCCUGACUUCCAACUAUCUCCUCAGAAGGUUUGAAAUUGACAUGUCCAUCAACUGUUGGAUUCCCGUCAUCCGAGUACAUCAACUCACAUCUAACAGCCACUAGAAACUACAGAAGUAUCAGUGUUUCCAGACGGGUCUUCCCUGAAGAUACCAUGCAAAACAUAUAUCCUUUCAACUUCGGUUUCUAUGCCUUUGCCAUAACGCAAACUGAACUGUCACUUAGCUUUAGCCGGAAGAACUGGAAUUCUGGACCUUCGCGAUUUGGAUGGCAAAUCAGCUAUUGCAGAAUGAUUGGCGAGUAGCAAAUGUAAACAAUUUCGGGUACUUUGAUAGCAACCCUCAUUGAUAACCGAGAGAAGUAUGCUAAAUGCUGAAUUUAGUGGAUGAGUUGAUGAUGAUUUUAGUAAAGGGUGCGUUCAAAAUGAGGAUGUGAAGAGUGGUUGGGCGAGUAUGCUGAUGUGGGACAAACUGGAAUGCAAAAAUGGGACACGCUGUGUGCGAGCACAUACAAAGUCCACUACCUUCUGAAUAAUGCCAACUUGUCAUCUUUAUAGAAUGCAUUGUUCAGCAUCUUAACUCUCUCUCCAUAUCAAAUAUGUUGGCCAAAUUUUUAUAAAGUUCUCUCCAUAGUCCACGCAUUGGCAAAUCAAGAGUCUGACCUACAUCCUCUGACUUCAAGAGCGCUUCGCUGUGACCAAUCUUCAGACCAAGAUCAGCUUCUUUGGUGAUCUUUGUACCAAGUGAGGAACUUCUAGGAUAUACCGGAUUAUAGUAGCAGCGACAUCGUCAAACCCAGAAAAGGGACUACUUGUUGGCAAAGGUGGAAGCAUGGGCAGUCCUCCUUCAUCAAGAAAAUUAAAAAGGAUGGAAUGAGUUCUGGUAAGAAUAGAAUGCAACUGCAGGAUAGCAUGCAUUGUUCCGGAUGUGAGUCGGUUCUUGAUACCAAAACAAGCAAUCUCAAUAGGUCACUUCUGCUCAUGCAUAUCUAUAUUUUCAUCAUCUGCUGAAUCUUCAUUCCCGCUAUUUUCAAUCCAUGAAUCUGUUGAAAUAAAGUAUCUGUGUAGAUUGUCAUCAUCAAGAAUGUUCUCAUUCUCUUCCAAAAGAGCCAUAAUGAUGGCUUCAGCAUUAUUAACAGCAUGUGCAGCAACAAGAAACUGGACAAAGCUAUCACCAUUUAUGUCGAAGUCGUUUUCCAUCAGUGGCCUAAUCUGCACCCUGUUUUCUAUUACUGCUUUCUCCAUUGAAUUUAUGGGCUUGCAUCUUUAAGUUGUGAACUGAUGUAUUUGGUACAGUUUAGGCAUGCUCAUUCUCCAAGCAUAACAGACGAUAAUCUGAUAGUUAUGUAUCUAUAAAUAGCUUGAUAAAUGGUUUGCCUCUAUUGGGAAAGGAAUCAAUAAAGCUAUCUUUGAGAAGUAAUGAAACCCUGUCAUUGUUUGAUUGUACUGAUUGUAUGAGAUCUCAAUCUUGAGCAGAAUGACUUCAGGUAGCACUUCAUCACACGCAAAAAUUAGGCAGCAGCUUCAACACCAAACAAGAUGCAGUUCUCUUAGCUUGUGAUAAUAUGUAAACACCUGCACUUCAUUCAACUUAUAUACAGGAUGCCUUUUAGCAAUUGAAUUAUGACAUGCCAAUUUAACAUGUAGUGGACCUAGUUCAAAAAAACAAGCUCUUUAUGUCGAGGAAGGAAUUCUUGAGAAUCUGGAACAUAACUGUGAGUAAUCUUGGAAACAAUUGGACAAUCUGUAGGUUCUUCACUUGCUCUCAUCGCUAAGUUACCCCAUUCAUUCUGAUACCUGGACUUGCUACCUCUGAUUUACUUGGAGAUCAUCAACAAGAGGACAAUCAAGGUAAAGUGAGCCCACUGAUUCUUAUUCAUGUUGGUUAGAUGCUAACUUGCUGAUGUGUUCUGUCAAACUAAGCGAGCCAACUGGUGUGUUCUGUUGAAUUGAGAAACACUAUAUUUACCCCCAAAUUUAAAUCUUUUAACCUGAAUUCAGAAUCAGCAGCGUCAUUAGAGUCACUGGCAGUGGCAAGCCUCUAUUCUUGCCCAAUUCUAUCAACAAUUUCUCAUUUCUUGAAACUUGCAUUUCCGAGAAGAGGAUUGUCUUUUGCAUUCUGAACAUUCCAUUAACUGCUUGAAGCUGGUAAAGGAUUAGGAGGAGUGGACAUUUGAACUUUUAUUACAGCUUUGCUAUUUAAAUUUGAAGAACUAAUUGGUUUGCACUGUGUCUCAACAGCACUGCUGUUGGAUUUGACUUGCUUCGAUUUACUAUAAGUAGUAAAAUCGUUCUCAAAAUCCACCAACCCAAUGGACUCUGGGGAGAAAGGUUCAGCCUGAUGCAUGCUAUUAGCAUUGGAAGUUGUCCCGAUCAUAGCAAGAUCAAUCAAACUUUUACCUAGCUGACUUAUCUUCAUUUCAAUCAUAGUAUCUUCGAGGAGCAAACUGUUAUUGAACUACAUGUCGCACACGUCCAAUAGUAGGAAUAAUCGGCGCUUGUCUGAGAGCUUCACAAAAGCAAUGUGUGUUUCAUCAACGUUCGGAUCAGAUAUUGGAGUUUCCUGUAAACUGGCGGAACUGUUGGAGACUUUGGCAUCAUAAAUUGCAGCAAGACUGAAAUCCUGAAUUGCACCUCUAGGUGUUCUAGAAAACUUAGUCAUGUCUGCCUCCUAUGUUCUCUUCUGAUAAAUCUGUUCUUUCCAAAUGCUUUAAGAGGUUGAAAUCAAUACAAACUGCAGAAGCAUCAUGGUCGUCGAUGUAUUCAAAUUCUAUAUUCUUCAAGGAAUCACAAGUGGGCACAGUUUCGUCUAAAGGAGCCAAACCAUCUGAUCAACUUGGGGAAAUAUCCAUGGUUCUAAGGAUGGAAAGGAUGCUAACUAUGCUAUUUGAAGCAGAAGACUGGUAAUGUAACUAGGAAUGCAACCUCAGGUGCCCUCAACUUUCUUCUUAUAAUCAAGGAUGAUGAGUUUAUUGCAUAUGAACCCACAAGGCGAGCUUUGCCACUUGGAAAUUUCUGUUAUAUGCUUCACUCACUGAUGUCUUUUGGACUAGAGGUCUAUUGGCCACAUGGAUGCUUUUGCUCAAUGCCUCAUUCGCAGAUGGUUUUAGAGCCUAAGGUCUAUUUGCUGCCUGAGCACUACUUCUAUCCAUUGAGACACUUGAUGCCGCUCCCAAAAGGUCUCGCAGAGAAUAUUCAUUCAAAUCAAUAUCACCAUUGUGCAUGGCCUAACUAUACACGGCAGCAUCUCCAUUGCAAAUGACCAGGUUGUCGGAGUCAGCAUCCCCAUUUCUGAUGAGCCGACUAUAGGUUCCGGGGUUGCCAUUAUUUUUUUCAAAUAUAUUAAGCUCAAUGGAAUUGAAAUGCCUCUCUGGUUCAGUCAGCUGAUUUGUCAGAUCCUGGUUUAUUUUUAAUACAUUUCGUCGCUUCAGUUCUAGUUCAGAAGUCAACUUCUACCGACUCUAGAGGUACGAAUAUUCUGCUGUCAGUGGCUUGCCUAUCAAUUCCUUGCAUGUAUGCUUUCCUUGCCAAAAACUUGCACUGUCUCAUCAAGCAGAUGAUGAAUCUCCCCAUGCUAUUGAUCAAUUAUGGUCCACCACGUUCAGCAGUUUUUCAGAAAGGGUGCCUGUGUCUAUGCCUUGCUCUAAUUCUAUAACUGAACUUCUUUGGAAUAUGGUGCAGGCAUCCCUGAAACCACUUGCCCUUUUUAUACAUUGCAAAAGUGUAUCCAGUUCUUUAGCCAUCUCUUUACCGUUGUCGAAUUGUCUUGAUAAAUGCGAUUCAGAGUUCAGUUGUCCUUGUAAGGGGAGAGUUCUGUAAUUCUCCUUGAGAGGAUAAGACUUAUAAUUAGGAGACUUGGCUGGAAACUGCAUUGACAAUUGUGUACCUAGAGUCGAAGAUAUUGGUUCGACAUUCUCUACCACCAUUGAACCUCUCUGUCAUCUGCUCUGACUGACGGAACUUCUCUUGGACAUGCUAAUUCAUGCGACAAGUUGCCUGAUACGCAGGCUUGCCUUGCAAUUGAGAAUGUCAUUGACCAUGCUGCAUUAGUUCUGGUUGUUCUCCAAUAGAUAGGCCACCAUUGAACCUCUCUGUCCCCUGCUCUGACUGACGGAACUUCUCUUGGACAUGCUGAUUCAUGCGACAAGUUGCCUGAUAUGCAGGCUUGCCUUGUGAUUGAGAAUGUCAUUGACCAUGCUGCAUUGGUUCUCCUUCGUAAUCCUUUGGAACUAAGUUCAGGAUUCUGCAUGUUGUACUUCUUAAUGGAACUUGAAGAUACCUCAUCUUCAUCUUGAAAUACAGCAUCAGGUAAAAUAUUUAUUUAUUAAUAUAGGCCAAACACUGUGGAGUCAGGUCUAUGUCCACUUUGACCAUCUCCGGAAACAAUUCGAUUGCAAUCUCUGGACGUCCUAUAUGCAAAUAACCAGAUAUUAAUAAAUUCCGAGUGACCACGUCCGAUGGGGCAUUUCAUCGAAUAGCCGUUGAGCACUUGAAGCGACACCAUAUUUACCAUACAUAUCCAUAGGAACACAACAAAUAGACAUCUGAAUCAAAACCCGCCUUGAUUAUGGUGGAAUGAAGCUAAACUUGCACAAAGAUAGAUCCAGAUUUUACAUUCAAGGAGAUCAUUUUGUUGAGAAUGUGAGCGGUAGGCGCAGACCCAUGUUGCUGCAAAUGACCCUUAUCCAGAGCACAACUCAACAGUGUCGUCUUGUCUAUGUGCAAUCAAAUUAGUGAGUCUUAUUGUGGCUGAGAUGUCAGCACUCAAAUAUGCGAAACCUGUGGCAACAUGGCCUGAGAACUGCUUGAAGUAUUUCAACGGAACAGGAUUGAUUAAAUUCCCAUUCAAUUUGCCCUUUGUUCAUGAAAUUGGUUAACACCUUCAGCCUUGGAUUACUCUCUUUUAUAGCAUAGACAGAUGACAUGGCUACAGAAGCAUCAUGUGUGUGUUCAUUGUAGGGACCCCUCCCCCUGAUAACAUGUGGCGCGCUUCGCUAUUCGGAGCAACUCCAUCCGGAUUCCCCAAAGAGGGACACGUGGCACGCUCCCCUAUCCGGACUCCCUCAGGGAGAAGCACACGUCACUCGCGAAUGUCACGCUCGAACGAUAACAUAUCAUAUCCGGAUCACUGACUGAAGUGAGCAAGUCUUGCUACAUCAUUCCGACAGCCUGCCACAGCCCACGUUCUGCCGCCUGCAGAGCGAAAAGACAGGAAUGAUGGCAAGUCGCCCCUCACGAUCUCUGACAGCCGUCUAUAGGGUGAUGAUGACUCUGCCACCACCUAGAGGCAUCAUGACGAGCCAAAAAGUCUUCCUAUCAUUAAAGAGGGAGGUAGAGCUUCUGACACUAUAUAUAAGGACCUUCACACAAGGAGGAAGGUAAGCUUGCUAUACCUAGAAAAAGGCUAACUGCUUAAUCUCUCUAGACAUGGUUGACAAAACCAUCGGAGGGUGUGUCUGGACACCUUGUCCGGACAUCUUUUGCAGGGACAACUGAACUAGAAAUCUAUCUUGGUUGAAAGCGUGCGUCCACUUGGAAGCUACGUGGAUCAUCGGGACGCAAGGCCUCAACAUUGGCACCGCCUGUGUGAAAAUCGCUGAUUCAGUCGCUGGCAAAGAUGUCCACACCUUCCAGAAGCCGCUCGUCUGCUAGGGGAGAAGAAGAUAAUACCGAAUGGCGCCAAGCCAUCGAGAGAAGACAGUUGGCAAGCGAGCGACAAAUGCAGGCUCUCCUCCAGGAGACAGCGAGAUUGAGAGAAGAAAACGUUGUGUUGCGCAUCCAGGCUUCAUCGAUGGAGCCUCCUCGUGGUUAGCGCUCAAGAGGCCAGGUAGCAAACUCAAGGCCUGACCUAGAGUCAAUAUACCCUGGGACAACAGGAGCCAUCCCUGAAACAUGCAACGUUAGGCCACAAGAGCGACACACGCCCAUGCACCAAACUCCCCAGGAGGAAAGCUCGAACUCUACUCGUCUCUCGUCAAAGAGACAACGCGAAAAAAGACCCCAGUUUUCGGGCGCAAUGCGCGCGAGACUAGGCCCACAGGAGCCUGGGAGGCCAAGGCCGCCAGUAGCCACAACCUGGGGAGCGCACCCUGACCCUAUGGUCACCUCUUUGGUGCAGAACGUUCCCCCGCACCAAGCGAUACGACAAGCUGGGAGAAACCUCCCAAACGAGCCACCCAGUGGCUCCAUCAGCAAAAGGCUGGACGACAUACUCUCCACGCCUUUUUGCUCUCAUAUUAUUCAUUACGACCCCCUAAGGGGAUUUCUCGUGCCUAAAUUCUCCACGUACGAUGGGUCCAGCGACCCCUUCGACCAUAUCAUGCAUUAUCGACAACUCAUGACUCUCGAUAUAGGAAACGACGCGCUGCUAUGCAAAGUAUUCCCCGCCAACCUACAAGGGCAGACCCUCUCAUGGUUUCACCGCCUACCUCCCAACUCUGUUGAUAAUUUCAGGGACCUGUCGGAAGCUUUUGUGGGACAAUACUUAUGCUCCGCUCGGCAAAAACAGAACAUCAGCACUCUGCAAAACAUAAAAAUGCAGGAGAACGAGUCGUUGAGGGAAUUCGUGAAGCGGUUUGGUCAGGCCGUGUUACAAGUAGAAGCUUACAGCAUAGAUGAUGUCCUACAUAUCUUCAAGCGAAGCAUCUGUCCAGGCACCCCAUUCUUUGAAUCGCUGGCUAAGAAGCCUCCUACGACGAUGGACGACUUGUUCCGGCGCGCGAGCAAAUACUCAAUGCUCGAAGAUGACGUGCGAGCAGCCACUCAGCAAAUCUUGGUUGCUGGACAGGCAUCCAGAAGUGGUGCGGAAAGAAGUGCCAAAAUUCCAGACCGGCCAAGGCCGUCAAGUCAAAGGCAGGAAGAACAAAGCCGUCCGAAACAGCCGCCCCUUACACCCUUUUCCAUAUCCUAUGAGAAGCUUCUCCCUAUGAUCCAAGACAUGUCCGACUUCAGGUGGCCCGAACCCCUCAGAACGGACCCAUCCAAAAGGGAUCAUAGUAAAAAAUGCGCCUACCAUAAGGAGCAUGGUCACACAACGGAGAUGUGCAGGAGCCUCCAUUAUUUGGUCGAGAAACUCAUAAAAGCGGGACAUUUGAAGCAAUACCUCCGCUCGGAUGCCAGAGGUAGGGACGCUUCCCAAGAUCACAACUCUGGAACCCCCAGGGUUCCAGCCGCCCCCAAAGCCAUUAUAAACUAUAUCAACGGAGGCCCAUUGGACGAGGAAUACGACUCCAAACGAAAGAAACAAAGGUUGUUGCGGGCAGCAUCGGUGCGUGAGCGAGUCAACUCCAUACGGCCUGGGAUAACUGGGGGGGGGGGGGGGGGGGUUGUGCGCCAGAGAUCGACCUCCGGAAUGGUUCCCACAUACCCCCUCAAGCAACUCAGCUAAUACAUACAGGGCCUCUGAGUGGUUUAAGCACUUGAGAUAGGGGCCUGUAAAGGACCGCUUGUACAAGUGCCCCCUGAUCAAGGUGAAACGGGCGGCUUGGACCCGGAUCUUGUGUCUUGCUUGGGCUCUUCGGGCAGAGUGCUUGUUUGGAGGUACCUUAUAAUGUCUUCCGUCCACUCUUGGUCGUCUGCUUGGUUUGCCUCAAUGGUAUUGCAAGUGGAGGUUUCCGCGACGGAAGGGUUGACUUGCACAUGUAUAGGCAAUAAUAUGGCUUCUUUGAUAGGGAGUGAAGCAACUAUGCCUGCUAGGGCGUCGGCACGUCCAUUUUCAGUUCGUUUUUCUUUUUUCGAUCGUCCAUUCGNNNNNNNNNNNNNNNNNNNNNNNNNNNNNNNNNNNNNNNNNNNNNNNNNNNNNNNNNNNNNNNNNNNNNNNNNNNNNNNNNNNNNNNNNNNNNNNNNNNNGGGGGGGGGCCUCGCCCCAUAGAUGGGACAAUCAUUUUCCCACCAGUAGACCCCACACGGAUAUUGCAGUCGCACCGCGACGCCCUCAUCCUGUCCCUAGAGAUAGGAGACUUCGACGUGAGAUGCAUCCUAGAUGACCCGGGCAGCUCGACCGAUCUUGUACAAGCAUCGGUCAUUAGCCACAUGGGGCGCAAUCUAACAGGCCUCGAAAACCCUGGGCGAAUUUUGUCCGGAUUCAACGGAGUGUCAACUACCUCAUUGGGAGAUAUUGUACUGCCGGUCCAAGCUGGCCUAGUCACUCUCAACGUACAAUUUUCGAUGGUACAAGAUUUAUCACCCUUCAAUGUCAUCUUGGGGCUCACAUGGCUGCACUACAUGAAAGUCAUCCCCUCUACGUAUCAUCAAAUGGUAAGCUUUCUUACCAAGGAUGGACAAAUUGACCUAUACGGCAGCCAGUUAGCCGCUCGCCAGUGCUACCAGAUAGCACGAGAGGUAGGAACCAGUCAGGAGGAUAAACCCCUCCCUAAGUCCACCCACGCGCUGGACCAAUAACAAUUACUGAGUCCGGCGGACAAAGAUCCCCCGGCAGCGGAUCCCCUGCGGACAAUCCAAAUUUCGGAGGAAGAUACUCACUUUACAUAUAUCAGUUCCCUUUUGACGCUUGAAGAGACCCGGAACAUCCAAGACGCCCUCCGACAAAGCCAUGACGUUUUCGCCUGGGCGUAUUCUGAUAUGAAGGGAAUUCACCCCUCCAUCGUCUCUCAUAAGCUUAACGUUUUGCCAACAACAAGGCUCGUCAAACAGAGGGUUAGACGUUUUCACCCGGACAGGCAAAAGAUUAUCAGGGAAGAGAUUGAAAAGUUGCUAGAAGCCGGAUUCAUUAGAGAAGUGGAGUAUUCGGACUGGUUGGCAAAUAUAGUGGUGGUACCCAAAAAGGAAGGCAAAUGGCGGGUGUGCGUCAAUUACACCAACCUCAAUAAUGCAUGCCCAAAAGACAGUUUCCCUCUGCCACGGAUAGACCAAAUUGUGGACUCCACUGCUGGGCAAAGGAUGCUCUCCUUCUUGGACGCCUUCUCCGGAUACCACCAAAUCCUCAUGUCCCCGGCUGAUGAAGAGAAGACAACCUUCAUAACGCCACACGGUCUUUAUUGCUACAAAGUCAUGCCGUUCGGACUCAAAAACGCUGGCGCCACUUAUCAGAGACUGAUGACGAAGAUCUUCAAGCCUCUGGUCAGCCGCACAGUGGAGGUAUACAUUGACGAUAUCGUGGUUAAAAGCAAAACCCGAGAGGAACAUGUCCUCCACUUGCAAGAGGUCUUCCACCUCUUAAAGAAGUAUGACAUGAAGUUGAAUCCUUCUAAAUGCGCCUUUGGCGUAAGUGUUGGCAAAUUCCUGGGAUUUAUGGUCAACCAAAGGGGGAUAGAGGUUAGCCCGGAUCAAGUUAAGGUAGUCAUGGAAACGCCACCCCCCAAGAGCAAAAAGGAAUUACAGCACCUCACAGGCAAGCUCGUCGCGCUAGGACGCUUAUAACCCGCUUCACUGAUGAGUUGCGACACUUCUUCUUGGCAAUACGAAAAGUUGGAGCGAGCGGAUGGACGGACAGCUGUCAGAGCGCUUUCGAAAAAAUUAAACAUUGCCUCAUGCAACCACCCAUUCUAAGCAGUCCCCUCUCUAGAGAAAAAUUGUAUAUGUACCUGGCUAUAUCGGAGUGGGCAAUCAGUGCUGUUCUGUUUCGCUGCCCCUCGCCCAAGGAACAAAAACCUAUUUACUACGUCAGUAGAGCGUUGGCGGACGUAGAAACAAGGUAUUCAAAGAUGGAGCUAACGGCCUUGGCUCUUCGAAGUGCCGCUCAGAAGCUCCGCCCUUACUUCCAAGCCCACCCGGUGGUCGUGCUAACUGACCAGCCCCUUCGCAACAUCCUGCACAAGCCGGACUUAACCAGACGAAUGCUUCAAUGGGCCAUAGAGUUGAGCGAAUAUGGAAUCGAGUUCCAACCCAGGUUGUCCAUGAAAGGCCAAGUGAUGACUGACUUUGUGCUGGAAUACUUCCGAAGGCCUAUCCAGCGUAAGGAACCAAGUGAAAAAGAGUGGUGGACUUUGCGCGUUGAUGGAGCCUCCCGGUCAUCAGGAUCCAAAGUAGGGCUCCUGCUGCAAUCCCCAAUAGGAGAACAUCUGGAGCAAGCCAUCCGACUGGGGUUCCCCACCUCUAACAAUGAAGCGGAGUAUGAGGCCAUCCUAUCCGGAUUGGACCUCGCCCUAGCUCUAUCCGUCUCCAGGCUCCGGGUCUAUAGUGAUUCUCAACUCGUGGUAAGGCACGUCCAGAAAGAAUACUAAGCUAAGGAUGCGCGCAUGGCGCGAUACCUGACUAAAGUAAGGGACACCUUACAACAGUUCACCGAAUGGACGAUCGAAAAAAGAAAACGAACUGAAAAUGGACGUGCCGACGCCCUAGCAGGCAUAGUUGCUUCACUCCCUAUCAAAGAAGCCAUAUUAUUGCCUAUACAUGUGCAAGUCAACCCUUCCGUCGCGGAAACCUCCACUUGCAAUACCAUUGAGGCAAACCAAGCAGACGACCAAGAGUGGACGGAAGACAUUAUAAGGUACCUCCAAACAAGCACUCUGCCCGAAGAGCCCAAGCAAGACACAAGAUCCGGGUCCAAGCCGCCCGUUUCACCUUGAUCAGGGGGCACUUGUACAAGCGGUCCUUUACAGGCCCCUAUCUCAAGUGCUUAAACCACUCAGAGGCCCUGUAUGUAUUAGCUGAGUUGCAUGAGGGGGUAUGUGGGAACCAUUCCGGAGGUCGAUCUCUGGCGCACAAGGCCCAUUCGCAAGGGUAUUACUGGCCCACGAUGAAAAAGGAUGCGGCAGCCUAUGUCAAAAAAUGUGACAAGUGUCAAAGGCAUGCCCCCAUACCACAUAUGCCGUCAGAGACGUUGAAACCAAUUUCAGGCCCCUGACCCUUCGCACAGUGGGGCAUGGACAUAGUAGGACCCCUACCAGCCGCAGCUGCCCAGAAAAAAUUCCUGCUCGUCGCCAUAGAUUACUUUAGUAAAUGGGUGGAAGCUGAAACAUACGCUAGCAUCAAAGACAAAGAUGUCACCAAGUUCGUAUGGAAAAACAUCAUCUACCGCUUUGGAAUCCCCCAAACCAUUAUAGCCAACAACGGUCUACAGUUUGAUAGCAUCGCUUUCCGGAAUUUCUGUUCGGAACUAAACAUCCGGAAUUCAUACUCCACACCGCAUUAUCCUCAAAGCAAUGGACAAGCAGAGACCACAAACAAGACCCUAAUAACUGCCUUAAAAAAAAGGCUUGAGCAAGCCAAAGGGAAGUGGGUAGAGGAGCUACCCGGCGUCCUGUGGGCUUAUCGAACCACACCCGGACGGCCGAUAGGAAACACUCCUUUUGCCCUCGCAUAUGGUAUGGACGCAAUCAUUCCUACAGAAAUAGGGCUACCCACUAUCCGGACCGAGGCAGGAUGGCAGGAUGAUGCAAAUGCGGAAUUGGGAAGAAAUUUGGACUGGGCAGACGAAGUAAGAGAGACCGCAUCCAUCCGGAUGGCCGACUAUCAACAAAGGGCAGCCGCUCACUACAAUCGCAAGGCAAGGCCCAGGAGUUUCAAAAGUGGAACGCUAGUUCUUAGAAAGGUUUUCGAAAACACUGCUGAGACAGGAGCAGGAAAGUUUCAAGCCAAUUGGGAAGGCCCCUAUAUAGUGUCCAAGACAAGUGAAAGUGGAGCCUAUCAUCUACAGAAGCUAGACGGAACCCCAUUGCUCCGACCAUGGAAUGUAUCCAAUCUAAAGUAGUAUUACCAAUGAAAGAAAGAUAGAAGUACAAUGUGAAUGAGUAUGUUUUAUUAAUACUUGUGAAAUUGUAUACAAGAAGGUUCUCCGGACUACUAAUACAGAGAGAAAUGGCAGUAAAAGUUACAAAAAGAAAAGCUCUCAUUGAGAGGGCUUGCGGCGCAACUUUUCUUCCUCGCCCGGGGGAAUCGAAGGGACGUCCCGUUUGAUACCAUGCUUCUUCAUGCAGCAACGGUAGCCAAAGAGAUACAUCUGUCUACCUGCUUCUGGUAUUCCGUCUUGAGUUCCUCCUUUUGCGCAGCAAACUCAGCUUCCAACUCUUCUUUUUGUGCUGAUAAAUGCAACUGCAAGUCCUCUUUCUAUUUUUUCUCAAUUGACACCUUUAUCCGGAGUUGUCUCACCUCCCCCCUCAGCUGGGUCGUCUCGUUCUCCGCCUCGUGCAGGCGAGCUUCUGUAGCUUCCUCCCAUCUCUUUGCCUCUGCUAGCACUAUCCGGAAAGCCUCGUUGUCGUCCUGAGACCUCUUCAAAGCUUCGGCACUCUCUUCAGAGGCUCUCUGGGCAGCGGAUAAGCUGGCUUCGGCCUGCUCCAAUCUCGAGGGCAAUUCUUCUUCACCACUCAUGCGCUGGGAGACAAAAGCCUUCAUGUGGUCGGAAAUCCACAGCAGGUCUAAAAAAAGAUCGCGUUGUUGAACCAUGCCGCGAAUACAGCUCACCAGCUGCAGAAAAACCCACAAUAAGAAGUUCAAUUACAAGCCAUGUGACAAACACACCAGUAUGGCAAGAAAAAUCAAGAGGAGUAGCUAUACCAUUUCUGCCGCCUCAAACAUUUUCACUGAAGGCAGAGCAACAUCUGAGCCAGGUGGAAUCCGUUUCAACAACUCUUCCAACUCCACAUAGCUGAAAGGGCUAGCGAAGGUGCAAGCCGCAUCAUCAACUGAACUCCCUCCUGACAAGGCGUUAUGGUGUGGUUCCUCCCCUGGAUUCGGGUCCCCAUCAUUCACGGCCGACUGGAUCUCUUCGGGCGAACCCUCAUCCGGGACUAGCACCAGGUCGGUUGGGUUCUCUUUCGCCAUCUCCGUCUCACUCUCCUCCGGAUGAUCCUCCUGGGUGGAUGAGCAGCUGACUUCGAUGGUUUUCAGAAGACGAUCCUGAAGCCGCCCGCUGAUGCCGAACUUUAAAUCAAUGGCCGGACGAGACCUCCCCGCAGCUAGCCCCUUCACCGAUACAAGUGCAAGGGAACUCGACUCACAAGGGGGCAAACCCUGCCUUUCAGCCCCCAUUUCUUCCAUUGGAGGCACCGUAGGAGGCAACAUUUCAGCGCAAAAGGGCCCGACUACAUCCGCGUCCGGAUGGGGAGAGCUGGGCUGAUACACUGAGGUUGCUUCCUCACCUAGAAGAGCCAGUCGUUCAGCCGCUGGCAUUGAAGGCCCCGAUCCAUUUUGACCAGGGACACGUACAGAAUCGCUUGAAGCAGAGGGCAAGUCGGAGGGAGCUGGAGAUCUUAUUACUAUUCCCUUUAUGGGAGCUGGAGAUUUUAUUACUACUCCCUUUGUGGGAGCUGGAGAUUUUUUACUAUUCCCUUUGUGGGAACCUUCUUCUUCUUUCCUACUAGGGCGUUAGCGGGAGGUAAGGCACGGAGCGUUUAUCACCAGGGGCCCUCCGCAAAGUUCCCUCUUGUCUUCUUUCCUCCCGUUCGCUGAGAAGAGCUUUGCAUGCCUGGGCGUCUGCCUUUCGCACCUCCGUGUAGAACGGGAUAUCUUUGAGAACGAAAUGCUCCCUAGGCACUACCUUUUUUGGCAACUUCCUAGGGAGAAUAUUGGUGACGUACGCCUAGGGCUCCCGGACAACGGCCAAUAAGUUUCGCGCAGUAAGCAGCAUCUGAUGAUGUCUCUCAGCUGCAGUAAUCUCAAACAGCUUGUUCAAUCGGUCGAAGGACGAUUUUUCCACCAACUCGACCACGCGACCCCUCUUGUCCGUAUCUGCAUUAUCAGCAACCAAAGAUGUUAGUCAUCUGAUAACCCCAAAAUAAGAAGAGCAACAGACGAACGCCGAACAAACCCCACAAACUACCUUACCCGGAAGCACCAGCGAACGGUUUGGGGAAAACGGUCUCCGGAUGCUCUAGUAGACCAACCCAGACACCCUAGACUAAUACAUGCCCCUUGGCUCCUCCCUUCGUCGAAUCCGGAAGAUCAGUCACCAAUUGGAGAGAAGGUAGGCGGGCAGCCAGACUGAAGACGUCAUUUUCCCCUUCUUGAUGGAGUAGAUGAAAAGAACCUCCAGCAGUGAAAGGUCCAAGUUGAACAGCAUGCUCAAAAUGCUGCACCCCAUGCCAUCAGUACCCGGACCAUGUUGGGAUGGAUGUAGGCCGGGGGGAUCUGGGUGAAGUGGAGAAAUUCUUUGAACAACGAUGGGAGGGGGAACCAGAGCCCAGCAUUGAAUUGCUCCUUGGUGAAGAAGAUAGCGUUGUCCGCAGAUUUCUCAAUUGACAUGACCUCUCCGUCCAUAAGUUGAACGGACACGCCAUUCGGGAUGCAGAAGCGUUCGCAGAACUUCCUCACGUUCAGCUUGUCCACGGAUUUUUCCGCAUGGACCUUUCUGGAUGCAUCUUUGCCGCUCUGCCCUGCCGCGCUAGACGAAGCAGCGUCCUUGUUCGUAGACAUUUUUUAGAGUGGGGCUGAAGCGGAACCUGCAUGGUAGGAUGCCAACAGUAAAAAAAUAAGGACCCGACCCCACAACCCUAACGGCAAAAAUGCCCAGAAAACCUAACAUAACCAGCAUCUCCAUCCUAACCCUUGACUCUACCCCAAAGAAAGAUCGGCAACCCACAAAAGGUGCAGGGGGGCAACAGAAACCCUAACGCACCCAAAACACAACAGAAUCCCUCGAAAAAGCCCUAAAAACCGACAUCGACCCCCAGUAGCAAGUACCUUGCCCAACAAGCCAGAAACAACCGCAAAACAAACACAAUGAGGAGAAGGCAGGGAUAGAGAACGUACCGAGCGUAAACUAGGAAAAUGGAGAUGAAGUCCGCGAUGCAGUCACCGUCACGACACGAGUAUUGCUAGCAAAAACCCUAGAACCUCACUCACAGACGAAGGUAUGCAGAAGGUUGCAGAGAAAGCACUACCAGCAAAAAAUGCAGAAGAAAAAAAUGCAAGAGUGAGGGGCUCAAUCUGCUAUUUAUAGCGAGACAGCCCCUCAGUAUCCCAAACGUCCAGCCGCGCCGUUGCUGAAAAGACACGCUGCCUGGGAAAUCCCAGAGACGACGGCUCGUCAUAAAUACCCUGUUUCCUCUUCGCCUCCGCGCACCACGUGGCCCAAUGAGUGCAAAAAGUAACAUAAGUUUCAAAAACAAUCAUUUUUAACUCGCCCAUUCUGCCCGGGCAAAAUCGGCAGGCUAAAAGGGGGGCAUUGUAGGGACCCCUCCCCCUGAUAACACGUGGCGCGCUUCGCUAUCCGGAGCAACUCCAUCCGGAUUCCCCAAAGAGGGACACGUGGCGCGCUCCCCUAUCCGGACUCCCUCAGGGAGAAGCACACGUCACUCGCGAAUGUCACGCCCGGACGAUAACAUAUCCUAUCCGGAUCAUUGACUGAAGUGAGCAAGUCUUGCUACAUCAUUCCGACAGCCUGCCACAGCCCACGUUCCGCCGUCUGCAGAGCGAAAGGACAGGAAUGAUGGCAAGUCGCCCCUCACGAUCUCUGACAGCCGUCUAUAGGGUGAUGAUGACUCUGCCACCACCUAAAGGCAUCAUGACGAGCCAAAAAGUCUUCCCAUCAUUAAAGAGGGAGGCAGAGCUUCUGACACUAUAUAUAAGGACCUUCACACAAGGAGGAAGGUAAGCUUGCUAUACCUAGAAAAAGGCCAACUGCUUAAUCUCUCUAGACAUGGCUGACAAGACCAUCGGAGGGUGUGUCCGGACACCUUGUCCGGACAUCUUUUGUAGGGACAACUGAACCAGAAAUCUAUCUUGGUUCAAAGCGUGCGUCCACUUGGCAGCUACGUGGAUCAUCGGGACGCAAGGCCUCAACAUUGGCGCCGUCUGUGGGAAAAUCGCUGAUUCAGUCACAAAGACGCAAAGAAAGGGUGAACCAGAAAAAUAUCAAUUAACAUAAACAGCUCCAUUUCUCAUAUUAAUCCAUGGGCUGGACAGGGGAAACAAUAAAGAAUUGGAUUUAAACAUAAACAGAGUAUUGACCAAAUUCAAGCACAGGGUCAUAUAUUUCAGCAGACACCAACGACAUUAAAGGAACAAAAACAAAACAGGGCAAACAAGUAAGCAAACAAUCUCAACAAAGAAAUUUGUGGCCCUUUCCGUCCACACCAAUCAACAAUAUAUUGAAUAUUCAGAAAUGACCAAUUGGAGAAAUCGAGUAUGAAUAAGAACACCAAAAGUAACCAGAAACAUACUUGGGCAGUCUUGCUUCCAAUCGCUCCCUCUUUCUGCUCUUCUCUGCGCUUUUCUUCAAGAUCUCUCUAAAGAAAACCCCCAAAGACAAUCUCCGAAUCUUCCCCAAAAAAUCCUCAUUUUCAACAUCCUUUUGCACGUAUAUAUAUCAACCCCCCCAAAGACCUAAAUCUGUUCCAAAACCAAAUAAGGAAAAUCCCCCUUUCCUUUUUGUUCUUUUCUUCCUUUUUUAAAUCUACUUUCCUUCUUUUAACACUUUAAAUUUCCUUUCCAUCCUCCGUUCAGCCGUGAUCUGCUUUCCUUUCUUUAAGGAUAUAAAUCUCCUUUCCAUGUUGCAUAGAAUAUCCCCACAUGUAUGCAGCCGUGUACAUCAAGGAUCUCAUCCGAUGUGUGCAUUCGAAUCUCAUGCCAAAAUAAAAUAAGAAUUAAAAUUAGUAAAGGUCAUGAAAUUGAAAAUUAAAACUAAUUUAAAAUUAUGCAAUUAAAAACAUUAUGUCUAUCAUAGGUACACAAAAAUAAUUAAGACAUCAGUUUACACAAUUAGUCAUUAAUCUCAUGCAAUAUUCUAUAAAAUAAAUAAAUAAAAACAAAUAACUAACCAAAUAAUAAUAAAUAAAUAAGUAAAUAAAUAAAUAAAAUAAAUAGAUAAAUAAAUAAAUAAGAAAUCAAGUACAUGCAAGCAUUAAAAAUGCAAAUCAUGCAAAUUAUGUAAGUCAUAUAGGAAUUACCUAAAAGGUAACUGUAGACCCUCAAUUUUGUCCCUCGACACUGGCAUUUAUCCUUCGGGUGUCACAUCCACCCAUCGUUCGCAUAUGGCACCACUAGGGCCCUUUUUGGGCUUAGUCGGUGUCCGAGCCUCGUGUGGGUUUGUCUGUGGUCCAUUGUGGUGCAUAUGUGGUUCAUUUUGGAGGGUCACCAUGGCCAUUUUCCUAGUCGUUCACAUCACGCUAUAGGAAGGAAGUGGGGUCAUCCCGAUGUUUUAGCUUAGUUGGAGUUUAUAGGGGCAUGUUGAGGUUCGGAGCACUCGGGCUUGUUUUGAUCGUAUCUCCCUCAUCCAAACUUGAAAUCAAGAACCGUUUCUUUUUAUGGAUUCCUUAUUCUUCUAGGAACAUUCUGUAAAAUUUUCAAAUUUUUUUUGCAACCAGUCGGCUGGUUGGCAGCCGGUUUAGCCGGUUUAUCGAGUCAGCCGGUGUAGAACACUGAUUUUUGGUAAUUGUUUUGAUCAUAUCUCCCUCUUCUGAACUCGAAAUCACACACCAUUUUUUUCAUGGAUUCCUUACUCUUCUAGGAACAUUCUGUCAAAUUUUCAAAAUUUUUUGCCAUCGGUUCAACCGGUUGGCAUCCGAUUCGGCCGGUUCAGCUGGUUCAUUGAGUCAGCUGAGGUAAAACACUAAUUCUAGUAAUUUUGAGGCCCAAAUCCUACAUGGCUCAAGCCCAUAAGCUCCAGAUUGGUUUUGGGCAAUGUUGUGGGUCCAUUUUGGGCCUUGGUUUGGGUUCCUUGCAGCCCACCACGAAUCCAUAUGGAUUCUUGGUGGUGAAGCAAGCUGAAAAUUGAAGGGAGUGAGUUGGCCUCGUAAGUUUAAGAGAAAUAAUGGGGGGUGUGGUUUCCAUGCUGAUGGAGGGGAUUUCGGUACUGAAGGGGAAGGAACCCAGGAGGCUCAAAUGCUAAGAGGGGUAUGAGUAUAAAAGGUGAGAGGAUAGGAGAGCAAAGAACCUUUUGGCAUUUUUGAGAGGGGAAAUUUUGCUGGUGAGAAAAACAAAAGGUCAGUAGCAUCUUCUGAGUUGAGAGUGUAGACCCUCAAUUUUGUCCCUUUAGCACAUGUCUUUAAAAUUCGUUUUCAAUGCUCCACAAUAGUUCCUUGGUGGCCCAUGGCUACUCAUACCACUUACCUUUUUCUGAGUCACCUCGGAGAUUUUGGUUGAGGGAUUAUUUGAUCCCUUAUUGUGACCCUUGGUAGCCCUAAUUUAGACUUAGGUUUUUCAUUCAUUUUUAGGAUAGCUUUUAGAUACACUUGGCCUUUAGGCACCGCUCUAGGCCCACUUAGGCACACUUGGCCCAUUAGGCACUUUUAGACUCACUUUUUGUAUGACUUACACGGUUGCAUGACUCGUGGAGCCCAGUUUUUGUUAAUUUGUUUAUUUUUAUUUCUUAGUUUUAGUUUUAUGAUUAUCAAUCACUCUUAUUUUUAUUUGUUUUCUUCCUCUUUAUAUUAUCUUUCUUAACUUGAUUAUUCAUUAUGUUUUUUUUUAUUAUUAUCCUCUAGUUUGUUUACUUAUUUAGUUACUCAUUCAAUUAUUUACUUUCAAAAAUUUCAUGUUUUUGCAAGGAAACUUACUAUUGGAGUUUAAGGAAGGUGGGACUCUCCUUGGAAGGUUUUGGAGAGGAAUUUGAAAUUGGGAAGACUACUUUUGAAUUGGAAGAUUUUAAGAAAAGGGAUAAGGAGAAAAAAUGAGAGAAAAUAGGAGAUUUCACCUUUUUAGGGAGAUUUAGGUUUUAGGGAAGGGCAGAUAUAUAUACGUGAGAGAGGAAGGAAAAGGGGGGUUUUUUUUUUCGAUUGAGGGAGGAGAUUCUUUUGGGGGCAGCAUGCAUCGAAAGAUUUCAGAGGGAAGAAGGAAGAAGGAGUGACUGGGCAAAAAAGGAUUUGUAUAUGGGAAAUUGUCUUCAGAGGUAAGAGGGAAGAUAGCCGGAAGCCAAGCCAUUGCAGCCAAGACUGCCCAGAAUUUAAAAUCCAUUGGGUCUGGAGGAGAGGCACAGAGGAGAGGGGACUUUCAGCAUGCAUUAAGAACGAAGUGGAAUUAGAAAAGAGAAGCAAUCUCUGCUUCUUCAGAAAAGUUCUAAGGUAAACUCCAUGUGAAUCUUGCUGAUUUCUCAUAUAUUGUUACGGAUAUUGUUUCAUUCCCUACUUUUUUUUUUUUUAUCAUUUGAAUUCAAUGAGACUCUAUUUUAUGGUAUAUUAUUUCAAGAUUUGGUUGCCCAGAUUCUCUUUAUUCCUCCCACCAACCUAAUCUCGUGGACCGAAAUAUGAAACACGACUUUCUCUAGAUCAUUCUAUUUUCAUCCUUUAUGCUUUCUUUUCUUGGUUGCCUUCUUUGUUCUUGUGUGUAGUUUCAAGGGAGACGCGCAUCACUAAUUAAUCACGUUAGAGAGGAGCUUUUGAAUACUGCUGAAACCUGGGACUUAGAACCCAAAUUCGGAAGCGGCAAGCUGGCUUGAUGACUCUAAUGAGAAUUUUGUUUCAUGGGAAAAAUGACUUGAUAGCGAUUGAAUAUGGAUUGAUAGGGAAUGGAUACUUCAAUGCGUCCUAUAGUGGAUUACAAGUUUGGUUCCCUUUAGGGAAGGCAUGUCCAAGACAGGGGAGGGCAAAGUUUUGUGUUCGUGACAUCCUAGGAGCAGUCAGGAUGGCUAAGACCUUGUCAAUGGAUCUCAGUUGUUGUUCUGAACAAUCUGAAUUCAAGCCUGUCGAAUUUAAGCAGUGCUUUUGAGAGUUAUGGGACUGCGGAAUAACUACAGCUGAUCCAGCUUAUUUCACGACCUUUUACUCUAGCGUCAACCUGAAUCCAAGGCUUCCUCCACCUCUCAUUUAAUGGGAGAAUCAAUGCCUGUUCCCUAUCCACUUACAAAGAGGAGUCUGAUGACGAUAGGCCAUCCCGGAAAACCUCAGAUGAUUGGCCAGAAAGCAGCAGUGCAGUUAUGCCUAGACAGAGGACAGUUUCUUCAGCGGAUUGUCAUAAAAGUUCAGUUGAUCUGAUACAAGAGGACUUCCCCUGCACCUCAUCACCUAUAUAUAAUUAGUUUCCUUCCUCAAGCUAUGCAGCGAUGGAUGAACUAUUUAAUCGCAUUACCUCUACAUAAAGAUCUCUCAGGGAAUGAACCACUCUUAUAAUGACACGGAAAAACUUCCCCAUGCACUCUCCAAGUUCCCUUCAGUUGAGGUACAAUCUAUGAUGCAGUCUCCUAGGCUCACCCCUCCUCUGUAUGCAACAGCAGCAACGUAUAUCACUUCAGGAAGUCCAUUUUAUCCUAAUUUGCAGACAAUGAUGGAUCCUCAUCCGCAAUUGUUAGUCUAAUAUCAAAGGAGAAGCCUAUUAUCCUUAGUCAUGCAGGAAUUGAAGAUUGCAUUGGCCUUCCCCCAAAGCUGCAAUUCCCCCUUUCAUCACGGAACUUGAAUUUGGAUGGACUCUCAAAUUUGGCUUUUUCUCUGUUUAUACCUUUUAAAGGUCACUCGGUACAUUGUUACAUCUAAGUCCCUUUGAGUUGGAAGAUUCUGUGGGAGCAUUAAGAUGCAUUUUUUUAACCCUUUGUUCGAUUAUGUCCGUAUUUCUCUAUUACAAACUUUGAGCAAGCAUUUGGAAUGUCUAUCAGAUGAAGGUUCCUAAUUUGCUCCCAUUUGUUUGAGGUGUCUUAAUUGAGGUUUGCUGGAUUCAGCACGUGGCCAAUUUUCAUGGCUGAUUUCCUACUGAUUUAUGGUUCAGGUUUGAAACCUGGUUUUGAUUUUAGUUGAUUGAAGUUAUUUGACAAUGACCACUGCAAACAACCUGUGGCUGUAAAGUUUGAGAUACUUCGGUGUUUGUGUGAUAAUGUGAUUGCAGUGGAAGUGCUAAGAUCAGAGCUCAGUAGAAGAUCAUUGGCAGCUGAGCCUGAUAAGGAAUUCAAUCAGAAUGUUAACAUUGAGAUUUGCAAGAAAAGGAAGGUCUGCUGUUAAAACAGAAUGGAUAUCACAAGACCCGUCACUGAGACAUUUGGAUUUAUCAUUUGUUGGUGAAUCAAUCAUGUAUCCAGAAAUAAACUUACUUAUAGAUGAACUAUAUCAUAAGGCAGAUUCGUACCCUUUUUGUGACAAGAGCGCAGUUUCCUGAAAAGGUCAGAGAACUACAAUCUGUUGCUCGGUGUUACAUUAGCAUAGAUGCUACAACAAAGGACAACUAGAAGGCAAUUUCCCAAGACCUAAUGCCUCAUUUCUGAAACCUGCAAGUGGAGAUGAAGUAUUAUCCAAAGAAUCUAAAUGAUGAUAUGGUGCUUCAUUAAAAUCUGUCUAGAGAAUUCAAACAGAUCAAUGUAGAGCUAUCUUUAAAGUCAUUCGUGAAAUCCAAAGGACAAAGCGCGGCAAAAGAUGCUACUGCUCGCGAUCUCGAACGCAAAGCAAAGAUUGUGGUAUCCAUUGAUCCCGAGAAUAUUGGAUCUUCUAAAGAGAGUUUAUGGUUGUUCCGACAGAUAAUUUUCUUUCAUCAAAACUGCUGGUUAAAAUUUUAAACGAACACCCCCGAGAGUUCAAUGAGAUGUGCCCUUACCCGUCUCGGAGCCAUGAACGAAAGCCCCCAUGCUAUUCAGCAAAUGUUUCUCGAAUGUCAUAGUCCUCUUUGAUCCAGCAUUCAGCUUUGAGUGAUCCUCUUCAUAGGAAAGAAAAAGGGAAGUGACAAUUCAGCUUCUUUUGGUAUGAAUGAAGAUGAGGAUUCUAGUAUUCAGAUGAUAUUCUCGGAUAAUGACCAUCCGGAAUUUGACUAUGAUGUUUUAUCAUGUUCUCAUAAUGGUUUGAAUGAAGAUUGUGAUAUCCAAACAAAGAGUAGUUUGCAAACAGAAUCCAUUUGCCUUCUACAAAGCUCGGGAAAAAUUGUGUUGAAUAAUUUAAGGGCGGAGGAUAAUAUUGAUGAGUUUCUAACAGAAGCAAGCUCAUCACCUUCAGCAUGGAGUAAGGUAUCUCAGAAUGUGCUGCGGACUGUGAUGCGUACAUGCUGUGAAGCAUACAAGCAGACAGAUGUUCUCCAGUUUCAUUGCAAGCAUGAUCUGGAUCGAAUAUGGACACAUGUGCAAUCUUGAAUGCUGAUAUGCAGCAGCAUCUAUUAUGCCAUUAGCCAAAUUUUGUAAUUUUUGUGGUCCUAUUAAUAUUUCGUAUUGUAUUCAGGAUGAUAGAGUGCUUGAUGCUCCCGGUGACGCAUUGACAGAAUGGUUAUACCAAGACAGUUAGAAGUGGGCUUCUUCCGGUUAAAAGGAAGAGUGAGGCAAUGAGCAGCAGUAUCUAUACUGCUAAUAAACCUCUAGUUCAAAAGACACGAGCCAACGAAGCACAGAGUAUAAAUUUCCAAGUGGCAAAGCUCGCCUUGAGGGUUUAUAUGCAAUAAACUCAUCAUACUUGAUUCUAAGAAGAAAGUUGAAAGCACCUGAGGCUGCACUCCUAGUUACACUAUCAGUCUUCUGCUUCAAAUAUCAUAGUUAGCAUCCAUUCCAAUCCUUAGAACCAUGGAUAUUUCCCCGAGUUGAUUGGAAGGUCUGGUUCCUUUAAACAAAACCAUAUCCGCUAGUGAUUUUAUGAAGAGUCCAGAAUUUGAAUACGUUGACGAUCAUGUUGCUCUUGUAGUUUGUUUCUUUGAGAUGAAGAAGGGCCCUAAUUUCAACCUUGGGAAGCAUUUGAAGAGAACCAGAUUUAUCAAGAGAUGACAUAGGAGGCAAACAUGACUAAGUUCUCUGGAACACUUAGAAGUGUAAGUCAGAAUUUCAGCCUUGCUGCAAUAUAUGAUGCCGAAAUUGCCAACAAUUCCGCCAACCUACAGAAAAUUCCAAUGUUUGAUUUGAAUGCUGAUGAAAAACACAUUGCUUUUGCGAAGUUCUCAGAGAAGCACCGAUUAUUCCAUCUAUUGUACGUGUGCGACAUGAAGUCCAACGACAGAUUUGCUCCUCGAAGAUGCCAUGAUUGAAAUGAGGAUGAUGAUGCUUUGGCUAGUGGGAACAUUAAAUCAUUAGUUCUAAAGAAAUCAACUAGGUAAAAGCCUGAACCUUCCUUCCCAGAGUCCAUUGGGUUGGUGGAUUUUGAAAACGAUUUUACUACUUAUAGUAAGUCGAAGCAAGUCAAAUCCAGCAGUAGUGAUGUUGGGACACAAUGCAAAUCAAUUAGUUCCUUGAAUUUAAACGGCAAAGCUGCAAUCAAAUAUCCACUCUUCCUAAUCCUUUACCAGCACCAAGCAGUUAAUGGAAUGACCAGAACGCAAAAGAUAACCCUCUCCCAAGAAAUGCAAGUCUCAAGAAAUGAGGAACUGCCGACAGAAUUGGGUAAGAAUCGGGGCUUGCCACUGCCAGUAACUCUAAUGACGCUACUGAUUCUGGAUUCAGGUUAAAAGAUUUAAAUUUGAGAGUAAACAUACUGUUACUCAGUUCAACAGAACACAUCAACAAGCUUGCUUAGUUCAACGGAACAUACCAGCAGAGGUGGCAGGUCCAGGUAUCAGAUGGAAUGGGGUAACUUAGCAAUGAGAACAAGUGAAGAAUCUACAGAUUGCCCAAAUGUUUCCAAGAUUACUCACAGAUACGUUCCAGAUUCUCAAGGAUCCCUUCAACACUGUCGAGCUUGUCAAGAAGUAGGAGAGACUGCAGUAACUUCAAACCUUUGCACAUAAUGAACAUCUACAAUUUGUCAGAACUGAGAUGACUCCCUAGAACUUGCAAAAUUUAUACUCUCAAAUGCAGUAGGAACAGAAAGUUGUACCCUCAGAUCUGAAAUUGAACCUCAAAGAUCGAAACAGGUGAUGAUGUCCAAACAUGACUAAAAAAAAAUAAAGCAAGGAAGUUAAAGAAUUCUAAUACAAAAUUACAGCUGGAGAAUUCUGAUUUGCAAGUUUUGUUCUGAGGUAGAAGAAAUAAAGAAACUAAACCAUAGUUUGAGACACGGAAAAUGGAGUUUUGUCAAAGAAAUUGGGCAACUUCAAGCAGAUCAAUGUGUUGACGUGAAAAGACUUAGACAACUCCCUGCACCAUAAACUUGAGGAGGAAGUCAGGCUGCCAACAGAUGAAUAUGAAGGUACAGAAAGGCUUGAGGAAAAGGAAAUCGCCUUCAUUUUCGACCAGGACCUAUGAUCACCCUCCAAAGCUGAAACCAAUUGGGGAAUUGAUGCCAAAACUCUUGGAAGUAAAUCUGAAUGUAGGGGGAUUUCAAGGAAUCAGAAAAGGCCUGAGAAUGCAGUGAUGUAAGGUACUUGAAAGCAUGCAAGAGAGUAAAAAAGGGGAAUUUAAAGAGAAUAACAGCAGCACCUGCAAUCACCAGCAAUGCAAACUUAGCUGUACUCCCAAGCUCCAGUUCAUCAUUUCUACCUUGCUACACACACCCUCUCCUCUAUUUACUUCUGUGAUUGGGAACUUACUGUUUUAAAUUGAAUUUUUGAACCAUUGUUCAACUAAACAUUCCCAGCUUUGAAAAAUCGAUCUUAGGAGCAUCUAGGUGUAAAAUCCCAGUUUUAACAUGCUAUUUGCUGCCAUUUUCCUCCGAGCAUGCACUUUCACUAUUUUAUUUCAUUUUCAACUGUUUUCAUGAUUUUCUCGAUUUUCUCAAGCAUGAAUAAAACUUCAUAAUUCCAAAUCAUGGAAUCUAUGGAAUCAACUCAUGCGAAAUUAAUUAGGGCUUUGGUGGGGGCCCGACAUUCAUGAUAUUAUCUUCAAUAUUAUUUGCUUGAUAUCUGAUUGAUUUUUUAUUCUUCUCGAUGAAAUACUUGAAUUCGCUUUAUAUUUAUUGUUGAGAUAUCCUUGUUUCCCAUAGACGUGUGGAUGCUCGCUAAAUCAGGUACGCUCUUCCCACCCUACAACUCUGAAAUUCUAUGAAUGUGUACGUUAUCAUGAGCCAUGACCAUGUUUGAUGCCACAUUUGAUUGUGUUGAUGCUUGUUUGAUCAUCUUUGAUAAAAUACAUGUAAUGUGUCAUAUUUCCAAACUAAUCUCCUAAGUUUUAUGAUAGCGCUUGAGAAGCCGUUCAGGUACGCACUUCGACUCUCUCUUAUAGUUGGUUUUCUUAUUAGGCAUGCAAUAUUUGAAAUCACCUAGCCUACUUAGGUGUCCAUAAUUAACUGAUUAAUGGUCACACUUCCCUUAACUUUGUCAGUAGAGACCUUUAGAGGGCUUAGAGGGGUGUUACCUUUUAAAGGUACCUUCCCAAUAGGUAACCUGAUCCCCGGACUUAGACACGGGUUUUUCAAAGACAUGCUUUUUCCAAAAAUUAUGGAGUCACUUUUUUUAAGGUUUUUCUUUCUUGUUUUAUUUUCCCUUUAAAAUAAAAAUAAAAUAAGUGGCGACUCCGACUUUUCUAAAAAUUAAUUUUUCACAAAUAAAAAGCGAGUCUCGCCGAUCGAGUGGGGGCGCACGUGAAAAAUACGGGUCCACAGAGAGCGUGGGGGAAAGCUUCAGCACUGUGGUUUUUUUGAAGAGGAGAGUGACAGCAUCUCAGUUUUGGAAGUCAUCAUCGGCAUACACGGAUCAUAUUUGGUGGAGAUUCUGAGGUAAGCAUGCUGAAUUUUCUUUACUUACAGUUUAUCUUCCUCGUCUUCAUGUGCUUUUUCUCCUUCCUCAUCAUCUUUUCUUCCCUUUGAUAUGAAGAUUGUAUUGCUUGGGUGUGGAUAAUAAAGGCCACACAUGAUUGUUGUUGAUUGGUUAUGAAUGGUUUAGGAUCUUUCUGAUCGAAUUUGGGAUUUUUUAUCAACCGGCUAAACUGGUUCAGCACAAUAGCUGGCUGCCUCUGUUAGCCAUGAGGAACACCUACCUUUCUUUGUAUGGUUCUCACUCAUUCGGGCUCGGAAUUGAGAACCGUUUCUUUUGUUUGCUUCCUUAAUCACUUAGGAACUUUCUGACUGAAUUUGGGAUUUUUUAUCAACCAGCUGAACCUGUUGGAAACCGGUUCAGCACCAUAGCUGGCAGCCUCUGUCAGCCAUAAGGAACACCUGCCUUUCUUUGUCUGGUUCUCACUCAUCUGGGCUCGGAAUUGAGAAUCGUUUCUUUUGUUUGCUUCCUUAAUCACUUAGGAACUUUUUGACCGAAUUUAGGAUUUUUUAUCAACCAGAUGGACUAGUUGGAAACCGGUUCAACCGGUUCAGCACCAUGGCUGGCUGACUCUAUCAGUCAUGAGGAGCACCUGAUCGGGCUUUGUUUGGUUCUCACUCAUCCAGGCUCGGAAUUGAGAACCGUUUCUUUUGUUUGCUUCCUUAAUCACUUAGGAACUUUCUGACUAAAUUUGGUAUUUUUUAUCAACCGGUUCAGCACCAUAGCUGGAAGCCUCUAUCAGCCAUGAGGAACACCUGCCUUUCUUUGUUUGGUUCUCACUCAUCCGAGCUCGGAAUUGAGAACCGUUUCUUUUGUUUGCUUCCUUAAUCACUUAGGAACUUUUUGACUGAAUUUGGGAUUUUUUAUCAACCGGAUGGACCAGUUGGAAACCGGUUCAACCGGUUCAGCACCAUGGCUGGCUGACUCUAUCAGUCAUGAGGAGCACCUGAUCGGUCUUUGUUUGGUUCUCACUCAUCCAGGCUCGGAAUUGAGAACCGUUUCUUUUGUUUGAAUCCUCACUCAUUUAGGAGUUUUCUAGAAAAAUUUGGGAAUUCUUCUCAAUAGGUUUUACUAGUUGAGAACUAGUUCAACCUGUUCUGCUGGAGGACUUUAGGUAACCCUCGAUUUUGGCAUUUUUCGAGCCCUUAUCCAUUGGGGCUCAAACCCAUUUGCUAUAGGGUACUUGUGAGCCAUCUUGAAGGUUUAAGUCAGUGUUUGAUUUCAGUUAGUAUGGGCAAUUUUGAAGUUAUGGGUGGUGUGGUCUAGAUGAGUCUAGUUCGAUUUGUAUGACAUUUGGGGAGUCCCUUACCUCAUUUCAACCAACUAUCUUCCUUUUUGGCACAAGCUUGGAUGCUUGAUUUUGAAUACAUGUUGCGUGAUUGACUCACCCUCUGCUGUAGCACAUGGCUAGGGACUACAAGUACGCAUCGUUGGUUUUGAUUGUUGAAUCAUAUGCAUGCAUGGUGCUUAAUCUUGAAUGUUUGUUAUGUGUUUAUCAACCUUUUAUGCAGCGCUUGGCUAGGGACCACAGGUACGCACCCAUUAUUUUGGUUGGUUGAAUUCAUAUGCAUGCCAAAUACCAACUAGGAUUGUGUGAUUCAUGACAUCUAUUUAGCCUAGGGUUUCAUCUUUGACCCAUAUGCUCCCACAUACCCAAUUCAUUAGUAGAGACCGAGUUCCGGGCCUAGAGGGGUGCUACCUCGCAUGAGGUACCUUCCCAAUGGGUAACUUGAUCCCUGGACCCAGAAUCUAGUUUUCGCAGACCGUUUUUUCCAUACUGGGGUCAUUAGGGGUUUUUGUUCUUACUUAAUUUUCCCCAUUUUAAAAACAAAAAUAAAAAGUAAGUGGCGACUCCAAACGACACCGUUCCUCACCGAGGGCGGGUUUUUCAAAACUGGAAAACUCAACUUUUUCAUUAUUUCUUUUCAUUUUAAAAGCGAUGUCGCGCCGGUCCGAUGGAUCAGGUGAGGGUCCACAGUAACACAGGUGGGUCAGAUGCCUAAGUGAAUCUAAAGUGAGCUUGUGUGGGCUAGAAGGUGCCUAGGUGGGUCUAAGCGGGUCAAGGUGAAUCUAAGCGGACCUAGGGUGGUGCUUAAAGGACCAAGUGCAUCUAAAAAACUAUCCUAAAAAUGAAUGAAAAGCCUAAUUCUAAAUUAGGGCUGCCAAAGGUCACAAUAAGGGGUUAGAUAAUCCUUCAACCAAAGUCUCCGAAGUGGCUCAAAAAAGGUAAGUAGUAUGAGUAACAAUGGGCCACCAAGGAACUACUGUAAGUAUCGAACCAGUAUCUAAUAGGACAUGUGCUAGGAUGACAAAAUUGAAGGUCUACAAUACCUUAGUUGUGUUUUCAUAUUCAUCUCAGACUUCUUUGGACUUUGUUGCCUUCGAAAUUUGAGGAAAAAUACUUUCUGCAAUUGCUUGUUGAAUAAAAAAUAAAACAAUGUCUCAACAUCUUUCUUUCACACAUUUCUAAUAGCAUAUGUUAGAAUCUCCUCUUCUAUACAAUCCUUAUUCACAAACUCCCACAAAUGUUCAGAGAUAAAAAAAAGUCCAUAUCUUUGAGCUUUAAAUGUCAUAUCCGCUUCCUUUAAAAAAUGGUAUCAUAAGCUGGAUUGGAUAACCAUUCAAUGAACUUGACUAUGAUGCCAAACAAUAAUCCAAAAAAGACGCAAUCUUAACAAUCGUAAGAAAGAAAAAGGUUAAAAAAGCGUUCUCUGCAAUAGUAAGGAAGAAAGAAGUUAAAAAAUAACAAAACACUUCGAAAAAUCUUUGGGAUAAAAGAAAGAAGUCUGAAAUUUUAUUCUUUAGAUUUAUCGUGAAAUAAAGCGCCUCAUUGAUAUGGCUUGCAAGGUGGCCCGCUUCACAGUAAAGUUGUACGUAUGGCCUCUUCUUUAUUUAUUAUUUCUUUUAAUUUCUGUGUUUUUUCUGUCAUAUUAAUAGAAUAUCAUGGAAAAUUCCCUGGUAUAUUUUGCUAGGCCCACAUCCUAGAACUGUGGAAAGGCCGGAUAACAACGUUGAAUCAAAUAUGAUGGAAGACGUUGGUUAGUUGUGUGGUGGAGAGGAGGCGCUCAAGUCUUCUCCUUUGUCUCUUAUUUAUUUUUUACUUGUGUCUUUCCUUUAUAUUAAUUGAGUGGUCAGGAAAAUGUUAUUCAUAUUCACAACUGUAUCCAUUGACACUCAGGUCAGAUAAAUCAGUUCAAUACUCUAUGCACAUUUAUAAUAUAAUUCUAAUUCCAAUACAAAAUCAAUGUAAAAAUAAAAGAAAGUAGAAUAUAGUUUGAUUCUCCUACUUUCAACUUUCCCUGCUUUGGACUCUUGUUUUUCAAUAUCAGCAAGCGUAGAGCCGGUUCUCUUUGCCCUCUUAUAAAAGAGCUCGUCCAAAGAUCCGAGAGCCCGAGUCUACACAUCUGCAUUUUCUUUUCUUAUAUAACCCCAUCCUCAGCUUGCCAAACCGACCUUAAACAAAAACAAAGAGGCUAUUCUUUCUUUUUCUUGAGCGAAGAGGUUAUUUUGUCUACCAUGUCCGAAAUCGU